rnacentral:lncRNA from 1 species
GCCGAGCGACGACACCCAACUUGGAGAGCCGGAAUCUCCGACCCGAUGGAUGGAAUCCGGAGACGCUUCGAUUUCUCAACGCCUGCAGAAGCCUCGGGGAGCGGCGCGAGAAACCCCUUGGCUCCACCAAUGUUUCGUCCCCUCGGCAAACAGACUACCGCGGCAACCCGAGUUAACAUGACCGAGCCGCCUCUACUCCAUCGGAACUCAAGGCGACGAGCCGGCGAAGAGGAGAAUGACGCGAUCGACGUGGACGCCCAACAGAACGAUGGAACCACGAACUCGCAACAAAACGGCUCGGCUCGGCGAAUAAGCCAAGAAGAGCUCGCCUCGGCACUAAACGGCGUCCGGACUGACGAAAUCACCGAUCCGGCUCGCAUCGACAACCCGACUGAAGAAGAAGAAAACCUCCAAUGGAUUGAGCAGACGGAACGCGAAGACGAGCCGAGGAGAGAAGAGCGGGAGCGACUCUCCCAAUCAAAGGGAAUGACUCACGCGCAAACCCUCGAAAUCAAAGAGUUGUGAGCCUCAAUGGCUCGGACAGUGGCAGAGAUAUGCGCCAUGAAAUCUCAAGUGCAUAAUGCGACAAGUGCCGCGCCGGAGAUUGAUCGAAUGCUCGAGGAAACCAAAAGAACCCCGUUCACGACGAGGAUCACAGAGGCUAGGAUCCCCGAGCCCGGAAAAGUCAGGAUCCCUUUCUAUGAAGGAACCACUGACCCGAAAGCUCAUAUCACGGCGUUCCGCAUAGCAAUGGGACGAGCCUUCAUGAGGAACUCUGCCAACCUGACUAAGCAAGAAAAAGACGCCGGUUAUUGUCUGCUGUUUGUAGAGCAUCUCAAAGGGGCCGCACUAGAAUGGUUCUCAAGGCAAGAACGUAAUUCGAUCAACAGCUUCCAGCAGCUCUACGCCUUGUUCUUGAAGCAGUACUCGAUGUUCAUGGACUGAGGCACCUCCGACGCCGAUCUAUGGACGUUAUCUCAAGGACCUAACAAACCGCUUUGGGAUUACAUGACAAGGUUCAAAACUGUUGUGUCCAAAGUAGAAGAAAUAAGUGACAAGGCCGCCCUUGAAGCCCUAAAACGAUCCCUAUGGUACAAAUCAGAGUUUCGAAGGGAGAUGGCGCUGAACACGCCGCAAACAAUUCAGGACGCUCUGCAUCGAUCAUCAGACUUUAUCGUGAACGAGGAAGAAAUGAAGAAUUUAGACGAGCAGUACGAAGCGACGAAAGCAGCAAUCCGGAGCUCGAUUUGAACUCCAGAUCUGAAGAAAUACUAUCACUAAGGAUGCACCACGACCAGCAUGAACUACGGAACAGCUUGAUCCCUGCAAAGGGUACGUAGGCAGCCCGUCCUUGGACGGAUUCAGCUGUCCCCCUUCUUAAAAGGAGGGGGGGGGAGUAGGUACGUAUACACCAUACUUACACCAUAUCUUAAAUUUUUAGCUCGUCAAGUCAGGUAUCUCUAGAUUUAUUUCGCUUCAUUUUUUCGUUCACUUGCUUUCACUUCGGCUAGUUUUCAUUCACUUGCUUUCACUUCGGCUAGUCUUUUAUUCACUUGUUUUACGUCGGCUAAACAUUUUACUUGUUUUACAAAGCACUUUAUUUUCAUUGAUCUUGCAUUGCUUCGGCAAAGUUCUACUUUGGUAUCCAAACACCGUACGCCUCGUCUCGUUGCUAGCCACAACGAGACAACAAAUACAAAGUUCUCUAAACGGACUUUUACCACCUUUCCUAGGACGAGGGUGCAAGUUACAUCCUCUAUGGAUAAAAAUUAAGCGCGCUAUACAAAUUUCAGACCAAAAACGUAUCGUUCGCCACAGUCCACUAUCGCACACGAGAUUAUAAGUUGAGACUACAUCGCUUUCUCUAAAACCGAAGUGAACUCUUAAAACCCGGCAAAACUCACUCACCCUCUCGGGAACGCCGGUCUAUAGUCAUAUUCCAAAGAGAACACUAUAUCCUCUUGAACUUUUGCCUCAUCAAUGAGAAACCCUGGGCUAACGCCUCGGCAAGAAAAAAACAGGCUCAAGCUAAACACUUUGGCUGCAACGCCCGACUCUUCCUCACGAACGAUCAGUCUCUAAAAAGAGAACAAGGCCUAUAAAACACAUAACUUACUUGAAAAAUACUUCGGCGUUAGUCGGAGAUUCUUUCUCAAAACAAUCUAAAACAGCUCACCUCAAUGAGGACCUCUCUCAGUGAUAGAAUGGAUAAAUCUCAAUGAACGGCCCGAAAUCAUCUUUGGUUAAUAAAAACAAAACGCCUCGUCGUUAUACAUGGCUCGGCAUCAUAUAAUGAAAAUGCCUUGUCGUUAUACAAAGCUCGGCAUCAUCUAAUGAAAACGCCUCGCCGUUAUCAUUAAACACGGCUCGGCAUUGCCAAUGAAAAUCGCCUCGUCGUUAUCGCUAAACACGGCUCGGCGUCAUCUAAACGAAGACGCCUCGUCGCCUAUGCAUUAUCUUCGAUCGUUACCUAGGCAUCAUUUUACUGUACUCAUCGUCUAGGCAUCACCUCGCCUUGUCGCCUAGGCAUUAUCUUGGCUCGUCGCCUAGGCAUUAUCUCGGCUUGUCGCCUAGGCAUCAUCUUGUCGAGAUCAUCUCGUCGCCUAGCCAUCAUUGGCUCGUUGCCUAGGCAUCACCUCGUCUUGUCUCUUAGACAUUAAGUCGGCUCGUUGCGUAGGCAUUAUCUCUGCUCGUCGUCCAUGCAUUAUCUCGGUUCGUCGCCUACGCAUCAUCUUGCCUCGUCGGCUAAGCGUCAUCUUGUAUCAUCGCCUAGCCAUCAUCGGCUCGUCGCCUAGGCAUCAUCUUACCUCGUCGCCUAGGCAUUACUCUUGCCUUGUCGCCGAGCCGUUAACUCGGCUCGGAAGCUAGGCAUCCUCUUGCAUUAUCGCCUAGCCAUAAUCUCGGCUCGUUGGCUAGGCGUCAUCUUGCCUCGCCGCCUAGGCAUCCUCUUGCCUUGUCUCCUAGCCAUCGUCUCAGCUCAUCUUCUAGGCACUGUCUUGCCUUGUCGUCUAUGCAUCUUUUGACCUUGUCGGUUUGGCAUCUCCUGACUUAAUCCAGUAACAAGACGUAUCUAGAUCACGUGCGUCGGCGUAACACUUUCCCCCGACAAUAUCUAACACGCCUCGGCAUUGUAUUUUCUGGAAAAGCUUUCGUAUUAGUCUUUCUGCGCACCAUAGCACUAUGGGCGUCUUGUCAUUAAGAACGGCACAGUUUUCUCAAAACGCCUCGUCGUUUAUACGACUCGUCAUAACUCUCUCAAAACGCCUCGUCGUUUAUUCGGCUCGACAUAACUCUCUCAAAACGCCUCGUCGUUUAUUUGGCUCGGCAUCACUUUCUCAAAACGCCUCGUCGUUCGGCAUAACUCUCUCAAAACACCUCGUCGUUUAUUCGGCUCGGCAUAACUUUCUCAAAACGCCUCGUCGUUCGGCAUAACUUUCUCAAAACGCCUCGUCGUUAAACUCGAAACACAGCUCGGCAAUACAAAACAGAAUCGCCUCGUUCUUAAUUUGGCUCGGCAUUAUCAAGCAGAAUCACCUCAUCGUUGACUUAAACUGCGACUUAACGUUAUUGAACAAGAAACGCCUCGGCAUCCUCGGCACCCUCUUGAAACGCCUCGGCAUCUUUAUUUCCAAAACACCUCACCUGGGCUUAUGUCGCAACGGCUUGACUCGAUGGUUUAUCCUACGGUCAGGAGUAAUCGACCUCGUCACUCUCGUCUCCGAAACUGACGAGCUGGGGGGCUAACUGUUGGGGUCGGUUUCACCCCAAGCGGAUAAAACCAUCUCAAAAUGACUAAGUAUGGAAGAAAGACAAAUCAGCCGAGCCGCGCUCACCAAGACAAGUGGGAGAGCCGUGGAGAAAGACAAGUGGGAGAGCCGUGGAGAUAGACAAGUGGGAGAGCCGUGGAGAAAGGCAGAAUGGGCCGAGCCGUGAAUAAGGAAAGAUGGGCCACGCUGUGCAAAGAUGGGCCAAGCCGUGAAGAGGAACAAGUAAGCCAAGCCGCGGGAAGGAUGUCCAGUGGGCCGAGCUGUGCAAGAAAGCAGGUGGACCGAGCUGUAUCGUGAGGAAUGGGCCGAGCCGCAUUUCAACAUGCUUGGGCCGAGCCUCGGUGAGGUGGACCGAAUCACGUCGCGAUUCGAAUGGCAAGUGGGCCGAGCCAUGGAGAAGUUUUGAUGGGCCGAACCUAGGCCUUGAAAGACGAAGCCCAUAGAAACCCUAGGUGAAAUACAAAGGCGGUGAGCCGCACGAGGCGAUAAAGAAAUAUUCCGAAAAUCUCUCCCGAAAUUCUCGGCUAGGCGGUUCAGAGAAUUAGUAUAAAUAGACGAUGUAUACAAUUCAUUCUGUAACUUUUGCAACCCUAAGCAAUAAGAGCUAAACACUUUUACAGCAAGAAAAACUUUCUUUCGAUCUUACUGUUCUUGACGAUAAACCCUAGAAGUUUUCGAUCCCUUAGUUUUCCUUAAACAAAUUUCUGGUUGUGCGAGUUUUGGCUCACACAGUGACCACUAUCUCGACAAGAACUUUCACUUUAACCUUCUCUUCCAAAACUACUUAGCUAUGUGAGAGAAACUAAGGAUACAUUCUCCCUAGUGUCUUGUUUUUUUUUACUUAGUUGGGAAUAUUUGUAAGAAUUCCAACAAAGGAUAAGCUCUUACAUUAGAGAAAAAGCGUUUAGGUUGUUUGUGUUCUCUGUUCCAUUGAAGUAGAAAGUCAAAGUCACUAUCACAUUUUCUUUGCUUUCUCAUCAGAUAUUUGGAGAUCUUUUGCUUCUAAGGUUGCUCAAAUCCACCAUCAAAUUUCUCCACUGUCAUUCUGUGGAUACUUAAGACUUGUCCACUUUCUCUUUGACGAGCAACCAGUAUUUUCAAACUCAUUAUACAAGCAUCAAUUUACCUAAUAUGGAGAAAAAAAGAACUUAAUAACAUUCACGACAAUCUUUACCAAUUACCACCACAGCACCACCCAUUGAUAGAUUCAUAAUUAACUUUUUUAGAAUGCAUUUUAGUCAUUGUUUGGUGUCUCACGCAUGCAUUAUAGAUAUGUUUCUUAGUGUUUUAGCUUUGUUUUAGCUUAAAUAGGAACUUGCAUUAGGUCCAAGUGUGUCUUGGAUAUUUGGAGUGUUAUUAGGUACUUUUUGAGGCUAAAGGAGACAUGGAAACAAUAGGGAUGGAAACCAGUGCAUGACAACCAAAGAAAAUGGUGUAAAUGUUCAAAAAAACUCGGAGAAAUUGUUCAUAUCGAUCAACAUAUCAAGCUAAGUCUGGUUGAUAUGAAUGCGGCGUCGUCUCAAAUAUCGAGCAAAACAGAUGGUUUAAACACCGAUGCAACUUCAGAGAUAUUCUAAAAAGUUGUAGAAAAUUGAAUCACUGUUCCACUGGAGGCAAACUCGAGGUAUUUGUCAGUGGUUCGGGAGAUACAUGGAUUCUCGCAGAACAUAUCUUGACCAAGCAUAUCGACCAAAAUCUGGUUAACAUGAAUAUGGCUUUUCACUCCAAUCAAGAUCCCGACCUGAUACUGCACGACAUGAAAAGGGCAGCAAUCGCUUUUGACGGUUUGUUGGCUCAAAACCCGAUUUGUUCCGGGUUGACCCAAACCAGAAACAGUUAGUAUAUAAGCUUCUUUACACUAAUUUCAUCGGGAAAGCGGCCGAUACGUGCCUCAACCGCAUAUACUGGUACCAUUUCAUGUAUGUACUUUUGUGAUGUGCUUUCACGUUCCUGUACUUCAUAAAUUGUGUAAAUUGAUACCCAAACCGUAAUUUUUUUGGCCAAAACCUACAUUGACUUUUGAUCUGUUAGUCAACCAAAACAGUUAACGGUUGCUGACUCAUCUGCCACGUUGGAACGAACAUUCGUAUAUCACAAAACGACGUCGUUUUGUAAAAUUCUGGAAAAAAAAAGGAAUUUGUACUCACUGAGUGUUUAACCCAACACUUCAAGUAUUUAACAACACCAAAAACCACUAGACCAUUUUGAUUAUAAGCACUUAACCGGGAUGUUAUAUUAUAUAUAGAAACGAAAACCUUUUAUUAGAAAAGAUUUAAUACGACGUCACUUAAUUAUAAAGGGCUUUUUAAAACUUGUAGCCUCGGGUAUUCGAACCCAGCUACUCAAUCACUAAACCAAUGCCGAAACCAAUAGACCAAUUCGAUUAAAUCGAAUUCAAUCGAUAGGUUAUAGUAUAUAUAUACAAACAAAAACCUUUUAUUAGAAAAAAUGAAAACGACGCUAAAGUUAUAAAUGACUUUUAAGAAAUCUCAUCUUCUUCGUCGAGCUUUGUCGAAAAUUUUAAACCCAAAAUCAAUCAAACUUCACUAUAGAAGCAUUGGGCAUACUUGGAUUCGCGGACGAAGCCUUGUGACUCGAUGAUGAUGCCUAAUUUCGAGUUUUUCCCCAAAUUUUAAACACAGAGCUCGACAAAGCUCAACGAAAAAGAUGAGAUUUCUAAAAAAAAUAAUUUAUAACUUAAGCGACGUCGUUUUCUUUUUUUUUCAAUAUAAGAUUUUUUUGUUAUAUAUACUAUAACCUUCCAUAGAACAACAAUUAAACCAAUUGGUCUAGUGGUUUCGGUUUUGGUUUAGUGAUUGAGUGACUGGGUUCGAAAUCCCGAGGCUACAAAUUUUUAUAAAGACGUCGUAUUCAUCAUUUUCUAAUAAAAGGUUUUCAUUUCUAUAUAUAAUAUAACAUCGGCAUAAAAUUUUAUUACUCGAAUUGGUCUAGUGGUAUCGGUUAUGGUUAAAUGCUUGAGGUGUGGGAUUCAACUCCUAGUGGCUAUAUUUUUUUUUCCCAUGAAUUUAACAAAACGACGUCGUUUCGUUAAAGUUUUUUCUCCCAACAAAACGACGUCGUUUCGUUAUAUAUGAAUGUUCAACGUAGCAGAUGAGUCAGCAACCGUUAAAUAUUAAACAGAGUUGACUAACGGAUCAAAAGUCAAUGUAGGUUUUAGCCAAAAAAAUACGAUUCGGAUAUCAAUUUACACAAUUUAUAAAGUACAGGUACGUGUAGGCACAGCACAAAAAUACAGGCAUGAAAUGGUACCAAUACGUGCGGUUGAGGCAUGUAUCAGCCGCUUUCUCCUAAUUUCAUCUCUUAUCCUGUUUUCUCUUUGAAAACCCUUCCUCUUUGAAGAGAUAAUAUCAUUUUACAUAGUUUCCUGUGAUUUGAAUGCAUCUAGUAUCUUUUUAUCUUGAAUCUUUCUUUUUUAGUAUCAUUAAACAUGAACUCUCACACCUUAUCUUCAUAAAUUUUUCUGUGUUUGAUCAUGUUUAGUGAGUAAUCUCUUUUUAAGAUCCAUGGGUGUGAUAGAUUAGAGAAUUUCUGGGUUGAUCUAUGGUGUUUAGGACUUAGUGUCUUCUUCCUUUCUUUUAUUUAGUGUGUUUAAUGCUUGAUUAGACUAAAGAUAGUUAUUCAAAGUUCUUAGGGCAUUUCCCACCUAGAAGAUGUUUGAUGAAAUGCUCCAAAGAACCAAAUGAAGAGUUUUUCUUGCUUAGCCUAUGGGAAUAGAUCUCUAAGGAGUUAAAUGGUUAUUGGAAUCUGUUGUUAAUGCUUUUUGAUCAUUGUUUUUCUAAUAAGAAUUAGAACUUGAUAAUAUUGAUUAGCAAAGUGACUAAGGUCAUGAGAAUGGGUUAAUCUUGCUUAAGUGUACUAGACCCAAGAAAGUAGAGAUUGUCUGAUCUUGCUAUCUUUUUCUGUUUAGGAUUAAACUUCUUAGCUCAUGAGAGUGAUUGUAUAAGAGGUUAACUAAUUAUUGGAUCUUGAAAUUAAUGUUGGUUAAUUAAUCUUUUCACAAAUGAGAGUUUGUUCUUGAUUAGGUAAUUAACAAAUGAAUUAAUACCAUGAGAGUAGAUUAGUCAUAUUCAGUGAUCUAGACCAAAUGUUUAGCAAGUGUCUGAUUGUUUUAACAUCAUAGAUCAUAUAUGGAUUCACCCAAAGUCAAUGAUCUCACCCAAGGAUCCACUUUUCUUGCAUUUCUUUAGUCUUUGUUUAUUUGCUAGUCUUUAGAUUCUCUUGAUUACAUGUUUUCUUGUUUUUUUUUUUUUUCAUUUGAUUAGAUUUUUAGAAUCAUUCAAAUCAUCUUGUUUAGCUUAACUCAAUUAGUUCUAUGCAUUUCUAGUGAUUGAACAAUCCCAAUUGGAUUGAUACCUAAAGUUCUACAGUGACAUGUAACUGGUUUUGAAACAUGAAAAAGUCAUACUAUCAAUUUGGAGUCGUUCCUAUGAGGAUAAGCUUUUAUUUUCACUAUGUUAAUGUAUAUCACUAAGAGCAUGCAUCUCUGUGAGAUGAUGAAUUUUCUCUUUUUUAUUGUUACUGACUUGUCUUCUUUGAUUCUCUUGAGCUUUGAACGGUACUAAAUACACAAGAAGAGCAAUGGAAAGACAAGUUCUCUUGAGGUGUUGGAGAUGGACGGCCAAAAGAGCAUUCUUCAAGCUCCAAAACCUCAAGCCAACAAUUAGAAGCUUUGACACUCCUUGUUGUUGUGGAUUAAAAUAUGGAAUCCACCCUAGGACAUUUCCCAUCCAAAAGGUGUUUGAUGAAAUGUCCCAAAGAACCAAAUGAAGAAUUUUUCUUGCUUAGCCUAUGGAAAUAGAUGUCUAAAAAAAUAAAUGGUUACUGGGAGCUGUUGUUAAUGCUAAUUGAUCAUUGUUUCACUAAUGAGAAUUAGAUCUUGAUAACAUUGAUUAGCAAAAUGAUUAAAGUCAUGAGAAUGGGUUAAUCUUGCUUAAGUGUUCAAGACCCAAGAAAAUAGAGAUUUUCUGAUCUUGAUAUAUUCUUCUGUUUAAGAUUCACUUUCUUAGUUCAUGAAAGUGAUUUUUUAAAGAGGUUAAUUAGUUAUUGGAUCUUGAAAUUAAUGUUUGUUAAUUAACCCUUUCAGAAAUAAGAAAUUUUCCUUGAUUAGGUAAUUAACAAAUGGAUUAAUACCAUAAGAGUGGAUUAGUCUUAUUCAGUGAUCUAGACCAAAGGUUUUGCAAGUGUCUGAUUGUUUUAACAUCAUAGAUCAUAUAUGGAUUCACCUAAAGUCAAUGAUCUCACCCAAGGAUCAACUUUUCUUGCAUUUCUUUAGUGUUUAAUUAUUUGCUAGUCUUUAGAUUCUCUAAAUUACAUGUUUUCUUGUUUGUUUUGUUUUCAUUUAAUUAGACUGUUAGAAUCAUUCAAAUAAUCUUGUUUAGGUUGACUCAAUUAGUUUGAUGCAUUUCUAGUGACUGAAUCAUCCCAAUUGGAUUGAUACCUAAAGUUCUACAAUGAGUGGACUUCAGUAAUUGGUUUAGAAACUGAAAAAGUCAUCCAUCACCCAUCGAUGGAUUCAAGCUUUUCAUAUCUUUGUUGUAAGAAAAUCUUCAACUUAAUUUUUUCUACCCAUUUUAAAUCCUUAAUUGUUAUCUGUAUAGUUAGUUUACACCAUAUAUAAAACAACACUAAACGAAAAUUGGAACGUCGUUUGAAUCCCGUUAACAAACUAACAACAGUAACACGUCGUGGUUAAACAAUAGUUAACAUAAAACUCGAUAUAAACUAAAUCCCGACAAAAUUGAAGCAAAAUUCUCAAAUCAAAUUGAAGUAAAAUAAUCACACGGAUAAUAAUUGAGGAUUGAUAACACCGGAUUUUGACCAUUUUUAUGGAUCACUUUAAUAUCUUUUACAGGUGUUUUUACUCCAUUUUCAAAGGUUUUCAAAGGAUUUCUAUGUUUCCGAAUUUUAAAAGACUUUUCAGGUAAUUUGGGAUAAAGAGGCACAAAUUGGAACAAAAAGAAUCUUUUGGAUAAAUGCAGACCGUCAUAACUCUCAUGGAGAGACGAAGACCUUCUCACCGUCUGAUCACCCUAAAAAUUGGUCAACUUAUAGAAGAAUCAACCAGCUUUCAAAUGCACUUGGUUUGGAGACAUUCCAACGGUUGGAUCUCAAGAUAUUCCAUUAGCCCCUGAGCCACUCGAAUACGGCCAGCAAGUCACGCGACCGUGGCCAACAGCCUAUUUCCCGCGGUCAGAAGCCUCCCGACCGCGGCCAACCACUAAAUCCCCGCGGUCACGUCACUCCCGAUCGCGGCCAUCAAGCUCCGAACUAAAGCCCAUAUUUCUGAAGCCCAAAGUCAUUCUCAGCCUCAGUUCCGGAACCCUAGAGACCAUGGAGUAUUGAAGACUAUAAAUACUUGUCAUUUAGGUCGUUUUUAGAGAAAACCCUUCAUACUUUACAAAAACCCUUUUCCUUUAGCCGUUUUUAUGCAAUUUUUUAGAAGAUUAUUCAAGUCCGAGUUCUUCAAUAGAGAAGCUUUCUUCAUCUCUUUUCUUUACUGUUUUUCAUUACUUUUAUUAAAACCAAUGAUGAUGUCGACCUCAGCCAUGUCUGAGUAGUUCCCGAGUUGAGUUUAGGGUUCCCGAAAGGGGCUCUCAUAAUCGAUUAAGACAUCUAGGUCUAUAGAUCUGGGAUUUCGACUUGUUCUCUGUUUAUUCUUGUUCUUAAUGCAUGUAUGCUUGAUUGAUCACCUAGUAUCUGAUCUAGAUAGUUAGUGUUGCGAAAGUUUUCAUUAAGUAUCAGCCCUAGAAUGAAACAGGCAAUUUUUCCGUAGGAGUGGAAAUCUACCUGCAGCGAGAUCGUGAGUAUUGACGAGUCUUGUGCAGCUCUUGCGUUCUCUCCCUUCCAGGGCCAGAGUGGAAACCUACUGGUCAGAGUUGCGAGAAACAGUUGGUUAUGAUCACGACAGUGACGUAGUCAUACCGCCGUACUCUAGCUCUAGAACCCUAUAUAUCGAUAUCCGUCAAUCCCAAUCUAUCUACCCUAGUGUUAAAACCGAUUAUGAUCCCCUAGAGUUCCCAAAAGCUCAGCGUUUUUAGUCAUAGUUUACCAACCAAUCGAUUUUUACUUGCUUAUUUAGAUCUGCAUUUUAAAUUACUUUAGUUCGAUAUUUUACUCGCUUUACUUGCUUUCCAUUCGAUUUUUCUACUUGCUUUCUAGGAUAGAUUUAUUUGAUUUCUUUUGUUUUAGUUUAAUUUGUGACAAACAACCAACCUUUAAAAACCAAUCUAGUCUAGACAUAAAGUUAAAAACCGUAGAAGAAUACCAGGCACACAAAUCUCUGUGGAUUCGAUCCCUAAAUACUACAACUGAUUAGCUGUGCACUUGCGGCUUUCAUUUGUUUUGUUAAGGGUAAAACUUGUUCCCUCACGCAGUUGACACGACAUCAAGUUUUUGGCGCCGUUGCCGGGGAUUUGUUUCGCUGCCUUUUGCUAUUUUUCUUGUUUUAACUUCUGUUCUAGACACCUGAUCUCUAGUUCUUUCUUAAAGUUUUGCUGAAUUAUCUUUGCCUUCUUUGGUUUUUCUCUGAAUUGCAUGAAUACCAGGCGCAGACCUGUAGAAAACAUUCCAAUUCUAGACAAGAUAGACAGACACGAAAGAGAACUUCGAAGACUUAGACAAACACAAGGAAUGGCCAACGACGACCAGCCUGGAGAUCCUAUUAACUGAGCUUUAAAUAUGGACCAAGACGGGUCCGAACAUGGAGAAAAUGAAGAGAAUGAUCACAGAAGAGGUGAUCAUGCUCGACAAGAUGGAGAGGAGGAUGAGGUUCCUCCAAGAAACCACCAGAACCACGAGAGAGAAGAACGUGAAGACCUUGAUGCACCCAUCAAUGCAGCCGAUGGUGACCAACAAGGAAUGCAGCCGAAUGGGCGCGUUAACCGCCCUAUACAGCCAGCAAAUCAACACCGAAGACAAGCCAGAAACCAUCGCAUAUCCGAUUUUGAUGCACCUACUCAAAAUUUUUAGAACCGAUCUGCAAUUCAAGUUCCAUUUCCGAACCGGAAUGAGUUUGAAGUCAAGCCUCAAAUCAUCUCAUUGGUGAAGCAAAACCAAUUCCAUGGAGUUCCUUCUGAACACCCAAUGGACCAUAUCGAGCUCUUUGAAGAAAUCUGCAGCAUGAUGAGAACAAACCAAGUUCCACCAGACUAUUUAAAGUGUAAGUUGUUCCCUUUUUCAUUAGCAGAUAAAGCUCAUUGUUGGUUGAAAUCUUUGCCUGCAGGAUCGAUCACUAAUUGGGAAGAAUGUAAAACUGCUUUCUUGAACCACUUCUAUACUAAGUCAAGGUCGAAUCAGUUGAGAACAAAGAUCUCAAACUUUCAACAAGGGCCAACUGAAUCUUUCUAUGAAGCCUGGGAACGUUUUAAGGAGUAUGAACGUGAUUGCCCUCACCAUGGAUUUCAUGGAUCAAGCCUGCUGAGCACAUUUUACCGAGGUUUGCAACCAAAAUACAAACUUUCACUUGAUACAGCUAGCAAUGGAGAUUUUGGACAAAAGACGAUAGCCCAAGGAAGAGCCCUCAUCGAAAAUUUGGCUCAAGCCAAUAGCAAUGAUUGUCCUGAAUACGAUCGAUCGACGAAGCAAACCGGUACAGACAACAAGGAGAUAACCGAGUUGAAGAACAUGAUGAGCCAGCUUAUGAAGAGCAACAAUCGCCCAAUCCAUGCUUGUGAGACCAACAAUGGCGCAGAAGAUGAAGGACCUAGUGAUAUUGAUCACAUUAAUCAAGCCUUUCAAGAAGAAGAUGAGCACUAGUACCAUAUCAAAAUCGCUUCAACAAUGGCUUCAACAACAACUUCCGGAAUGCAAAGUACAACAAUCUCUCUUACCGCAAUCCAAAUGUGGAGAAUCCUCAAGAUCAGUACUACCCACCUCAGCAAAAAUCCUUCCAAAACAAGUUUCAAGGUGGAAAAUUCGGAGGAACAAGACCAUAUCAACCGCGACAGCCAUAUAACUACCAAGGUACGGGUUUUAACAAUCAAUUUGUACAACAGCAGGGAGUCACGACAAACCAGCUAGCUUCACAAAUUGGUAGACUUGAACAGUCCAUCCAACAGCUCGUUAUGACGAACGAAAAAGCAUCUAAAGACGUGAACGUGAAAGUUGACUGCAUGUACAAUGAUCUGAACGGGAAGUUUGAAGCUUUAUCUUCGCACGUCAAAAAGCUAGACGUGCAAGUCGCCCAAACAGCCGACUCUAUGAAGAGGCAAAGUGGAGUUCUUCCAGGAAGAGUUGAAGAUAAUCCUAAGAGGUUUUGCAACGCCAUAACCACAUUGCCAGAAGAAGAGGCCUGAACCGAUGGAAAGAAAGAAGAAACCCCAAUCUUUGUACCACUGUACAAAGAUGUCGAUGCCAAGCAACCACCAUUUAAGGUACCUGAACGAUCAUCGUUUCAAAGGCUUACAAAAGCCGACGAUCCGAGACGUUUUGUUUUUCAAUGUUUCAUUUCAGGAAUCAAGUUUACAGACUGCUUGUGCGAUUCCAGAGCCAAUGUCAACAUUAUGUCUAAGAAAUUUUCCGAGAAAUUGGGCAUAAAAACCUUAAGGACAUCGACGGUUAAGGUUAUUUUUGGAGAUUCAUCUCAAAAUGAUACUGAAGGGGCGAUUCAUGAUCUACAAGUUCUAGUGGGAGACAAGAUUGUUCCAGCAGAUUUCUAAGUCCUGGAGAUGGAUAAAGACAAGGAGAGGCCACUUAUUUUCGGGAGACCAUUCCUAGCUACCGUAGGAGCAGUAAUCGAUCACGCAAACCGGCAUGCUGUUUUCCUCAAUGUGAUUUAAGUCUGGGGGAGGAUAUCUAUCCGUACUAAUCAUUUUCUUGCUUUUGCUUUUAAAUUUCAAGUAUUUUUUAAAUUUUAAUAUGUAACCUAUUCGACAUUAAGUAUUUUUCAGGAAUGUUUGACGCAAAACUAUGAUGAAUUAGACCUGCACACUUCUACACUAUGCAUGAUAGCUCAUUUGUGGUUAGCACUAUACUAGGCGUUAGCUAGGUUACUUGCACUACGAACUCCCACCAGAAGACUUCUAUUCAUGGAGAUUCUUUCUUACAGGAUAUACUAGCUCAUUUUAUUUGACCUUAAUAUUGACAUCUAAUUUUCUCAUCAUUUAUUUUAGGCAGGCAUCGAUAUACACAUCUUGGACGUCUUUUACCUUCACUUUUACCACUAUUUGUCGUCCUAGAUGACCACUUUAUCUUUAUCUGGUACCAUACCCUAAACCCAGAACCCUUGUUUUCAAUCCUCAUGCAUUCUCUCUCUAGUUUAUAUCAGCAGAUAUGUGCAAAAACGUCGGAGAGAAGAGGAGCGACGCAGUUUUCAGUCACUCGCAAAGGAGACUGAAUAGAAUUGGGAAGGAAGAGUAUCAGAAACCUCAUAAAGCUUUACAAGACAGAUAUUAACUGGUAAUUUCGUGCUCUCUAAGACUCUAUAUCUAAAGGUGUUCCCUUUCAUCUAAAAAAAAAAAAACCAAUAAAAAGAGAGAGGGAAACAAAAAGCCUAAUAAGUUUUAGAUUGUCGAAAUUUGUGGAACAAUAAGCAACCACUAUUCGUUUAAGGAGCUAUGGUUUUGAAAGAUUUACAAAAAUCUAAGUCUGGGGGAGUUAGGAGAGAACCUGAGGAAGAAGACCAGGAAUCUAUGGCAAGAAGAAAGUGACUGAAAACUGUGGAUACCAACAGCUUCACUCUCUCUUGCGGUUUUGCAUAAUAUCCUGCAUCCUCCAGAUCUUCAGGUAACCCGUAAACACUUUAAGCCUUACCCCUAGAAUAAUCCUUUUUGACACCUAGCCUAGAUUGCCUUACCUAGACUUUCUUUGAUGAGAACCACCGAGAUUUUUAAUGAAUGUUAAGAGCUAGUUGACUGGAAGUUAGAUCUUAGUGCAUAGAUUUCCGCAUGACGGAUUAACGGACUAGUUAUGCCUGUAUUGCUAGUGAGAAUUUUCUAGGCUAUUCCCGAUUGAUGCAUACUAAUUGAUAUUGGUCUAGAAGUUUGGUCUCUGAGAUUUUGUUUAGUUCUUGCGUUUUCAAACCUCUCACCGAGAUUUAGCCUUUGUUUUGUUUGAGGACAAACAAAAGACUAAGUCUGGGGGAGUUGAUAACACCGGAUUUUGACCAUUUUUAUAGAUCACUUUAAUAUCUUUUACAGGUGUUUUUACUCCAUUUUCAAAGGUUUUCAAAAUAUUUUUAUGUUUCCGGAUUUUAAAAGACUUUUCAGGUAAUUUGGGAUAAAGAGGCACAAAUUGGAACAAAAAGACUCUUUUGGAUAAAUGCAGACCGUCAGAACUCUCAUGGAGAGACGAAGACCUUCUCACCGUCUGAUCACCCUCAAAAUUGGACAACUUAUAGAAGAAUCAACCAGCUUUCAAAUUCACUUGGUUUGGAGACAUUCCAACGGUUGGAUCUCAAGAUAUUCCAUUUGCCCCGGAGCCACUCGAAGACGGCCAGCAAGUCACGCGACCGCGGCCAACAGCCUAUUUCCCGCGGUCAGAAGCUUCCCGACCGCGGCCAACCACUAAAUCCCCGCGGUCACGUCACUCCCGACCGCGGCCAUCAAGCUCCGAACUAAAGCCCAUAUUUCUGAAGCCCAAAGUCAUUCUCAGCCUCAGUUCCGGAACCCUAGAGACCAUGGAGUAUUGAAGACUAUAAAUACUUGUCAUUUAGGUCGUUUUUAGAGAGAACCCUUCAUACUUUACAAAAACCCUUUUCCUUUAGCCGUUUUUAUGCGAUUUUCGUAGAAGAUUAUUCAAGUCCGAGUUCUUUAAUAGAGAAGCUUUCUUCAUCUCUUUUCUUUACUGUUUUUCAUUACUUUUAUUAAAACCAAUGAUGAUGUCGACCUCAGCCAUGUCUGGGUAGAUCUCGAGUUGGGUUUAGGGUUCCCGAAAGGGGCUCUCAUAAUCGAUUAAGACAUCUAGGUUUAUAGAUCUGGGAUUUUGACUUGUUCUCUGUUUAUUGUUGUUCUUAUUGCAUGUAUGCUUGAUUGAUCACCUAGUAUCUGAUCUAGAUAGUUAGUGUUGCGAAAGUUUUCAUUAAGUAUCAGCCCUAGAAUGAAACAUGCGAUUUUUCCGUAGGAGUGGAAACCUACCUGCGACGAGAUCGUGAGUAUUGACGAGUCUUGUGCAGCUCUUGCGUUCUCUCCCUUCCAGGGCCAGAGUGGAAACCUACUGGUCAGGGUUGCGAGAAACAGUUGGUUAUGAUAACGACAGUGACGUAGUCAUACCGCCGUAUCUAGCUCUAGAACCCUAUAUAUCGAUAUCCGUCAAUCCCAAUCUAUCUACCCUAGUGUUAAAACCGAUUAUGAUCCCUUAGAGUUCCCAAAAGCUCAGCGUUUUUAGUCAUAGUUUACCAACCAAUCAAUUUUUACUUGCUUAUUUAGAUCUGCAUUUUAAAUUACUUUAGUUUGAUAUUUUACUCGCUUUACUUGCUUUCCAUUCGAUUUUUCUACUUGCUUUCUAGGAUAGAUUUAUUUGCUUUCUUUUGUUUUAGUUUAAUUCGUGACAAACAACCAACCUUUAAAAACCAAUCUAGUCUAGACAUAAAGUUAAAAACCGUAAAAGAAUACCAGGCACACAAAUCUCUAUUCGAUCCCUAAAUACUACAACUGAUUAGCUGUGCACUUGCGGCUUUCAUUUGUUUUGUUAAGCGUAAAACUUGUUCCCUCACGCAGUUGAUACGACAUCAAAGAUUUAAAAUGAAUAGAAAAAGUACUUGAAGUUUUUUUCUGGGCACAUAAAAAGUUGAGGAAUUAAAAAGCUCAAUGAAAUUAAGUUGAAGAUUUUAUAUGGAAUGUAAAUCUUAACAUUUUAAAAAGUUAGAUAUAAUAUAAAUACUAAUUUGGAUAGUAAAUUGUAAUUUUUUUUAAAAAAAUUGAACAAUCGUAUUAAAACGAAGCCCAACAAAAGUAAAGCGAAUGUACAAUAUAGAUCCAAGGAGGCCCAAUUAAGCAGUUACAACAAAAAAACACGUGCAUAGACACUCGUAAAACAAUACACAUCCUUUAAACAAGUGUUAACAUGAGGAUCCUGCCAUGCAUCGCUGCUCCAGUUUUGCUGUGCACCGGAUUUUCACUGCUGGCAACACUCUGACCUUCCCCAUGAUGCUUCAUGUAUGUACCUUUACAAGAUCUUCCACAUGGAUUCCCAAAGAGGAUAACUGGUACCUCGAUUAAGAUCGGAAUUAACAUUAGAAAACAUUGGUCGUUGCCUAAACACACCGAACAAAUCCCCAUCAACUCGUGAUCUCUCUAGAGAAGGAAAGCUUCUCUUUCAAGCCGAGAUUUACAUCGAUAAAAAAAGACUGAUUUCCUUAAUGAUUGAAAACUCAGACAUAACCGAUGAAAAUCAAAUCUGAAUAAACUUUUUAGAAUUUGAAAAUAAAAACAUAUAGAAGAUUGAGAUCCGCACACGGCAGAAUUUAUUAUCCGAUAAAGUUGGAGAUCAUUGUUCGAUAAAACAAAAGAAAAAGUCUGAUGUUAAGCGAAAUUUACAUAAAAAACGAGAGAAAAAUUCUCUCUGCCUGAAAAAUUGAGAUGAGAAAAGAGUGAAAGGAAAAAAAACUCUUUAAAACUAUAAAAAUUUGAAAUUGUAUAAAUCUUAAUAUUUUAAAAAAGAAUUAAAAAAUAUGUAUUUAUUAUUUUUAAUAUGUAUACAAAUCUUAAAUAUCAUUCUAAUAAUUUAUUAGUAUUCAAAGCCUCUGAGUGGCCAAGAGUUUCUUGUUCCAACCCAAAUCGGCAAAUCCCAUCACGAACCGAAUACAGUAUAGGCCAAAAUCGAGGAGGAACCAGAGAAGAAUCGCAGAUUUGCGCAUCGAGGGCAGAGAUGCUUCAGUGUAUAUUUCUCCUCUCCGAUUCUGGGUAACUGAUCUUCAACCUUUUUCUUUUCAGAUCGACAUCAAUCAGUCUGAAAUUCGACUCAAACUCAUCUGCUGUUGUUAUUCGUUUUUUGUGCUCACAGAGAGGUAAUGCUGGAGAAGCAGCUUACGGGUCACCGUGUAGAUCGAUCCAUAUGUGCUUGGUUCUGGGAUCAAUCUAUUUCUCAAGGCGAUUCCUUUAAGGUAUAUAUUUUCAUAACUUCUGUUUUGAUUUGUCAAAGUUUCAAUCUUUCCUCAUCAUGGUCUUAGUUUGGUCGGAGUUGCAAUCUUUUUGCUCUUAAUUCAACUUCAUUUUAGUAUGUGUCUUUGUAUGCUUUGUUUUUGGAUAGUCACUUCCUGUGAUUGCUUCACCAACACAUUACCUUUUUCAAAUCGUUCGCGAUGGCAUCACGUUCUUAGCUUGCAGUCAAGUUGAAAUGCCACCGUUGAUGGCAAUCGAGGUGAAUCUUUUUCUCUGCUUUGUAGAUUACAACGUGUGGAAUGUAAUUUAGUGGCGUGUUUGUAACCAUGUGAAGUUUUAGUUCCUUUGGAGAGUUGCUGAUGUUCUGUCUGAUUACCUUGGUGGACUAAACGAAGAUCUCGUUAAGGAUAAUUUCAUCAUUGUCUAUGAGGUAUCUUUUCUUAAAAAAUUGCAUUUUUUUUUCUUCUUUUUUGUUAACUGAAACUAUAGUGGCUAUUAUGGUUUCUGCACUUUACCAGUCUAGCUCCUAUGUGAUGUGUUGUUUGUCUUGUGGCUCAGUUGUUACUUCGAUUUACCUUUUGUGCGCAUACUUUGACCAAUGAAAUAAGAAGAAGACAUUUUGGGAUGAAUUUACUGCGUUUGGUCGAGUGUGGAUUCCAUUUAAACUAGAGAAUACUGGAACUAUGUCAACCAUUGUGGUUUUUGCAUUUCAUCAGUCUAGCUACUCUGAGUGCCAUGUUUCUGUUGUGGCCCAUUUGCUAAUUUACCAUUUGUGCGCAUUUUUUAGAGGGUAUAAUCAACUCUUUAGUCGUGGAUUCCUUCUAUUUGAUCUGGUGAAUAUAUGUUAAUUCUAAAGGUUUGUAUUGCUUUUGGCAAAGUAGACAAUGUUUACAUUUUCACAUUAUGAGUCAUUAAAGGCAAAGUGCUUCGAAUUUGUUGUGGUUAAGAUAAUCUCCUUACUGUGUUGGAUUAUCUUUAUUAUCCUGUUUAGUUGCUUCAUUGGUUUGCAUUAACUGAGAUUUUAAUAGCUUCCUUUUGUAUGUUAAAGUUUACUUUUUGCUAUGGCCUCACCCUUUUUCUUUAACUAAGAUGAUCAAACUGGUGACUUGUAGCUUUUGGAUGAGAUGAUCGAUAAUGGUUUCCCUCUCACAACAGAACCGAGCAUCCUGAGGGAAAUGAUAGCUCCACCUAAUCUAGUCAGCAAAAUGUUGAGUGUUGUAACGGGAAAUGCUUCCAACGUUAGUGAUACGCUCCCGAGUGGGACUGGAUCUUGUGUUCCAUGGCGACCAACAGAUCCAAAGUACUCUAGCAACGAAGUCUAUGUCGACCUCGUUGAAGAAAUGGAUGCAAUUGUAAACAGGUUUGUACCUGAAGAAAAUAUUCAUUUAACCUUCAAGACUCUUAUCAUUCAAAAUUUAAUUUUGUAAAGCACUGAUUCAGGGAUGCAGAAUUGGUAAAAUGCGAGAUUUAUGGCGAAGUCCAAAUGAGUUCACAGCUCACUGGUUUUCCAGAUCUGACAUUGUCGUUUGCAAAUCCGUCGGUCCUAGAAGACAUGAGGUUUCACCCGUGUGUACGCUUCAGACCAUGGGAAUCUCAUCAAGUUCUCUCCUUUGUCCCUCCAGAUGGACAAUUCAAGCUCAUGAGUUACAGGUUCGUUGUUUCACAUACAAAGAUUUAUUCUUACACACCUUAACUUCUUAGUUUCUAAUGUGACAAUGUCUUGGUUUCUCUGAUGGGCAAUUUAGGGUGAAGAAGCUGAAGAACACACCUUUAUAUGUAAAGCCUCAAAUAACAUCAGACUCUGGUAUAUGUCGAGUUAGUGUGUUAGUGGGGAUCAGAAGCGACCCGGGAAAGACAAUCGAGUCGAUAACAUUGAGUUUCCAGCUUCCUCAUUGUGUUUCAUCUGCAGAUCUCUCAUCAAAUCAUGGAACUAUAACCAUCCUAUCUAACAUGGUACUGCCUUUUGCUCUGAGUACAGCUUCUUGACUUUGGAAACUUUCCUUCUUGAUUUGAGAACUAUGUUUUGCAGACAUGUACAUGGACAAUCGGGCGAAUCCCAAAAGACAAGACUCCAUGUUUAUCGGGGACACUAGCGCUGGAAACGGGUUUAGAACGGCUUCAUGUGUUUCCGACAUUCAAACUCGGGUUCAAGAUAAUGGGCAUUGCUCUCUCUGGUCUAAGAAUCGAGAAACUUGAUCUUAAAACUCUCCCUCCUCGUUUGUACAAAGGGUUUCGUGCUCAGACACGCGCUGGAGAGUUCGACGUUAGAUUGUAGUUUUCUGGUACGGUUUGCCUUUCGGGUUAAACUCUUCAGACUUUUGUGCUCCUGUUAAUUGAAUUGUUUUUUGUUUUUGGUUAAACCAGACAAAAUCUAUAUUUGGUAUGGCUAUUGUAACUAUUUUACGAAAUACAAUUUUGAUUCUUAAUAUUACGAAAUUACGAAAGAGGGAGAAUAAGAGUUUGAGAAGAAAGUUUUUCAAGAAGAUAUCAAAAAGUGAAGACUAUACAAUUCUUAUAUAAAGUUAACCGGAUUGUGCAAAACCAGCUAAACAAAAUGUAACCAUCCCACAUUCUACAACAGAAAUGAAGUGGUUUCACGGGUUGAAAUCGAAGAAUGGAAUAAGUGGAUGAGGAUUUGUUCUAUGGAUCAAAAAGAUCGAAUUUCACCAUCCCACUCCCAGCAUUGUAGAUCUUGUUGGGAAUGUACUAAAAUCAUCCGUACUUUUCUAGUCGUAACGUCAAGGUUUGACAAUCGUAUAAUAUUAGGUGAUUAUAAUGUUUUGCUAGAAGCCGCUUGUAAUCUACGGAUUGUGAAUCUGUUACUAAUGUUAUACGAUCCUACAGGGUCACACACCUAAGCAACUAGAUCGACUAUAUGUUGGGUUUCGAAAUGUAAUAAUGUAUAUAUAAGUUAUAUAAGAUAUAACUUAACAUUUAUACAAAGAACAAAUAAAGAAAAAUUUAAUAUAUGUAUGUCGUAUAUAUGUGAUAUAGACAUAUAUAGAGAUACACGUUAUUGAGAAGUUAAGUUAUUGGGUUUGGCCCAUUAAUUAAGUGUAUUAGGUCAAACGUGUAAUCAUUAUAUAAUGAGAAAACGUGGCCUUAGUUAAACAUCCCUUCCUGCGAUAAAACCCUAAAUAUAAUUAAGAGGCAAAACUGUUUUGUCAAGAUCUAUACGGCACUAGCAUCUCGUCCUGAUCUAGUUUGUGUGCGUGUGGAUACCGGUAGAGGCACGACGUUUGGAGUGCUAUACAACCUUAUUUUCUGUUCAUCUUUCCGCUGCAGGUAUAUACUAAAUCUGAUGACCUAGAUUCAAUUUAGUAUUUACUUAAGAUCUUGGAAAUUGAAUUCAUAAUUAGUUUUAUAAAUCGUUAUAAACUGGUAUGAAUUCCAACAGUGGUAUCAGAGCGAACUUGCUUAAUACUGAUUUUGAAUCUGGCAUAUAUAUGAGAUAUACAUGUUAAUUUGAUUGGUUUAAACAUGUUUGAUUUUAUGAAAUUUAAUGAAACAUGUUUGUGUGAAUAUUGAUUUGAUUAAACCAUGAGUUUUAUGAUUUUAAUUUGUCGAAUCUCUGACAUAUAAUAAUUCUGAUAGUUAUAAUUUGAUUAGUAAUUCACAGAAUUUAUAUGUUCGCGUGAUAGUGCUUGUCAUAAUCGAUAUAUGUACAAAAUCGUUACUAUAGUAAUCGGAGACAUACGUAUUUGUCAUUUAGUAACAUGUGAACGCCAUAGAUAUAAAGUUUGUGCAUAUAUUGGAUUUGAACGUAGCACGUAUUAUGGUAAUACAUGACUGCUUGAUUUUUAAAUAAAUAAUAUAUAUGCAUCUUGUAUCGUGUGAGUGAAUUAGUAUGGGUGCUGUUCCUCGUGCGUUCGACCGAGUAUAAGAAUUCUUACUUUGAUACGAGUUCUAAUUUUAAAUCUUUUAGUUCAAGUUCUAAUACGAUUAGGGUUUUGGAAUCUAUUAAGAUUAUUUAUAUAAUAAUUUAUAGUUUUAAUUAGAUUAAAAUUAAUCUAAAUUAUUUACAAUCCAAUAGAAAUACAUAUAUGAUAUGUAUAGAUAUUUUAUAUUAGAUAAAAUUUAAAUAUAACUACUAAAUUGGAUUAAAAUUAAUUCCUCAAUAAUCUCAAGUAUUUUUGAUGUCUAUCCAAUCUUUCAACUAUCAAAGCUUGUUUCGUUGCUUGAUGGGCUUGCCAAGCAAGGCAUCUACAACUACAUAAGUGAGAUAGAUGGUAAUGGUUACCAUAUGAAAUAAGAUUGGUUUACUUGACUAAGUUAUCAAAUUGGUUUUGGACUUAGAGGCAUAGGUUGGAUAAGACAUAAGAUGUCGUCUAACAACCAAGAGUUAUAUAGGAUAUAAUUAGCAAAGGUGUUGCUUACCUAAAUAACUAGACAUUCGGGCGAUGAGCCAAAGCUCACUUGAAUUCUAGUGAUAUAUGGAUCUUGGAUCAUUAUAUUCAUUUUUGAGGAAAAUUUUGUUUUGAAUAUAAUGUGAGUUUUCUUAAUUGUUGAGAUUUCUGAAAUACCUGAACAUCAUAUUAACAUUUCCUAUUAUUUUGAUCCAGCUAUGUCGAACCCUCACAGCUCAUUUUCGCUGCGAUCUGUCCUUGAGAAGGACAAGCUGAAUGGAUCGAACUUCCUCGAAUGGUAUCAAAAUCUGAGAAUUGUUCUCAAACAGGAGAAAAAGGAAUACGUCUUGGAGAAGAGUCUUCCUCCUGAAAAACCUAAGUCCAAUGCUCCACAUGCAGAGAGGAAUACAUAUGAAAAGCAUGCCAGUGAUAUGGUCGAUGUGUGUUGUCUCAUGUUGGCUACCAUGAACUCAGAUUUGCAGAAGCAAUAUGAGAACGUGGAAUCGCCAAUUGACAUGAUCACCAUCCUGAAAGGAAUGUUUCAGGAGCAAGCACGAACUGAGAGAUACCAGACGGUUAAAGCUCUCAUUGACUGCAAGCUGCCUAAAGACAGUCCAGUUAGCCCACAUGUCAUUAAGAUGAUAGGUUAUAUUGAUAACUUGGCAAAAUUGGACUGUCCUAUCAGCCAAGAGUUGGCCACUGACCUCAUUCUUCAGUCACUGCCAUCAAGUUAUGAUCAGUUUGUUAUGAACUACAACAUGCAUAAUUUGACAAAGACUUUGACUGAGCUGCAUGGAAUGCUCAGAUCUGCUGAACCAAACAUCAAGAAGGGCACCCCUAACGUCCUUAUGGUACAAGGGGGUAAAAAGUUUAAGAAACUUGGUAAGAACAAAGGAAAUGGUAAGACAAGCCAGAUUGAGAAUCCAAGCAAGUCAGACCCUGCUCCUAAGAUCAAGCCUGGUCCUUCUGGUGAAGAUAAGUGCCAUUACUGUAAUGGUUCUGGACAUUGGAAGAGAAACUGCAAGAAAUACUUUGAAGAUCUGAAAAAGAAGAAGAAGACUUUUGAGACUUCUUCUCCAGGUAUUUAUGUUAUAGAAGUAAAUGUUGCUACUUCUAGUUCUACCUCUUGGGUAUUGGAUACCGGUUGUGGUGCUCAUAGUUGUGUUAAUAUGCAGGGCCUAAGCAACAGUAGAACUUUGGAGAAAGGACAAGUGGACCUGCGAGUUGGAAAUGGAGCAAGAGUUGCUGCAUUAGCUGUAGGAACAUUUAAUUUGUCUCUGCCUUCAGGCAUGGUUUUAGAACUUAAAAAUUGCUACUAUGUACCUGCUAUAAGCAGGAAUAUUAUUUAUAUUUCUUGUUUGGAUUUGGAAGGAUUUCAUUUUUCGAUUAAAGACAAGUGUUGCUCAUUUGAUCGUGGUGAUAUUUUUUAUGGUAGCGGUCCAUUAGAGAAUGGUCUUUAUGUUUUGAACCAAAGUAUGCAUGUCUAUAACAUUAGUACCAAGAGAUUUAAGUCAAAUGACUCAAAUCCAACUUUCCUUUGGCAUUGUCGCUUGGGCCACAUAAAUGAGAAACGCAUUCAAAAGCUUCAUAGUGAUGGACUAUUGAAAUCAUUUGAUUUUGAAUCUUAUGAAAAAUGUGAAUCUUGUUUGUUGGGAAAAAUGACUAAAGCUCCUUUUACUGGACACAGCGAAAGGGCUAACGAUUUGUUGGGCCUAAUACAUACUGAUGUAUGUGGACCAAUGAGUAUAAAUGCCAGAGGAAACUAUCAGUACUUCAUUACAUUUACUGAUGAUUUCAGUAGAUAUGGUUAUGUUUAUCUAAUGAAGCAUAAGUCUGAAUCUUUUGAAAAGUUCAAAGAAUUUCAGAAUGAAGUACAAAACCAACUUGGCAAAAGAAUCAAAUCCCUUCGAUCAGAUCGAGGAGGUGAAUACUUAAGCCAAAGUUUUAUUGAUCAUCUGAGAGAAUGUGGAAUUGUUUCACAGCUCACUCCUCCAGGAACGCCACAAUGGAAUGGUGUGUCUGAGAGAAGAAAUCGAACUUUAUUGGAUAUGGUUCGAUCAAUGAUGAAUUAUACAGAUCUUCUAUUAUCCUUCUGGGGAUAUGCUCUUGAAACGUCUGUGUUUACGCUAAACAGAUGUCCAUCAAAAUCAGUAGAGAAGACACCAUAUGAGAUAUGGACUGGAAAGGUUCCUAAUCUGUCUUUUCUGAAAAUUUGGGGUUGUGAAGCUUAUGUCAAACGUUUGAUUACCGAUAAGCUUGGGCCCAAAUCUGAUAAAUGCUACUUCGUUGGUUAUCCCAAGGAAACCAAAGGUUAUUACUUUUACAACCCUGCUGAGAACAAAGUGUUUGUUGCUCGAAACUGUGUCUUUUUGGAGAGAGAAUUUCUUUCUAAGAGAAAUAGUGGGAGUAAAGUACAACUCGAAGAAGUUCGAGUAACACAGGAGGUUGAUGCAAAUUCUGAGGAAGAACAUCAAUUAGAUUUACGAAGAGUCGUAGAAUCUACACCUGUGGAACCUGAGGUACGUAGGUCCGAGAGGACUCGUCACGAACCUAAUAGAUAUGGGGUUUGGGUGACAGAUGAUCAUGAUCUAUUGAUUAUAGAGAGUGAUGAACCUACGUCUUUCGAAGAAGCAAUGAUGGGCCCUGAUUCCGAAAAAUAGCUACAAGCCGCAAGAUCCGAAAUGGGAUCCAUGUCAGAAAACAAAGUAUGGACUUUGGUGGAUUUACCUGAUGGUGUUAAAGCCAUUGAGUGUAAAUGGGUUUUCAAGAAGAAAACAGACAUGGAUGGUAAUAUAUUGAUAUACAAAGCUAGAUUGGUUGCUAAAGGUUACAAACAAAUUCAUGGUAUAGACUAUGAUGAAACCUAUUCUCUAGUCGCAAUGCUUAAAUCCAUUCGGAUUCUCCUAGCAACUGCCGCUUAUUAUGAUUAUGAGAUAUGGCAAAUGGAUGUGAAAACAGCUUUCCUUAAUGGAAAUAUCGAAGAGGAUGUGUACAUGACACAACCUGAAGGCUUCACAGUUCCUGAGACUGCUAGAAAGGUAUGCAAGCUUCAACGUUCUAUUUAUGGAUUGAAGCAAGCAUCUCGGAGUUGGAAUCUUCGUUUUAAUGAGGCACUCAAAGAGUUUGAUUUUGUUAGAAACGAAGAAGAACCAUGCAUUUACAAGAAGACUAGUGGGAGCGGAGUUGCAUUUCUAGUUUUGUAUGUAGAUGACAUACUUCUCAUUGGAAAUGACAUUCCUUUGCUUCAGUCUGUCAAGACUUGGCUAAGUAGUUGUUUCUCAAUGAAAGACAUGGGAGAAGCUGCUUAUAUUCUUGGAAUACGAAUCUAUAGAGAUAGAUUAAACAAGCUUAUUGGACAAUGUCAAGAUACUUAUAUUGAUAAGAUUUUGCAUAGGUUCAGUAUGCAUGAUUCCAAGAAAGGUUUUCUACCAAUGUCUCAUGGCAUUACUCUCAGCAAGACGCAGUGUUCUUCGACGCAUGAUGAGCGAGAGCGCAUGAGUAUAAUCCCUUAUGCUUCUUCUAUAGGAUCUAUCAUGUAUGCCAUGCUCUGUACUCAUCCAGAUGUUGCAUGUGCUUUAAGCAUGACGAGUAGAUACCAAUCCGAUCCCGGUGAAAGUCACUGGACAGCAGUCAAGAACAUUCUUAAGUAUUUAAGAAAUACUAAAGAUAAAUUCUUGAUUUAUGGAGGAAGUGAUGAGCUUGUUGUGAGUGGUUAUACUGAUGCUAGCUUCCAGACAGAUAAAGAUGAUUUUCGAUCGCAAUCUGGAUUCAUCUUUUGUCUUAAUGGAGGAGCGGUGAGUUGGAAAAGCUCCAAGCAAAGCACCGUAGCAGACUCUACAACCGAAGCUGAAUACAUCGCUGCUUCUGAAGCAGCAAAGGAGGCUGUUUGGAUUAGGAAGUUCAUUACUGAACUAGGUGUGGUUCCUAGCAUAUCUGGUCCAGUGGAUCUCUAUUGUGAUAAUAAUGGAGCCAUCGCACAGGCGAAAGAACCUAGAUCACACCAGAAAUCCAAACACAUAGAAAGACGAUAUCAUCUCAUUCGUGAUAUUGUUGAUAGAGGAGAUGUUAAGAUUAGCAGAGUCUCAACGGAUGCAAAUGUUGCUGAUCCUUUGACGAAGCAUCUUCUCCGGCCUAAGCAUGAGAGCCAUACAGCUGCUAUAGGCAUUAGAUUCAUAAAGAUGUAAUCUUAUUUUUAGUGGGAGAUUUUCUUUUUAUGAUAUGAUGUUCAUGUUUACAUACAUUUGAUUUUAUUUUCAAAUUAAUGAAAUUAGUUUCAGUAUUAUUUUAUUAUUGGAUAAUUGAAUAAUAUUCCCAAAAUAAUUUAUUGUCAUUCUUAUAGAUCAUCAAGUACGUGACUUGAUCAUGAAACUCUAAGUGUAAAAUGACUUAAAUUAUUAAUGUCCCUAGUCAAGGUUAUUAAAAUGGGACUUUAAUAACUGAGGAUGACUAGUAUGUAAGGUGACUGAUGACUAAGUUUCGUGAAGUCAUUAAUAUGUUGUAUUAAAGUCAAUCACAUAGAUAUGUGUUAGAGAACACAGUAUUGGACUGACCCGCUAUGAGAAAUCUACAAGAUUGUUAUAUGAGUGUCAUAAGAGUUUCUCAUCACGACUAUAGAGUGUAGUCCUUUGACCUGAGUUCAUCGUGAUUUCUUAUACAUGGACUGGUUCGCUUUGACUCUGUCAAACGUCAGCCGUAAAAGGUGAUUAUAAAGACAGUGAUUGGGCGCAUUAUUAAUUGUGUAAGGAACAGGGAUGGAACAAGAUAGAAUUUGUCCCUCCCAUAUAACGGGAGAAUAAUAUCUCUGGGCCUAUCGAAGAUUUGAUAUUGAGAAAUGCAUGGCCGUGCUCAAACGAGGUGAAUAUCAGUCGUUUGUUUGAUCAGUAUAAAUCAGAGUUCGAUAAAUAUGAUUUAGUUUAAUAAGGAUGACACAGUUUCUUGCCUUAUGAUUAGAUCGAGAUAUAGAGACAAAGGGAUUAUAGGAAUAGAUGAUUCCAGUACAAGUGGGAGAUUGUUGGGAAUGUCCUAAAAUCAUCCGUACUUCUCUAGUUGAAGUCGUAACGUCAAGGUUUGACAAUCAUAUAAUAUUAGGUGGUUAUAAUGUUUUGCUAGAAGCCGCUUGUAAUCUACGGAUUGUGAAUCUGUUACUAAUGUUAUACGAUCCUACAAGGUCACACACCUAAGCAACUAGAUCGACUAUAUGUUGGGUUUCGAAAUGUAAUAAUGUAUAUAUAUAAGUUAUAUAAGAUAUAACUUAACAUUUAUACAAAGAACAAAUAAAGGAAAGUUUAAUAUAUGUAUGUCGUAUAUAUGUGAUAUAGACAUAUAUAGAGAUACACGUUAUUGAGAAGUUAAGUUAUUGGGUUUGGCCCAUUAAUUAAGUGUAUUAGGUCAAACGUGUAAUCAUUAUAUAAUGAGAAAACGUGGCCUUAGUUAAACAUCCCUUCCUGCGAUAAAACCCUAAACAUAAUUAAGAGGCAAAACUGUUUUGUCAAGAUCUGAUCUAUACGGCACUAGCAUCCCGUCCUGAUCUAGUUUGUGUGCGUGUGGAUACCGGUAGAGGCACAACGUUUGGAGUGCUAUACAACCUUAUUUUCUGUUCAUCUUUCCGCUGCAGGUAUAUUCUAAAUAUGAUGACCUAGAUUCAAUUUAGUAUUUGCUUGAGAUCUUGGAAAUUGAAUUUAUAAUUAGUUUUAUAAAUCGUUAUAAACCGGUAUGAUUUCCAAUAGAUCUUCCCUAGCCGCUGUAGUUGUUUUAAAUGGUAAGAGAUACUUUCAACAUAUUUCAGGGGAAAAGGACAUAAAAAUAUCCAACUAAAUUUUCGUCAAAAUAAAUAUCAGCUCGCUAUUAAAAGAUAAUUAUCCAUUUAAAAUUUAAACAAUAUUUUAUAUCUUACGUCGGUUUAGUUACCGACUUACUUGAUGUAUAUAUAUAAGAGAUCGAACCUAUGUAAUAGAAGCGAACCUAUGUAAUAGAAGUGAUAAUAAGAAGAGAUAAUUUCCUCUCUCUCUCGUGGUUUUCUCUACUCUUCCUCUCUCUCUUCCAUACGCAUAUAUACAUAUCUUAUUAUAUACAAACACAUAAUCUCACCUAUAUAAUAACAUAUAAUAUAUAAAACGUUAUCCACACGAUCAGCUCACGAUCCAUUCUAUAUAAAAAAAGAUGAGAUUUGAUUUAUGUUCAAUCCGUUUACGUUUAUAUACUAUGGUCGAGCGUUGUUUUCUCUAAACCUAUCGUUAUGGUAGACUAUGUCUCUUCAAUUCAAAUAUAUGGUUGACUUAUGAUCAUAUGGUAGAUGUCUCCUUAGAUCAUUGCCUCCAUAUAAUAAAUGUCCCGAAGACAUUUAUGAGUGGUUCUCGAAAAACCGUUUGAAAAAAAAAAAUGUCUAAAAAACAUUAAAGAAAAGUUCUUAAAGAACCUAAUAAAAAAACGCCCAGAAAACAUAUAUGGAAAAAGUUCCAGAAAAACUAUAUGAAAAAUAUAUCCAGAAGAUAUAUAUGAAAGUGUCUUGAAGAACUGCUUAAUAACUUUCAUCCAGAAAAUAAAUAUUUAUUUUAAUUAUUGUUCUUUAAUAUUUGUUUAUUAUCAUUUACUUCCUCUAUUUCUAGAAUUCUGUUUUUACAAAUUUUAUUACAUUUUUUAUUUAUAUGAAAGAAUCACAUAACGUUCCAGAAGAACUACAUAAUUUUCAUCCAGAAAAAAAUUGUUUUAAUUAUAGUUUUUUAAAUUUAUGUUUACUAUUGUUUAAUUGUUAAUAUGUUUAACUAUUUAAUUUUUUUUAUUAAUUAAAUAUGUGAGUUCCCCAAGAACUAUUAUAAUUUAAAAAUAAUUUGAGCAUCAGAAGAGCCAGUUGUUCCAGAAACUAAAAAGUGUGGAAACUAAAAGCUCCAGAAGAGCUAAAAAAUUCUAAAACUUUUACAAGAGCUAAAAAGCUCUUGAAGAGUUAAAAGUUCUAGAAGCUUCACGAGUUAAAAGCUCCAGAAGAGUUAAAAAGCUUUAGAAAUUUUAAAGAAUUAAAAGCUCCUGAAGAGUUAGGAGGUACGAAAGUUUAUAAAUUAAAAACUUCAUAAGAGAUAGAAGUUCCAGAAGAACUAGGAAUUUAUGAAUAGUUAGAACUUCUUGAAGAACUAUACACUCUUGAAGAGAGAAAUUCAAAGAUUGUGAAAGCUCAAAAAAGAGCAAAACACUUCAGAAGAGCUAGAUGUUCCACAAGAACAAACCGUUCCAGAAAAACGAAACGUUCCAGCAUAACGAAAUGCUAUAGGAAAAAAUAUAUGAUGGAGACAUGCAUAAAGAUGACAAAUUGUUUAAGAUAGUAAACCUGAAGUUUGCUAGUAUAUAACAUAACCAGUUUAAGCAAUCCUGGUGUAAUAAUGGUAUUGAGAGUUUAUGUGAAAAAACCCGAAGUUUUUCUCAUAGCAUGUCUUGUUGAAAAUGAAAAGAACAAUCAUGAGAGAUAAAUCACCAUUUUUGGUUGAACAAUUAUUAGAUAUAAUGGUUGGAUUUCUUUAAAAGUCUCCCAAAUUAUAUAAUAGAUCUAAAACCAAAAACAGUUUAAGAUGAAUGGCCAAGUAAAGCCAUCAUCUCAAAGAAAGUAUUAAAAGUCCACUAAAGGAUUUGAUGCAUAAUACAAGGCUCAAAGAUGGGUUAUAUGGAUAUGUUUUGGUCCUAAAGUUGGAUUCAUUUCAAGAUAGAUGAACUUGAAGUAUCAUCAUCUCGAGGGGGAGAAUUAAAGAAUCCUAUAUCAAAAGUAGUGAAACAUCCUGAAGAUUAUGUUCAAACUUAAAAUAUAUUUUAUGAAUAAUUUAUAAAGCAGAUCCAGAAGAUCGUAAAAUCAAUAAGUGGUGAAAUAUAAUCUCCAUAUUUUGGUCUGGAAGAGCUAAUGAAUGAGAUUUCAUGAAAUGAAUUAUCAUUAUAGAUCCUCGUAUAAAUGAUUUUGAACCUGAAGUUUAAAGGAUAAUUCAUGUGUAAAUGCCAGACAUACAAUGAAAGAAAAUCUCAAUUCUAGCUCAAAAUGCUCCAAGAAUAUGUCCCUGAAGGAUGAUUUAUCAAUAAAGAGUCUAUGAUAUGUAAGAAGCAUGAUAGACUACUUUGGUUCCUAAUAGGAAAGGAGCAAAUAUAUGUUGAAAAGAGGAUGAAUCUCCUGAAGAGAUCCAUUGAUAUGGUUAGUAAUAAAAUCAGGUACCUGAAUGAUAUUAUUGAUAAUGAUAAAGAGAUCUCGAUAAACCAUGUCAUUACGGGAAAGAUGGAAUCAAAGACGAAAAAUAAUUGUCGACAAUAAAUAAGAUAGCGCACGAUUUGAUAUGAAUAAGGAUCAUAAAUCUACCUCCGUGGAUGAGUGUAGAAAGUGAAAAUAUUGGCCAAAGAGUGAAAAGGCAAUCAAAUUUAUGCUAAGCUCAUAUGAAAAAUGAGAAAUUUUUGGACUAGGAGUUCAAACGUUAAAAGUAAUAUCAAGUUUGACAGAAAAUGAGCUACUUGAAUUGUUCCUUAUAGAUGUCGUAACAUUUUUAAAUGAAAAACUUCUGAAGGAUUAAUAAUGUUAGAAUUAUGUUCCCGGGAACUCUAAUUUAAUUAUUUUAGUUAAGGUUAACUGAUAGAUGGAUAAAAAAAACUGAUUCUUUAUUUAGUCAUAAGAUAUGAUCCCAUUUAGAAAAAGAAAUUAUGUUCAGUUUUUUUGCAGGUAUUCUAAUUAGACAUUUUAUCUCGAAAUAUCCCAGCAGGAUCUAAAAUAUAGAAAAGCUCAGAUUUAAGCAUUUCUGAAGAAAAUGCUAUUUAAUCCACCCUACAAAAUACUUCGAACUUGAAGUUCAUAAAAUUUGGAAGUGCUCCACAAAAAUUAAUGUUCCUGAAGAACAAAAUUCAUUGGAGCAAAGUAAAUGAACUCGAGAUUCAGUUAAAAAGGGAGAGACCGAUGGACUUUAAAAUUCUCCUGAAGAAAAAAUAUUAGAGAAUAAAAUGAAAGGAUUCCAAAAGAAUUAACAAAAAAAUUUUUUUUGGACAUAUAGUCAUUACACCUGAAGAUGUAAUGUCAUUCGAGACCAAAUAGGUCUUUGUUUGAAAAGAGAAAAAUGAAGUUACAAGACAUAAAGUCCGGUUUGUGGCACAAAGUUUUUUUCAAACACCGGAAAUUGAUGUUUCUCAGUCGUGAAUAUAAUCACAUACAGUAAUGUGUUGAUUAAAAUCCCAGAAGUAUCAAGGAUGCCUGAAGCAUCUAAAAAUAUGUUUGGUCAAAUUACAACGAUCAAGAAGAAUUUGAAAAUUUGGGAUAAUAUAUUUCAUGGGAAGAGUUUUACUAACUCGAUUAAUGGACCAAAAGUCCAAGGAUCCAAGAAUGACGAUUAUACGAGUUUGUUCAUUAAGAUUCUACUUAUAAAAAUUCUCCAAAAGAUGGUGUAUAUAAUUGAAAUGCAUCUCCUAAAGAUGAUGCUUCCAAGGGGAGAAUUGUAAUGAUAUGCGUGGUUGCACUCUUUUUUCCUUAUCAUGGUUUUUAUCCCAAUGUGUUUUUGCAUGACAAUGUUUUUAAUGAGGCGACAAAAUGAAAACGCAAAAUAAAUAUUUGAAGAGAAAUUCUUCCAAAAAAAGUAUAAUAAUGAGCGUAGAUGCAUUUUUUUCUUGUUAUGGUUUUUGUCUCAACGAAUUUUUCCAAAAUAUAAUUUUUACUGCAACAUUAUAAAAUACGCAAAAAGAUUAUAUCAUUUUUAAAAAAAGAAGUUAUGUAAUAAAUAAUUAAAAGGAAGUAUUAAAAGAUAAUUAUCCAUUUAAUAUUUAAACAACAUUUUAUGUCUUCGGUUUAGUUACCGACUUACGUGAUGUAUAUAUAUAAGAGAUCGAACCUAUGUAAUAGAAGUGAUAAUAAGAAGAGAUCAUUUCCUUUCUCGUGGUUUUCUCCACUCUUCCUCUCUCUCUUCCAUACGCAUAUAUAUAUAUAUAUCAGAUCUAUUAUAUAUAUAUAUAUAUAUAUAUACAAACACAUAAUCUCACUUAUAUAAUAUCAUAUAAUAUAUAAAAUUCGCCAAAUUAAAUAAGAAAAUCUGUAAGUUAGGUAUUUUUUUAUAGGUCGUUUUUCCAUGCUUCAAAGAUUCGUCUGGGUUUUAGUAUAAGAUCUAUUAGUUAUAUAUAAAAAGGUAGUCUAACCAAGAACAUUAUGUAAUUGGCCUACAGCAUCUCCAACAAAUCUUUAAAUCCUUAUUUUUUAAGGAGUUUUGAUCUUCAACAGUAUAUUUUAAAAUAUUAUAUAAUAGAUCCUCAAACUUUUAUAUUUUAAAAUAUUAAAUAAUAAACCCUUAAAUAUGAAGAACACUAUUCAACCCCUUAAAAAACUUUUUACUUUUCAUUUUAGUUACUGUAAUUUAUAUAUUUCACAAAGAAUCAAAGAACUUUUUUGUCUUUUUUCAUUUUAGUCCACAUAAUUAUACAUUAAACUAAAUAAAUAAAAACAUUUCAAAUAUAUCUUUAUAAAUAUAGCUGUUAGAUAUUAAAAUAAAUAAAUACAACUAACUUUAAUUAAAAAUUAGGAAUAAAAAUACUAGAUAACACAAAAACAAAUUUCACAUAACAAUAAUAUAUUACAUUAAACAAAUUAUCAAAAUAAAAAAUUACAUUACAAUAAUAUUUUCUUACAUGAUAAUAAAAUUACAAACAUACAUAAAUAUUUUAAAAAUUAAGAGUACACUACUAUACUAAUAUUCAGGUAAAUUUGAUCCUGAACCUUCAAAUUCACUAAAAUAUUAUCUAUAUAAAUUUGCUGCAAUCGGAGGUCGUUCUCUUGAGUUUUUUUUCGCAUGAUUCUUUCUUGUUCAGAACAAAUAAACUCACAUGUAUUACUCUCAUCGAUAAAACUUAAACUUGUUAACAAUAUUUUAUUUUCCUCAAUUUCUUUUAGGACUAGUUUUUUUUGCUUGAUUUUGCAUAAAUAACUGAGUCAUCUCGUUAAUGAGAGUUUGCGCUAAUUGGUUUCUCUCCCAGGCCCGAGCCUCGAGGCAGCCACACGUCUAACUCAGAAUGAGCUUUCAUCCUCCGUCAACCUUCCUCUUCCGACCGGAGCUUAUCCUGAUCGACGCUACUCCCUCAUCUCCCAGAAGUACUUUAAAGGUCAGAUCUCUGUGAGAUUCUCUUUGAUCUGCCUAAGGUCGAGGUAUGAUGCUCGUUUUUGGUUUGAGUCAUGAGGCUGUGCUGAUGCUUGUUCUCUAGCCAAAAUACUGUCUAAACCUGAACCUCCAAAUUCACCAAAAUAUUUUCCAUAUAAAUUUGCUGCAAUUGGAGGUUGUUCUCUUGAGUUCUUUUUCGUAUGAUUCUUAUUUGUUCAAAACAAAUAAACUCACGUGUAUUACCCUCAUCGAUAGAACUUAAAUUUGUUAGAAAUAUUUUAUUUUCCUCCUCAAUUUUUUUGGGACUAGUUUUUUUACUUGAUUUUGCAUGAAUAACUGAGUCAUCUCGUUAAUGAGAGUUCGCCCUAAUUUGUUUCUCUCCCAGGCCCGAGCCCCGAGGCAGCCGCACGUCGAACUCAGAAUGAGCUUCAUCCUCUGUCAACCUUCCUCUUCCGACCGGAGCUCAUCCUGAUCGACGCUACUCCCUCCUCUCCCAGAAGUACCUUGAAGAUCAGAUCUCUGUGAGAUUCUCUUCGAUCUGCCUCAGGUCGAGGUACGAUGCUUGUUUUUGGUUUGAGUCAUGAGGCUGUGCCGAUGCUUGUUCUCCAGCCUCUCUCAUUCGCAAUGAAGUUGCAAAGCUUCUGGCCUUUGGUAAUUCCUCCGGCGCAGGUGAACCUACUCCUCCCACCGGAGCAGCCGGUUCCACCGGACCCACCAGAUCCAAAGCUUUCUCUUUCAAUCCUUUGGAAAUCUUCAUUCUCUGCUUUGCUGCCGGUCACAUUUCUGUUUCCGAGAUUUUCUCCGCAGAAAGACUAGUGGUUUCCUCGUAUUUCCACCUCCGCUCCUCCACUUUGGUUCAGCUACCGAUACCAGCUGCCUCCGCCUCCCUCCCGUCAUGCUUGCUGCUCAAUUUUCAGAAAGCAAUGUUUAUUCGAGCCCAGCCCCUGAAUCCAAAACCCUCGCCGAGACCUCAAAAUGUUUCCUCCGCCUCAAGCGUGACCUGUCUCACCGGCAGUGGUUUUGCGGCAUUUGCCGGUCAAAUACGUUCGUCUGACGUCAACCUCAACACUUUUCCGCAACUCAUCUUAUCCAAAUCUCGAUGUCUUUAAUGCUCCUCUUCUCUGAUGAGGUGAAUGUGCUGCAUACUUUGGAAGUUGUGGGCUUGGCCCAUGGGAUUUUGUUGAUGGGUUUUUUUUGUUGAAAGCCCAAUAAGGAAAAUUUCUUUGUCUCAACAAACCGUCGAAGUUCAACAGUUCAGCUUAGAAAAAUCUGACCAUAAAGGUCUACUCUUGAUAAUCCUCUCCUCCGUGGUGUGGCUUGCUGUUGCAGCAUCUCUUCGGUUUUACACCGCCUACACUACCAUAUUUUGGUUCAGCCACCAGCAAAGGCUGUUUUCUCCAUCAACUCUUGCCAUACCUCCUCUCAUUCGAUUAAGCUAUCAGAAAAGGCUAACGUCUCAGUUAACCCCUGCCACUCUACUAUUUCAGUUCAGCAAUCGUCAAAAGCUGUCUACUCCAACCACCUGCCUCCAGAUCAAAUCUACUGUUGACUCUCUUGGUCUUUUCGUUGGGACAGUCACGGUUAUCCCAUUUGAUGGGUUGGUGAGUACAACAACUCUCCUCUCUUUGCGAGGUAAAUUCAUCGUCAUCUUAGUGUCGGGAAGUCUUUUGAACUUUGUUAUCUACAUGUCUUUGAUAUGCGAUUUCGUGUUUACAAAUAUCGGAGGUAGAAAUUUGUCUUCAAAGUCACAUUGGAAAAUGACUAACUUUGAACUCUCCGGCUUUGCUGUGAAGUCUCUCUUGACACAUUUGAAGCUUGAUUCACAUCCGCUGUCCAUCUCCCACGAUGAGUUAUCUGCUCUAUGUUAUAUUGUCUUUAAUUUGUGUUGUGUUAAGCUAAGAGGAUGUUUAAUUCCCUCUUCUUGUAGUCUGAGAAGUUAAUCUAAUGAAGAAAGUGACAACAAAAAACUGAGUCAUCUCAUAACCUUUGCUCCUAGUUGAUGCAUUAUCUUUAAGAAAAAUAAAUGAUUUUUUUCAUUUGAUGAAAUCAAAGUGUCAACAGAUGAAUCAUUACCUACGACAAUUUUUCUUUUGAGUUUUGCUUUCUUCGAUCCAAUGGGACGUUGUGACGAGUUUGAUCCACCAUCAUCACUAUUUAGAUUGAUUGAAAAUGAAGAUGCCCCUGGUGAAUGUGAUGUUAGAGAGCAGAUGGUAUCAUUUCCAAUAUUAGGACUAUCUGGAAUGCUGAUGUUGACAUUAUUUGUAAACUUUGGAAUAUCUUUCAUCAAAACACACACAUGAUCAAACUUAAAAUUUUUUUUUUUAAGUUUGGGAUCUUGUACUAAUAAUUUUUUUGCUUUAUCCAUCUGAAAAGUAUUUGGAAUGGAAAAUUUUUAAUACAAAAAUAUAAUAUAUAAACAAAGUAAAAAAAAAUUACUAGUAUGCACUAAUUGGAUAUGUACUUACAAUGUCAUCUUCAGAUGCACCACUUGGAUGCAUAUUCUCCACUUGAAUCAUGCAGCUCUUCAAAUUCCUUACAGCAUAAAGAAUUGUACCCAUCCUACCUUCUAGAGAUCUACUGCUUCUAAUCUUCCAACUCUCAUUUUUUUUUCAUAGUAACUAUUUUUUAUUUUUUUCCCAUAAUUUUUUCAAAGCUUGGUUAUUGCUAUCAAUUGGGUCUUGUGAUAUUUCUAAAUACACAUGACACAACAGCUCAUCUUCUUGUUGAUUGAAUAAUGUAGCUCUUUUUCUUUCCAUAUUUUUUUUUAUAGAAGAGAAUGAGUUUGUGGAAGUGUGAUCUUUUCAAUGGCUAAAGUCUAUUAUUUAUACACAAAUUGAAUAGAUAAGAAUUCAAAGGAGUGGCCAACAUUUAGUUUCUUAGAUUUUUUAUAUUAUGGAUAGGAUAGUGGUGGGACUUUAAUGUACGUAAAGAUGGGUGAUAGGUGAAAUUUAAUGAAAUGUGUAAACCAAAUUCUCAAGAUUUUCUGAUAUUCUUUUUGGAUACGAUAUUAGUGGGAUUUCAUUGUACGUAAUAGUUGGUGAUAAGUGAAAUUUAAUGAAUGGUGUAAAUUAAAUCCAGAAGAUUUUCUUAUAUUAUUAAAUGAUAACAUUUAUAUCUAUAAAUAUACUUCUAUUGAUGCCAAUAAUAUAUCAUCACUUCUUCGUUUAAUUCAAAAUAUAUUUUAAUAUUGGAGCUUCAUCUUCUUUUCCAAAUUCAUCAUCCUCAUCAGAUUCAUCUGAAAUUGGUGAAUAGUUGAUGAAUGAAAAUGCAGCAAUGGAGAGAGAAGAACAGCUUGCAGUCAAUUUGUUUAUCAAUAACAACUGCCUUAUUCAUCGACUAAUUCAAUAAAAUAAUCACUUAAGUCAUUGAGGCUCUAUUCCUGGUCAUGCAGUCAUACACCGUGAUAGAGAAAAUGCACAUCGUAAUUUGUUCAAUGAUAAUUUUUCUUAUAAUCAUGUAUUUGGUGAAAAAGAGUUUCAUCAUCGAUUUUGAAUGUCAAAGAGAUGAUUUCUUCAUAUUGUUGAUGUCGUUAAACAACAUGACAACUAUUUCAUUCAACGACGUGAUGCGUCUGGGAGAUUAGGCUUGUCAACCUUGCAAAAGAUUACUGCAGAAAUUUGAAUUUUAGCUUACGGAAUGACCGCUGAUGCCACAGACGAAUACAUCAAAAUAGGAGAGUCUACAGCAACUGAGUGCAUAAAAAGAUUUUUUUGCGUAUUUGUAAAAGUAUUUUCAGAGUGGUAUAACAGCAGAAGACGUUUCCAGGCUUUUAUAUGUCGGCUAACAACGUGAAUUUCCUGGAAUGUAACGUAGUCUUGAUUCGAUGCAUUGAAGUAUCUUGGUAUGCCCGGAAGCAACAACGACAUCAAUGUUUUGAAGUCUUCUAAUUAAUUUCAAAGGUUGUUCAAGGUACCGUUCCUCAGGCUAAUUACGUUAUUUAAGGAAAAGAGUUUACCAUGGGUUAUUAUUUAGCUGAUGGCAUUUAUCCAAAUUUGUCAACUAUUGUCCAAACAAUAAGUGACCCCCAAGGUCCAAAAAAAAAAUUAUUCCCAACAAGACAAGAAACAUGUUGAAAAGAUGUUGAACGUGCAUUUGGAUUUCUACAAUCAAAGUUUGCAAUCGUAGCAGGAUCUUCACAUUAUUGGAAGAAAGAGGUACCUAUUAUUGGUGAUGGCAAUGCACCAAUUAGAGAAACGAGAUCAGCACCACAAACAACAGUUGAAAUAACAGUAAAUGAAAAUAUCUGAUUUCAACAAUAUUUAUUUUGUAAUCUACAUAUAAAAAACAAAGAAGCUCAUUUAUCACUCCAAAACACAUUGGUUGAUCAUAUAUGGAAGUAUUAUGGAAAUAGUUUUAUUUAAUAUAUUUUAUAUGUACUUUUAUUAUUUAGUUUGUGGAUGUAUUAUUGUUAUUUAUGUAUAUUAUCAUGUAAUGUUUUAUUUAUUAAUAUGUUAUGUAAUAUUUUAGUUUAAAGUAUGUUUUGUAUCUAUUAUAAAUUUUUAUCAGUUUAUUUAAUUAUUAAUUAUGUUAAGGACUAAUAUGCAAGAUUUAAAUAUUUAUAAGGAUAAAUUUAAGGGUCUUUGUUGGAGCGGUUCACCCUGUUUUUCAAGGGUCAGCCACCUUUAACAUAAGGAUCCUUGUUGAAGAUGUUCUGACUAACAGAGUAUCUUGAACGAUACUCUAUGUCCUACUUUAAAUAUAGAAAAAUAUUUUUUAUUUCAAUUUUAUAGUAAAUCUCAAUAAAAUCUUAAUUAAUUGAUAAAAAACACAAGAUUAGACAUAAGACAAGCAAUUUUUUUUAAAAUUAAUCGAAAAGAUAAAGUCAUCUAAACAAGCCACUACAUUUCUCUAGCCUACAAAGACAUACAGUUUUUUUCCGACUUCAUCUAGAUGAUCUAUAAUCAUGUCUCUACUAUGUCAAAAAGAAAUUCAACAUAUGUCUCAACUACGUCAAAACAAAUUUCAUGUCUCAACACUGUUAAUAGAGAAAUAUGUUUCAUAGCAAAAGAAUCCAAUGUAAGCACAUCAUAAACCAUUUCGUUCAAAAAAAAAUUGGCUACCAUAAACCAUUGGGUGAGUAACUAUGGUUCAUAAAUAGAGCCACAUAUCCUUCUUUCUACGCACUAGUUACAAAUAUUGAUGAAGGAUAAAUCUUAUCGAGGACUUUCUCUAGAGAAUUUUGAUAAUACCAUAUUUUGACCACUUUUAUGGAUCAUUUUUAAAUAUUUUUUCCAUGUUUUUUAUUUUAUUCUAAGUGUUUUUAUUAUGGUUUUCUAGUAUUUGUAGUUUUAAAAUUAUUUUCAUAAAACUUAGGAAAAAGCUUAGCAAAACGGUUACAAGACCAGAUUUUCAGCUCAGAGUCAAACCGUCAGAAGUUCACCCUCAAAUGAAAACCUUCUCACCGUCUGAUCCAGCUCAAAUUUGGAUAUCUUAAAGAUGGAACAAUCAGCUUUCCAGCAUAAUUGACAUCAAGACAACCCAACGGUUCAAUCGAAAAUUACAUGAAGAGUAAGAUGUACCGUCAACCAGCCGGCAAGCAUUCCUGACCGCGGCCAACACCCAGUUUACAGCGCUCACGUCUCCUCUGACCGCAGAGAAUGGUCUGUUCGGCCUAGAAGCCCAUUUCCAAGCCCAAAUUAAUUAUUUCAUUUGAAGAAACCCUAAGUGACAUCUAGAAAUGACUUGAGCACUAUAAAUACAUAUUUUAGGAACCCUAGGACAUAUGUCUUUUAUGCCUUUUUGCUCUUUUAUGCUUUAGAAUACUUUUUAAGUUUUUAGGUUUAGGGAGAUAGAGAUCUAUCUCUUGAACCUUUUUUAUUUCUGUUUCAAUAUAGAUUCCUAUUCAGCUUUUCAAUACAAUGUUUUUGUUUUAUUUAAUCAUGUCUGAGUAGUUCUAUUGUUGGGUUUAAGGGAUUUUUGAUGGGGCCAUAUAUGUUUGAUGAAGAUUCCAUUAGCUAUUAAAGCCGAAUCCUAUAACUUUUUCUUUUAAACUUAUUUUUAAUGCAUGGGAGUAGCGUCAUGAACUAUAAUCUGAUUUAGGUUCGUAGUGUUGCGAAAGUUUUCAUUAGGAGCCAGAUCUAGUUUGAGAAGAGCAAUUCUGCCAUAGGAGUGGAAACCUACCUAUGGGUGUGCUGUGAAUGUUGACGAGUCUUAAGUAGUAGGCUCGCGUCUUUUCCCUUCCAAGGCCAGAGUGGAAACCUACUGGUCAUGGUUGCGAUAGAUAGUUGGUUAUGAUCACGAGAGUGACGUAGUCAUACAUUCGUGACUCGAGUUCUAAAAGUUUUAGCUAAGAUCUUUUAAAAUACUUUUUAUCAAUGUUUUGAAUCGUUCAUUUCCCGGAGAUAAAUUCCCUGAAAACCCAGUAUCUCGUUUUUAUUGUCUUACAUCGAUUUUCAUUCAAGCUUUUAGUCAUUAUGUAUUUUUUCAUUCGCAGCCGAUUUUCAAUCAAGUUUUAGAUUAUGUUUUCUUUCGGUUUUCUAGCUAAUUUUCUUAAGUACUUUUCCUUUUCUCGUUUAGUUUAGAAUUUAUGUUUUAGUGACACCCCAAAACUCCUUUGAAUUUUGACCAGUUCUAGACUUCAUUAUUUCAUAUUUCUUUCAAAAGUUUUUGCAGGAAAAGAUAUUCCUUCCCUGUAGAUUUGAUCCCUAAGUACUACAAUCGAUUAGCUGUGCACUUGCGGCUUAUUGACUCUAUUAGGGUAAAACUUAACACCCUCACCGCACACCACAUCAAGUUUUUGGCGCCGAAUCCAGGGAAGACACGCUUUUCUCUUCUGCAAAACCCUAAGAAAGGUUGGUAAAUCGACUCUAGAAACAAUUUUUCGACUUAUUUUCGUUUUUGGUUCUCUUUGUAUCAGACUUUGAAGCAAUGGAUCCCAUGAACCGAAAUCUCUACUAUGAGGAAGGUUUCUACAACACUCCUCAAGCCACCAGACGCAGAGAAGAGCAGUAUAUGAUCAAUCUUCUCAACUCUGUUUGGAACCCUAAUCCGAACCAUCAGCCGUAUGGACGCCAUGAGCCUCCUAUGUACCGAGACGAUCCCUACGCGCCUCCUAUGGUCAACCCUAGACCAUAUUUCCAUCGCCUACCUAACGAAAUCAUUCAGCAGGAUGAGAACGUCCAGAUCAGUAACCGUUUGGAGCAGCUUGAAGCUACAAUCAAGCAGUUUAUGAAUGCUCAAGUCGUCUCUACUGCCGCCCUUCAUGAGAGAAUCGAUGGUAUAUCAACUCUCUUCAACAAAAAGUUUGAGAUCUCUCUGAUCAAGUCAAGUCAAUAGAAGAACGAGCAAAAAAAAAGUUGCAGCCACCAUUGCUGAGAGAUUUGACGCCAUGGAGGAGGAGCACACCAAGCAUACUUUCGAGCUUCGCAGUACUAAGAACAACAUCAGAGACCUUGAUGUCAAGCUAGACGAUGUGGAAACGCCCUCAAACCAAAAAAGAGUCUUAUGACUUCACAGUUGAGGUUUCAGAGAAGGUGUACAAGGUCACGGACAAAAUCAAAGAGCUUGAUUCAACCGUAGACAAAGUCGUUUAUGAAAUUGAUGAGGUUGAAGAGAAAGUUGAGGAGAUUAUGCAAGGACGUGGAGCACAAGGUUCAGCACUUCACACUGAAGAUCCUGAUCUAGGAAAGGAGUACACUGAGCCAGAAGACCUAGGAGACCACUCAGAAGGCAAAGGAACAAGCAAAUCGAGCAACUCACCUCGGAGACGCUUCCCUGCGGUCGAAUCCCUUGUGACUGCACCCAAGAAGAGGUCCACCGUGGUUGUGCUUGGGUCACCCGCGGUACAUGAUCAUUUUCCUGCGGUCACGUCUCCUGCAAUCACGGCCAACCGUUAGAUCGUCCCAAACCAGCCUCGUUCAGGGUAAACAAACAACUGCUCGUCUGAUACAACUUCUGGAGUAGCUAAACCCCCUUUCAGCAAUUGAUCUACUCUAUCAGCACUCAGGAAUCUCAAGACGAAGAUAAGCCACUACCUUGCAAUAUGACUUUGUCUUGUGAAGAUGAUUAUGAAGAACAAUACUCUGAAGAUGAAGAAUAUGGCCUGUUUAUCGAAGAUGCAUGAUAGUAGGAAUUUUUCAAUCCUUGAUCAAUUCCUCAAAUACUCAUGUCAUUGUAGCACUUGAGGUAUCAAUCCAAAUGGAGAGAUUCUAGACACUAGAACUAUGAGGAGCUAUCUUAAUUCAAGUCUAAAUAGCAGAUGAGUUGGUAACAAGGUGAUCUAAAUAAUAGACGUUCUAUCUCCUUUAUAGCAGCUUCAUGAUCUUUGCUCUCCAUGUGAUUCACUUGAGAGGUUAAACUCUCUAUUUUGUUGUGGAGGUCAUUGUAUGAACGCUUUACUCUUGUUGUGAGCUAAUCUUGUCCCUUCAGAAGUUGUUGGAACAUGCUGUUUCAGCUCCAUUACUUGAGGCUUUGAAGCAGCUUGCCCUUGUGGAACAGACUCUUGCUGAAACAAAGCUCCACCUCAGUUUUACCAUCUUGACAAUCUUCAGUAUCAAGCUCUUUGUAUCUUUCAUUGCUCUUGGCCAAAUUCUCAACAAGUAGCUCUCCUUGUUCUAUGGUAAGAGUUGCAAAACGCCCAUUGCUAGCUGUAUCCAAUGUCCAUUUAUGCUCUCUAUCAACUCCCCAAUAGAAGAUACUAAGGAUAGCUUCUUGUUGGAACCCAUGAUGGGGACAAUCUCUAGUGUAGCCUUUAAGUCUCUCCCAUGCUUCAUCAAAGGUCUCAUGGAUUCUUUGUUUGAAGCCCAAGAUGUCUUUCCUAGCUUGGAUAGUGCUUUGUAUGGGAUAAAACCUUUGGAGGAAGAUCAUCUUGCAAUCAUCCCAAGAAUUUACCAAGUGGGAUGGUAAUGCUCUCUCCCAUUUGCUUGCCUUUUCUCCAAGUGAAAAUGGAAACAAGAUGAGCUUGAUACUGUCUUGGGGCACCCCUCCAGUCCUAAAUGUGUCACACAACCUCUCAAAGCAGUCCAAAUGAUCAUAUGGAUUCUCCAUGCCAGACCCCAAGAACUUAGUUUCUUGAAUCAACCUAACCAAGCUUGCUUUGAUCUCAUAGGCCGCAGCUUCAAUUGGAGGAGGGUGGAUUCCAUACCUCUUUCCAUGACUACAAGGAGUGUCACAGCUUCCAACUGUUGGCGUUUUCUUUGGAGCUUGGGUCAGUGCUGGAGACAGUGCUUGAAGAUGUGGCUGUUGUUGAGGUUUUGGGACUGGAAUAAUGCUCUUGUGGACGUCCAUCUCCAACAGCUCAAUAGAACGUGUCUUUCCAUUUCUCUUCUUAUGAAUUUGGUACCUUUCAAAGCUCAAGAGAAUCAAGGAAGACAAGUUAGUAACAAUGAAAAAGAGAAAAUUGAUCAUCUCAAAGAGAUGCCUGCUCUUAGUGAUAUACAUUAACAUGGUGAAAAUAAAAGCUUAGUAAAACAAAAGAAAACAAUGACUUGAUCUCAAGAAGAUCCAAAGUCCUAAUGCUAGAAUGAACUCUCCAAUUGGCAACGGCGCCAAAUUGAUAGUAGGAAUUUUCCAAUCCUUGAUCAAUUCCUCAACUACUCAUGUCAUUGUAGCACUUGAGGUAUCAAUCCAAAUGGAGAGAUUCUAGACACUAGAACUAUGAGGAGCUAUCUUAAUUCAAGUCUAAAUAGCAGAUGAAUUGGUAACAAGGUGAUCUAAAACAUAAAACAAACAAAAACAAGCAAUACUUAAGAACAAGCAAACAAGAGAAACAAAACAAAGACUCAAAUUCAAAAUAAAGAGAAAGCUAAACCUCUAGAUGUGAUCAUUGAUUAGGGUGCUGUAGAUAUCAAUUCAGGAUGCUAAGAAGAAUAAUGCAAUGCAAGUUACUCUUUAGUCUAGACUUCAAAAGCAGAUUAAUUCACUCUCAUGACAAUAAUCUCUUUGUAAGUCACUUAAUCAAGAUUAAUUCACCUUAAGCAAGAUCAAGCAAUCAACAAGCAUAAAGUAUCAAGUCUAAUAAUGACCAAAAGGUUUCUAUUUCAAAGAGACCGAAUCUUACACAGAAUGCAGCAACAAGCAAUCACAUGAUCUCAAAACCAAUUAACUUAGAACUCAAAUCUAGACUAAUCCUCUCAUGAAAGCAUUAAUCUCUACACUAAUCCACUUUCAAACCAAAUCAUCAUUUGUGAAAUAUGAAUCAGUGAGCAUUAAGAAACAGUUCUAAUAUGUCAUUCAUGCAUUUAACAAAUCAUUCCCAUGAUGAAAAAGGCAUAAACCCUUAUCUUAGCUCAUUCAGAUAUUUCAUCAAACACCUUGUGGGUGGAGAAAUGACUAAGGUCUAGAUCAGAGUGAUGUGCAAAGAUCUAGCAUUAAGAGCAGCUAACUAAGGAAAGGAAAUGAGAAUCUAGAACCUAAACAUCAUAAACCGAUCAUCUAAGCACCCUAAUCUACACACCUAGAAGCUUAAAAGAUGACUACUCACUAAUCAUUAUUAACACACCAUUUUCUUUGCAAGAGGUGGUGUUAAUCAUGAUUAAGAGUUUAGAUGAGAUGAGUAAUUGAUAAGAAACAGCUUAGAAUGAUGUAAUCCAUCAGAUAUCUCUUAAUCAAAAACGUUUUUACACUAAAGUGAGGGUUUAGAUGAGAUGAGUAAUUGCAAGUCCUUCGUCCCACGCGAUCAAAGUGAGGGUUUUGUCUGCACCAAACCAUCUGUCCGAGUUGCUGUACACAGGUGAGGGUUCCUCCAUGAUCCCAGCUCCAAGUUGCUCCCAAAAGUCUCCAAAUGACCUGAGAACACUCCAAAAAUGCAGGACCCUUUAGGACCUAAUGCAAUUCCUAACUAAAGACAAAAGCAAAGACAAAUAUAUGUAAAACUACCUAAAUGUAUGCAUGAGACUCAAUAUUUGGAUAAAAAUGCAAUCCUAAACAUGACAAAAUAUGAGUAUAUCAAUGCAAAUGCAGGAUACUCAUCAGGAAGAAACUCACCCGGCCUUGAAGUGAUAACUAGCAGCAUAUCUAGAGAGAAGCUCAUCAAAUUCAAUAACUUUGUUAAGACAAUCCCUGCCCACCUGAGUUUCAAUGAUCUCUGGAAGCUUUGAUGUCUUCAAGUUUUCUUUAGAUACAGAAAGGAAUCUAAAGAGAACAUCCAUAGUUAUGUCAUGAGAGCCAGACACAUAUUAUCUCCUGAUGCUGCUGUCUAGUCAAUCUAACUCCAAAAACCUGAAGAAUAGAGCUAUUACACCAACAAGAUCAGCAAGGAAAAGUUAGAUGACUUCAACGAUGUGGUUCAAAGCUUACCUGAAGGAAUCACUACAUGAUUGACCACUACUUCUGUGAGAACAAGGAAUCUAUUCCUGAGAUAGAAGACUUGUUCACUCAUGCCAAACAAGGGAAGCCUGUUCGAACACGGCAUAAAAUCAAAGAAAAAGGUCAAUUUCUUAUCUCUUGUUCCAUUAGAGGUGAAAGAUUUAACCAUGUUCUUUUUUAUUUGGAGCUUGUCUCAACAUGAUGUCCAAAACAACUGAUUUGAGGCUUGGUAUUAAGCAUCUGCGUAGGACUAGGACGAAGAUAAGCUUAGCUGACGAGUCCAGUGCCUCACCUAAAAGAGUAGCUUAGGACACUGCAGUGUUCCUAUCGACUUCUACAUUGUGAACACCAAAGAUGAUUCACAUCGUCAUUCUUGGGUGGUCUUUCUUAGAAACUGCCAGAGCCAUCAUGGAUUGGCCAAAACGGAGGAUCUCAUUUGCUAAUGUCGACAAGGACAACUUCUUCAAUGUUAUUUCUUUUAGCAGCAAAGCAAGAAAACGUCCUGCAACAGAGGUGUUUGAAGCCGAACUUUGGAAUGACGAAGAUGCUAGGCAAAACAAAGAGAUCUCAAAAAAGACUUGUCUAAGGACAAGGUCUUCAUCAAACUAAGCCACUUCCUACACCAAGUCGAGCUAAACGACUUAAACCAGAAGCGCUUAAUGGGAGGCAACCUAUUUAGGUAUUGUUUUCUUUAGGAUUUUCUUUCUUUUUCUAUUGAUCUUUUUCUUUUUCUUAGUUUCAGGUGUUUCUUAAAAAUAAAAAAGCCAAAAAAAUAAAAAUAAAAUGAAAAAACCAAAAAGAAGGAUUGGUUUCAGACUGCUCAGCCCAGCAGGAAUCAAGGAGAAGUAGGAUUAGGCCGCAUUUAAGCACUCGCGGUCGCAUGAUUUUGAACAGUGGCCAACCAUACCUCGACCAGGUCUCAAACUCGUGACCGCGGCAAAGCAUUUCCGACCCGCCGUCGCGUGAAUCCAGACAGCAGCCACUGAUCGUUCAGAGGACAUCUGACCCAAUUUCACCCAUUCCACCUCACCAUGACCCAUUCCAGCUCAUCCACCACUCUCCACCACUUCUCAUCACCAUUUAGCAUCUUCCUGCAUCUUCUCGCAUCUUCCCGAACCUUCCCGAAUCGAUCCGGUUCAUUCCCGACAGCAUCCCAGAUCCAUGUAAGUUCUCUUUUGCUUACCUUUUUCAAUAUAUCUAUGCAUUUAUCUCAUCCAAUCUCGACUUCUUUCACACUGAUGACAGUGUGAUUUAAGUAUGUGAGAGGAUUUCAUCCCUUUCUAACCAUUUUUCUUUCAUGAGUCUUGCAUUAUCUACAUUUUUCAUAUUUUCUUUAAAGUUUUUCAAAAAUGGUUUUCAAAACAAAAUACGUUUUAAAUGGAAUAGUGAACAUAAAUCGAUGAUACUUGACUGUGUGCUUUUAGACUAUUCCCUAGUGACAUGCUCAUUCGUGAUUUAGGACUAGACUAGACGGUAGCUGAUGUGGGUGCAGUGGGCAACACAAGUUUUACCCUAGACAAGCUGCAAGUACACAGCAAACGCAGUAGUACUUAGGGAUCGAAUUCACAGAGAUUUGUGUGUUGAGGACUUUUAACUGAUGCUAAAAACAAUCGUAGACCUAAUCUAAUAAAAAUGGGGUUUGGUUUGUCACUAAAUCUAAUUAAGAAGAGAAUUAAAAAAAAAACAGGAAAUAAAAAUCGGUUGAAAACAAUAAGAAAAACGGCGCUGGGUUCAAGGUUCAUCUUUAGGGUUCAUGUUCUAAACACAAGGAAUUUAGGCGAGGAUUUUCUAUGACUCUGAAACUAGGAUAUACACUUGUAAGAUUAGCCAACUCUCAUCACCCUAAUCAUCUAAUCACUCAUUCAUGGCAAGCUCUCAUGCCAGAACAAGAUCAUGCAUAGCAGAUCGGAAUCCAUCUCGGCUUACGUAUCCUCCGUGGGUAGCUUUCGUCUCCUACGACGGUGACGACCAUAAGAUCCAGUUCAGGCAACCCAUAUUCAACACUCCCGUGGCUCAGAUUUAACCUAGGAUCGGAUUCUGGGUGAUCAAUCCAGAAUUACCGCUUUGAGAUUUGAAUGAAUGGGAGAAUCAUGUAAAAAUCAAAAUCCUUUUUCAUAAAAACCUAGCUUUCAUUCGAACAUGGAAUCCCUUUGGAUUUCCCCUUUCACCCAACUAGGUGAUUACUCAGACAUGGCUGAGUUAGACAUCAUCAUCGGUAUAAAACUUAGAAAGAAGAAAAGUAAAGAAACAAAGGUUGCAGAAAAACUUCUCUUAUUGAAGACAGAGUGGCGAUGAAGAGCUUCUACAGAUGCAUAAGAAUAAAACCUAAAACUACAAAUGAGUUCUCUCUCAAAGAGAAGAAAGAGACUCUCUUACAAAAGACAUAAAAAUGAGUAUUUAUAGUGUUUCUCCAAGUCUGGGCGUCUAGGGCUUGUAAAAUGGGUGCCGGAAGUGUCUUGGGCCUUAGUUGGGCUCCUAAGGUUUGGACAUAGGUCCACCGGGGAUGAAACCUCUUGAGCCGCGGUGGGAACAAGUCUAGCCGCGGGUGAAAGCUCCAGUCCUUGACUUGACUAGUGUUGAUUGGUCUUUAGUGCAUUGAUGAUAUCUGGAGAUCUUACCGUUGGAUUUCUUUGAUUCCAAGUGUUUUGGAAACUGGUUGUCUCCUUUAUAAUGUCUCCAAAUUUGGUGAUUAUCGGACGGUGAGACAGUCUUCAUUGGUUGCCAAACUUCUGACGGCCUGAAUUUAUCUAAAAAUGUACUUUUGCUCCAAAAUGCACUCCAAAGCUCCAAAUUUCCUGAAAAGCCUUUUAAAACUCUAAAACAUGGAAACACUUAUAAAACCUUUAAAACUGAGUAAAAACACCUGCAUAAGAUAUUGAAAGUGAUCUAUAAAAGUGGUCAAAAUCAGGUGUUAUCAGUAGCUAAGCACAUUUGGAACGAAGUACCCUAGAGGAAUUUGAAUGAUUUCAAUUUAGAUGAAGGAGUAAACUAGCUCUGCUUUAUCUGGACUUAACAUUGACUUAAUUUUCUCAUUGAAGCAUUAGAUCAGGGAAAUAAAUUAUACAUUCAUGACUCAUUUAUCCUUUUACCAGUCUUUGUUGAUCCUGAAUGGCUAGUUCAUCUUUUACUAGUUCCACACCUAACCUAACCUCUUUCAAGCCACAUGCAUUCUUGUUUUUCAUUGUCCUAUAUGCAGAUAUGUGCAAAAACGUCGGAGAGAAAGAUGAUCAACACAGUUUUCAGUCACUGAAGACGGAGACCUACGAUUUCACUGGAAUGAUUCAACAAAGGAGAAAACUUGGUUUGCCUCAGAAAAACUGCAAAACAUUAGUACAUUUUUGUCCCUUAAACUCUCUCUCUUAAUAAAAGGUUAUUUUCCCUUUCGAGAAAAAAGAAGAAACGAAAAGAAAAAUAAGAAGGGAAAGGAAAUUAAAAACAUUAAAGAGUCUGAGAGGAUCGAAUUUUAUCCUUGAGGCAAGCCUUGGUUCGAUUAUUUGAGGUUUAGGGAGAUUAUCUUUUUGAUUCCUAGAAAAGAUCUAAGUCUUGGGGGGGGGGGGAGUAGAUGUUUUCAACAAAGGAGGAAGGAUUCUGCAACAAGAUUUGGCAAGGAGAAGUGACUGAAAAUUGCGGACAUCAACAUGACCAUUCUCUCUUGCGGUUUUGCAUAAUAUCUUGCAUCUUCCAGAUCUUCAGGUAACCCGAAACACUUUACCUCCACCACUUAAACAGCCAUUAAUACCAAACACCGUCUACUCUGAAUUAUGUCUUUGAAGAGAAUUCACUAUUGCACUUAAUGAAUAUAAAGAGCUAGUUGACUUGAAUCGAGAUUUAGAUUGUUUAAACUUUGCAUGACGAAAAAAGUGGACUAGUAUAUUUUGUGUUUUAGUGAGAAUUUUCUAGACUAAGUUGCGAUUGUUGUACGAUCGAUGGCCAUAUUUUAGAGGUCUAAUAGUAGGUUUUUAGCCUACUAAGGUCAAUUAAACUCUUGUGUUGUAGGACUUGAGGGUCAAUCCAAAUGGAGAGAUUCUAGACACCAAGACUAUAUGGAACUUUCUUAAUCCAAGUCUAAUAAGCAGAUGUUUUGGUAACCAAGAUGAUCUAUAAACAUAGAACAAACAAAACACUAGCAGUUACUAAGGACAAAGCAAACAAUAUAAACAAAGCAAAGAUUCAAAUGCAAAUAAUGACAAAGCUAAACCUCUAGAUGUGAUCAUUGAUCAGGGUGCUUUCAAUGAUAAUCUAUGAUGCUAAGCAAACAAUGCAACACUUACUAUUCUUUAGUCUAUACUUCCAAAUCAGAGUAAUUCAAUAAUCCCUUUGAUAACUACCUAAUCAAAACUAAUUCCCAUUAGUGAAUAAACAAUUAACAAGCAUAAGGUUCCAAGCCUAAUAUGACCAACAGCCUCUUUGUGCAUCAAAAUAAGAGCUAAGAUAGACUGAAUCUUAUACAGAAAGACAUAGCAAGCAAUCACAUGAUCUCUAAAUCCAAUUACUUAGAACUCAAAGCUAAACUAAUCCUUUCCCAAGGUAUUAAUCUCUAUACUAAUCCACUUUAAACCUAAUUCUCAUUAGUCAAAAAUGAAUCUGUAAGCAUUAUUAAAGGUUCUAAAAUGUCAUUUAUGCAUAUAACAAAUAUUCCCAUGGCAUUAAUGCAUAAACCCUAUAGUUAGCUUAUUCAGGCAUUUCAUCAAACACCUUUUGAGUGGAGAAACACCUAAGAUCUAGAUCAGAGUGAUUAUCAAAGAUCUAGCAUUAGGAGCAGCUAACUAAGGAAAGGAAAUGAGAAUCUAGAACCUAAACAUCAUAAAUCAAACAUUUAAGCACCCUAAUCUACACACCUAGAAGCUUAAAAGAAGACAACUCACUAAUCAUGCUUAACACACUUAAUCUAUUGCAAGAGAUGAUGUUAAACAUGAUUAAAAGCAAAGAUAAGAAUAAGAAAUGAUAAGAAACAGCCUUGAAUGAUUAAAAACCAGGUAUCUCUUAACGAAGAACAAAGGUUUUCACAAAAGAAGCAAAGAAACUAAAAAUGGAAUCAAAGAAGUCUAGGGUUUUUAGCCCAAAAACUAUUUGUAGGGAAGUAAACCAAACCGGGUCAACCCGAGAUACUGACCCGGUCUUCUUGGGUUGCUGGAGUAAGGCCUCGGUGUCUUGAAGAUCAUCCAUACUGAGUCCACACACCGAGGGGUCAAAUCUGGGUUGGAAACUUGAUGAACUUUUGAAGAACAUGUGUGAGCUUUGGUCUUUGAUUCAGAUAAGGCAUUUGAAACGUGGAGCAAGCUGUUUGUGAACUGGGUUGUCAUGACAAAGGACCUCGUGGUCAUGCAGGCCGAGGGGUCAUGCUGAGGGGUUGCACAUUUCAUUCGCAAGACAUGCCUCGGUGUGGAAUAGGCCGAGGGGUCAUGGUGAGGCUUUGGCCAAAACUUUCGCAAAUGCACCUCAGCUUAUCCAGGAAAAGGGGUUUAGGUUGAAGGGUCAUGUUCAGGAGGGCCUCGGGGUAGUGUAUGCUGAGGGGUUAUGCCGAGGCCAGCUGUAACACUUAUGAAAAUUCAAGAUCAAACAACAAAAAUUCAAGAUCAAACCCCAUAGAUGCUCCCAGCCUUAUACUUAGUCGUUUGGAGACUAGUAUUCUGAACAAAAAAAUGUCUCGGUAUUGUGUGACCGAGGUGUCAGACCAAGGGAAAUGGCCAAAAUUUUCUUAAAUGUGUGUCGGUGUCAAGAUAUACCAACGGGUUACACCGAGGCACAAGAAAACACUUAGUACCCAGUAAGCUAUUUUUAACCCGGAAUUAUAUGCUUGUCUUCUGUUCUCAUUAACUCUCAGCUCAGUGAUCCAAAUGACUCAAGACUACGUCCAAAGGAUAGAUUACUCCACUAGCUAAAACUUUGGUGAAGAACCCAACUCCAUCUGAGUUCGGCAAGACUUUCCAGCAAGCCGAUCUUUAAGGCAAAUUGUACUGGUCUAGAUUGGCCUCUAGACCUGUGCUUUUUUUGCUUGCGUUAUCUCCCAUCUCACAGCUCCAAAUCUCCUGCUUCUAAGUGUUCUGGAAACUAGAUUCCAUGUUCUCAAAAUUUCAUGCAGACACCGAAGACUGGAUCGGACGAGAAGGCUUUCCGGUAAUGGCAUAUUUGAGGCAUAUCGGCGAACAGGAACUUUUAGCCGAGAGACAUGUACCGCAGUACAUGUUUUAGCCGAGACUCAUGUACCACGGUACGGCAUUUUAGCCAAUAAAACAAUCUUCCUGCAACAUGAACUUUUAGCCGAUGCUGCUCGAUCCGGUAACUGAUUUUAGCCUUCCCGGGAAGGAUUUUUAGCCAGUAAAAACCUUCCUAUGGUAAGAUAAAAUGCUGAUAAGCCUUUAAACUUCAUUUUCAUCAUUUUUGCUCCUUCUUUCACCAUUUCUUCACCUGGUUUUAUCUUUUCCACUCCAAGUGACCUCCAAAUUACCUAUUUAACACUCUAAACAUGCAAGACUCACUUGGACCUAAUGCAAACUCCUAAAUGAUAAAAUAAUGCCUAAGUACCUAAAAUUCUAUGUAAAAUGCAUACAUGAGACUAUGAAUUGGGACUAAAAAUGCAUACUAAAUGAGUCAUUUUAUGUAUAUAUCAGGUUCAUAUCUCCGAGAUUUGUGCAUUUUCUAUUUUUGUUUUCACUUCACCUGAUUUGAUUUUUGCUUUGUUUGAGGACAAACAUAAGUUUAAAUCUAGGGAGUUGAUAACACCGUAUUUUGACCACUAUUAUGGAUCGGUUUUACUUUUUCAAUACUUUUUAUUAUUUUUUAAAUAUUUUUCUUAUGGUUUUCUAGUAUUUGUAGUGUCAAGAGUUUUUUCAAGAAACUUAGGAAAAAGCAUAGCAAGAUGGAUAAAAGACAAGAUUUUUAGCUCAGAGUGAAACUGUCAAAAGUUCACCCUCAAAUGAUCCAGCUCAAAUCUGGAGAUAUUAAAGAUGGAACAAUUAGAUUUCCAGCACACUUGACAUCAAAACAAUCCAACGGUUCAAUCAAAAGUUACGUGAAGAGCAAGAUGUCCCAUCAACCAGCCGACAAGCAUUCCCAUUUCUUCUAGUCCUUCAAUAAGCAUAUUUCAACUCUGUUAGUAAGAGAAUAUGAUUCAUUACAAAAAAUUCAAUGUAAACACACCAUAAAAUUUUUCGUUCACAAGAAAUUAGCUACCAUAAACAUAAGGUGAGUAAGUAUGGUUUAGAAGCAUCUACUCAUGACCAAACUUACGGACCUCAAUAGGAAUGGUGUACACUAUUUAGGUUUUGAUGGUUGGGAAAGUGGCUUAUUCGUGCCUCAACUCCAUAACUGGUACCAAGUCAUGCCGGAACUAUUUUGUUGUGCCCACACAUACCUAUACUAUUAAUAAUUGGAUUAUUCGUGCUUGAAUUCUUUUUUUUGUUGGGCCGAAUCAUGCAUUGACUCUUUAUCCGUUAGUCUACUCUGUUAAAUUGUUAACGGUGCUGAGUCACCUGCCACUCUGGAAUCCCGUUAGUACUAGUAUAAUAAUGUGACGUUGUUUUUGUGUGAAACAAAAAAAAAUUUGAAUAAUUUAAAUAACUACACAACCAUUAUUAAAAAAAAAAAACAAAGGAACAGGAUGUCGAAUUGGUGACUACAAGAUUGAGAGACUUAAGACUGUACAUGGUCUUGAUUGCUCCGCUCAGUUCACUUUUCCAUGUGGUUAGUUCUCAAUUAUCAAUUCUACUAUGAGUCUCAAGUUUCGAGUUUUAGUUUCGGGGUCUUGCUUGUUCAGCUCGAUUCCAUGUGGUGAUUAUGGAUUCAUCAUUCAUGGUUCUUCAAACAUCAGAAUUCUAGGGUUUAUGAUUUAUUUUGGAAUCUGGUUUCAGGGAUUUAACGAAAUGGGUAAGCAAAGGAAGAGAGAAACUGAUUUGGAAGAUGAAACUCUAUCUUUGGCAUCGUCGUCUUUGUCUGACUCUUUGUUUUUUAAUAAUGGCUGUGUAGUUAUAUAAAUUGCUAAAGUUGCGACUUACUACGGAGAAGUUAAUCUUCUCUAACGGUUUAUGGGCUCCAUUUGAUGGGUGUGGUGCUGGUUUCUAUUCUCAAGCCUGCAAUUUUUUUUUGUUUUACACAAAAACGACAUUGCAUUAUUAUACCAGUGCUAAUGGGGAUUCUAGCAUGGCAGGUGACUUAGCACCGGUAAAAAUUUGAUGGAGUUGACUAACAGAUAAGAGUCAAUGUAUGAUUCGGCAAAAAAAUAGUUCGGGUACGAAUAAUCCAAUUAUUAACAGUACAAAUAUGUGUAGGCACAGCAAAAUAGUUCAGACACUAAUCGAAACCUGUUUGUGCAGUUAAGACACAAAUUACGUGUUAGGUGUAGUUUGAAUUAUGAAUAUGGAAAAUAUAACACCAUUGAUAAUACAACAGAAGUUAACUGACUUAGAUAAUAUAACAUAAGUUUACACUUAGAGUAUAAUAUAAAAUAGAAAACAAUUACUAGAAUGACCUUACAAACAGGUCUGUUUGCAAAAGUAACCUAGGUCCCUUACAUUUUUGCUAGAAUAACCUUACCAGCGUGGAAAAGACAGUGUAACCCCUCACACAUGAAAAUCAGUUUUUUUUUUUUUUUUUUUUUCGUAAUUUAAUUAAUUUUUUAAAAAAUAAUAAAAAAAAAAAAUUUUAUUAACUUUGGGAUUUCGUUUUCAAUCUAAUUUCUAUUUCAUUUCCGAAAAAAAAACCUAGAGGUGGCUGAGAAACCGACGAUGACGAUGAUUUUCUAGAUUUUGCGAGUUUCCGGCGUCUGCAUCGUUUCCGGUCACCUUCUAUGCUUCUUAUCGGCCUAUUCUGCAUCUCCGAUAAGUUUUUUUCCAUUUGCCGUUUCGUUUUUCUUCGUCAUUUCGUUUCAUUCACUUUUUCAUUUUCGCGUUCUUUACCAUUGUCGGCUUGUCGGCUACAUCAAGCACCGGAGAAGACGAAAGACAAAAAAGCUGAUUUCAAACCUCUCGUCUUCUCUCGGCGACGAACACGUCAGUUUUCCGUAUAUGAUAGAUUUAUUGAAUCAUAUAUAAUUAAUUGUUCCAUGUAUGGUAGACUUGUUUAAUAAUGUAUGAUAGAGUUAUUAUACUGAAUUUUUUUGUAUUUCCGGCGAAUCUGUGAUUCUGGCAAUUUCGUGUUUGAGGCCUUGAAGCCGUUUCAUCUUCUUCAGAAAAUCGAUGUGAGGACCCGGCGAGCAUAUUAGGGAACUUCCGGUGUUUUUUGGGCGAAAGACACCAGUCACCUAUGGUGGCAGGGGCUGAAAAGGAACUUUCAGCGUCGAUUGUGCGAAAGAUAGAGUUACAAUUGCAACGGCGGCUGAAAGUGAGCUUUCAAAAAUAAAGCUAACCCUAAUUUGUGUGUGUUUCAGGAAUCAGACAUCCAUGUAUAGUAGACUUAUUAGACCGUGUAUUGUAAAGUUAUUGUUUGGUGUAUGUAUGAUAGAGUUGUUGAAUCAUGUAUGAUAGAGUUGUUGAAUCAUGUAUGAUAGAGUUAUUGUUCUCUAUAUGUAUGGUUGAGUUGUUGAAUCAUGUAUGAUAUAGUUCUUUGUAUGUUAUAGUUGAUUUAUGUAUGGUAGACUUGUUUAAUCAUAUAUGGUAUUGUAUAGUUAUUGAAUCAUGUAUGAUUUACUUGUUUAAUCAUCACCUUAUACGAUUGAAGUUUCGACAUCUUUGACGAUAUUUUUGGAUUCCGCUUUGUCUAUAAUCUAGACGCAUAAAUGGACGGACGGUUUUGUUUUCAAAUUAUCGCAAAAAACCACCAAGUUGUCGAGUACUUGCUAAAAACCCAGAAGUGUAUCUUGUGGUAGCUUUUGCAAGUAUAUCUUCAACAACAUAUAACUCAAUCGAACCUCAUAAUAGCAUUGAUCCAAGUCAAAAUUUUCAUAAACCAUACCUACGAAAUCACUAUAGUCAAUUUCUCAAUCAACAACUAAAACUUUUUCCUCCAAGAUACAAAUAGUACUCCAAAAGAGGUAAAGAGAGGAAAUCAUAAGAACUACUAGAUGCAGUGGUUGGAACAGAAAAAUUUGAUAAUAACUACUUGAUAAAAAUGUCAUUUCAUAUCAUUAAGUCUACCGUUCAGUGAAGUAAAUAUGUCUAUUAAUUUUCAAUAUGUCUACCAAUUUCGAAUAGGUCUACCAAUUUUCAAAUAACUCUACCAACAUCGAAGCUCCCAAAUGAGUUAUAUGUCUACCAUAUUAUCAAAUAAAUCUAUUUUUUAAAACAAUAAGUCUACCACCGCCAAAUAUAUCUAUUACAUAGUUCCAUAUGUCUAUCACAUAUCUAUACUCUCUAACGGAACUUUUAAGUCUACCACACAGAAAACAAGUCUAUUAUUUCAAAACAAAUCUAUUAUCGACAUUUACAUCUACCAUGCAUACAACAAAACUAUCACGAAUAAAUUUUUUAUAUUGUAGUAGAUUUAUAUUUAUUAGAAAUAAGUCUAUUUUUGUGUCUAACAAGUCUACUAUGAAAGUUAAUAAGUCUACCGAUUUUGGUCAACCACAUCUCACAAAGUCAACUCAACAACAUUAUGUCUACCAACUUGAAAAUAAAUCUACUUUAAAAACCAACAAGUCUACCAACACAUUCAAAUAUCUACCAACAAUUUUAAAUAUACCUUUCGAUGAAAAUAAAUCUAUCAUUAUAAGUCUAUCAACAUCUAAACAAAUCUAUUUUUGGAAUAUUAAGUCUACCAAAAAUUAUUAUGUCUACCGACAUAUUUUUAAAUCUACCAAAACUUAUAUAUCUACCAUUAAGCUUGAUAGACUUAUUUCUGGGUGUCCGAUUUUAACGGCUGACGUGGAAAUAAUUUAAUAAUGGCAUUUUUGUAAAUACGUUUUUUCUCAUCAAAGCUUCCCGAGGGUAAAAUCGGAUUUUUUUAAAAUAGAAGGUUAUUCUACUAAUUUCGAGAAUGUAAGGUUAUUCUACUAAUUUCAGCUAUUUUUAAAGUCACAAUAGCAAUCCUCCCUAUAAAAUAACAAAGCGAACAAAAAGUAACAUAGGCUAACACAUUUUUUUUUAAACACCUAGAAUUUGAAAACAUUAAGACUAACAUUUAUCAGAAAAUCUUCUUCAUUCACCAGUCGACCAUUAAAGGCUCUGUCCUCGCAGCUCAUUGCACGUAAUUCAGAAACUUUUCGGUAUUAUUGAGUCCAGUAGCAUUUUCAGAGGUUGCAAGCCUUAUAUAUUUCAUCCCACCCCAGCCAGGCGUCAACAUUUCAGCAAGAACAUGACAAGAGAGUAUUGAUGUGUGGUAAUAAUCUACCGUAGAAUGCAUUGAACUUAUUCGACACCUAAAUCGGCCAUCCUUGCUUUCUGUCAGUAAUCAUUUUGCGAAUACACACUUCCUGAAGGUUUUCCGGCUAAUUUUGGCGAGAUACACAUCACCCUUGAGAUUUUACAUCAUAACUUUUAUGAACAUAAGCUUACCCUCUAUUUGCCGCAAACUUAAUCAGUUGAAUCCCUCCGAAAUCGUGCAGAUGAAAAUAAGCUUGCAUAUCCCUCAUGAAAAACAUUAAAUGGAUUCCCAGCAUCAUAGAACUCUUGAAAGAUGUCUGUGAGUAAAUGAUGAUUGGGCCAAAGAGCCGCUAUCUCCAUGGGGUUAACUGCAUAGCGAAAAAUACAGUGUUUCUAGUGCAGACGUUGAAUCUGUGACAAACAACACGAAGCUGGGCCAUAUCAGCGAGUGAAGGAUUCGUCAAUGCCAAAACUUUCUCCAGUAAUUGAGCCGAUAGGGCUAGGAGAUAACAGUACAAUGCAUCCACAGCCAGCAAUGGAUUUAGAAGAUUAGGGAAAACAAAACAGUAAAAAAACACACUUUAUAACUGAAAGAAAUUAGACAAGGAAUCUUGUCGAUUAAAUGCAUCUAUUCAUAACUAAACCGCCUAUUCAUUUUAAAACCGCAUAUUAAAACUACAACAACCUUUUUGUUUCCAACUUAAUUAUUACACGACACUAAAUGAAAAGUUAUUUAAGGUUAAAUAUAAAAAAUAUUUGGAAAUUUAUUUACGUCCAUGGCAUCUUUGAUGUUAACACUAAAUAUAUUUCUGUGUAUGGACACAUAAUAGUUACAACUUUUAUGAUGUUAGGCAAGUUGUACACACUCAUACAGUGUACAAAAUUCUUAUGGUGUACAGAUAAUAUGGUAUACAGAUAUUGGUGUAUAGAUAAUAUGGUGUAUAGAUAAUAGUGUACACACUUCUUGUAAUUUUGGUGUAUAAUUUUGUAAUGUAUGAGUUAUGAAUUCUCCAAUAAAGAUCAACCGAUAGAGCUAUUAUUUUUUUUUUUAUAUACGUUUGAAUUAGUGUUCAACCUUAGAAUAGGUGUACACGUGUACACUAAGAAUGGGUGUACGGAUUUUAAAUCAGAAUGGUGUACAACAACAGAAUCAAAAAUAGUAGGAGAUAAUUCUUGAAGAUUUGUACAUAAGUUUGUACUAUAACAUAUCAUAAUCCAACCAAACACAAAAUAACAUAGACAUAGGGUUAAAACAUUGUUUAAAAAACCUAGACAUUGAAAACAUUUAACAACAAAAUAAAUAAAAAAAAUAAAAAACAAAAAUAUUAAAAACCAUUUCAAAGAAAUUAUUCUCCCUUCACCAGUCCACCAUUAAAGACUCUAUCCUUAUAGCCUCGGGCACGUAUCUCAUAAAAUUUAUGGUUUCUUGAGUCCAGAAACAAUAGUUGCAGAUGUUCACAGGUUUAUACAUUUCAUCCCACCAAACCACCAAGCGGUUAACAUGUACGCAAGGACAGAAAAAAUAGAGUAUUGAUGCGCGAUAAAAAGUGACGGUGGCAUGUAUUGAACAUCUCCGGUAACUGAAUUGGCCAUCCACGCUGUCUGUCUUUAAUAAUUCUGCGAAUACACCUCCUUAACUUUUUUUGGCUAAUGUUGGCGAGGUACACAUCACCCUCGGAAUUUUCCAUCACGACUUUCAUGAACAUCCCAUAGACAUAAAUUGCAAGCGUGUACCCUCUAUCCGCUGCAACCUUAAUCAAUUGAAUCCCUCUGAAAUCGUGCAUAUGAAAUAGGCUUGCAUACCUCUCAUGAAAAUUAUUUCCAGAUUUCUAGCAUCAUAGAACUCUCGAAAGAUGUCUGUGAGUAACUAAGGAUGGGUGCCAUGUCAAUGCGGUCAACUGCAGCGUAAAUCCAGGGCUUCUAGUGCAAACCUUGAAUCUCUCACAAAGAACAUGAAGCUGGAUUAUUCGGCGAUUGAAUGAUUCAUCGAUGCCAAAACGUUUUCUAGUAAUUCGUCUGGUAGGAUUACGAGAUAAUAGUAUGAUGCAUCUGCCAUAGUAUAUAUGUGGAUUUUGAAUAUAAAAAAAAAACACUUUAUUUGAGUGAGAAACAUGGACUUAGAAGAAAGUAAUAGACUACUUAAAACAAAGUGAUAGAUUUGGAAAAUAAAAACUAAAGAUAAACACCCUUUAUAAGUGAACAACUGGGGGUAAAACAAAGUGAUAGAUUUGGAAAAUAAAAACUAAAGAUAAACACCCUUUAUAAGUGAACAACUGGGGGUAGACGAGAAGUCUCGUCGAAUGAACGCGUCUAAUCAUAACUAAACUGCUAUUAUUAUUGGAAUCACAACCACCAUUGUGUUUCCAAAUUAAUAGUGAGAUAACAUUAAAUUAAAAGUUUGGCGGUUUAAGUAAAAAAUUUGCUAUGAUAUUGGAUUUAUAUUUGUGUAUUAUGUACGCAUGUGUUGUAUUGUGUACACAUGUAAAACUUUUCAAUUAUCGGCGUUUCUUAUCUAAUCCUUUUCAUGAUAAAUGUCGACCAAAAUUCUCCACCAUUGUAUUUUUCCAAAUUAAUGAUGACAUGAAAUUUAAUAAAAAGUUUGUCGGUUUGGUGUACACAAUUACGUCACAAACUGAAUUAACAAUUCACGGCACAAAUCUGAAUCAUUAAUGAAGUUUGAAAACCCAAUUUACACAAACGAACAGCACGCCCACAAAACUUGAUUCAGUUACACAUUCUUAUAACAAUAAACAUAAAAGCAUUUCAAUCUAGCAUUCAUUCUACGGGUUUGUAACAUCAGGAUUGCCCACAAACUCUUUGUAAGAGUGAUAACACCUGAUUUUGACCAUUUUCACCAUUGAUUUCAAAUGCUUUUUCAAAGGUUUUAAUCAGUUUUAGGAACUUUUAUUAUGAUUUUCAUGUAUUUGUAGUUUCGAGGCUCUUUUCAGGAAACUUAGGGAAAAUGAUGGCAAAAUGGAAGAAAUCCACUUUUUUUAGCUCAGAGUCAGACCGUCAGAAGUUCAGCCUCAAAUGAAGAAUUUCUCACCGUCUGAUCCAGCUCAAAGUUGGAGACAAUCAAGAGGAUACAACCAGCUUUCCAUAGCACUUUACAUCACAAAGAUCCAACGGUGCAAUCAAAAGAUACAUGGAGAACAAGUUGACCCAGUUCACCAGUCCCGGAAGACCCUCACCCGAAGUAAACACAUGUUUUACCUGCCUUGGAAUACUCUCACCCGCGGUGGACCUUAGGAUGAGCCACAAGGCUCAACAUCAAAGCCCACUUUGCCAUUCCUCUUCAGAGAAGCCCUAAAUGAGAUCAGGAAGACCUUAAAACCUAUAAAUACAUUCUUUAGCAGACCUAAACGGGGGUGUGCUCCUGUAAUGAGUUUUUGAGCCACCAAACUUUGUUUUUCUAGGGUUAGGCGAUGGAGAUGGGGAUUCUUCCCCAGAUGCAUUGUUCUUUCUCCUUUUUAUCUUAUUAACUUUUCUGUUUCAUUCUUUUGCAUUCUUCUAUGUCUUUUAUCAUUCAUUGCAUCAUGUAGAUUAGUCCCAGAGAGUCAAAUUGUUUGAAGAUUUCGAUAGGUACAUAUAUCGAUUAGGAUUUCUAUAGUUCUAAACCAUAUUAUGGAUCUCAUCUCUUCUAAGUUAUUCAUAUUGCAUGAGAGUAGAUUCAUGACCUAUUCUCUGAGCCUAGGAUCGAUCAGAGCCACGAGAGUGCUGUAUCAGAUCAUCCGUACCUAGCUUCAGAAGAACAUAGUCGCUAUAGGAGUCGAAAGCUACCUAUAGAGAAGAUGUGAGUAGACGAAUUCAAUGUCUAAUGCAUGAUCUUACUUUUGACAUGAGAGCGAGAGUUAAUUAUCAGAUCUAAGUGAUUAGUUGAUUAAGAUGGCGAGAGUUGGUUAAUCAUACAUAAGUCUACUCUAGUUCCAUGCAGAUCCCAGAAACAGAUGAAGAUAAAUCACCCAGAAGCUAAUUGGAAAUGCCAUCAUACAUUGAUUAGAGUAAACCGGAGAAGUGUAAGUCGCCACCUAUGAGUUUGAGAGUUUAUAGUUUGAGUCGAUAUGCUUGAGAUAUUCUUUUAACAAUUCAUCCUGCAUUGCAUCUUAUUUCUUGUGAAUAUUAGAUUAGGUUUUGUUUAUGAUUCUUAACCAAAAACCCUAAAACCCCAUGAGUUUAUGACUUUGCUUACUUUCCCAGUUUGUUGUUUCUCGCAGAUUAGACAUCAUCCCUAUGGAUCGACACCCAAAGUCCUACAACAUACAUCUGUGCACUUGCAGACACUAAGAUUUUAUAAAUUUAAAACUUUUGGAGGACCAACGGACUUGUUAAAAACAAAUCCUAGGCCCGUAAGCCCAUCAAAGAGUUCAUGGGAACAGUUCAUAAAAACAUUUCAAACUAGCAUUCAUUCUACAGGUUUACAUUUCUUUGGCAUACAAAGACAUAUAUUUUGCUUCCCACUUCAUCUAGAUGCUCCAUAAUCAUGUCUCGACUAUGUAAAAAAAAAAAAAAAUCAUGUCUCAACUAUGUCAGUAAAAGAAAAAUCAUGUUCCAGCUCUGUUAAUGGAGGAAUAUGUUUCAAAUCAAAAUAUCCAAUAUAAACACACCAUAAACCAUUGAAUGAGUAACUAUGGUUGAUAAAUAGAGCCACAUAUCCUCCUUUCUUCGCUUUGGUCAGAAAUUUUGAUAAAGGAUUAAUCUUAGCGAGGACUUUCUCUAGGGAAAUUUCAAGAACAAUCACAGAUGAAUAAUGAUAUUGGUGAUAUUAUAGAACUGGCAAAGAAGAAGAUAGUUAUAUAUUAGAUACACUGUGAGUUUAUAACUCAUUUCAAUGGAACCAUGAACAUGAAUUUAUUGGUAAAGAUGUGCUAGAGAGAAUUCCCGAGGAGAUUAAUCUUGGAAAAAAAUAUGUUAUCGCUGGAAAUAAAUAAGGAACUGUGGCUCUCUUUAUAAACCAUUAAGUGAUUUACACUUAAAGAUAAUUUACCCACUUAUUAUAACAAAAAUGCAUUUCAACUAUUAGGGGACUUUAAACAAUGUUUACCUCAACUAAAUCUGAAAUUAUCCCUAGUGAUCUUUAGAAACAGUAAUUAUUUUUUCCCAUUUGUUUUCGUUUGUAUUUGUCUAUUGUGAUAGAUAUAAAACAAUUUAUUUUGUUAGAAUAAAUUAUAAUUGUUUUUAGUGUUUAAGAGCCAUCUUAGUAUAGUUAUUGAUAACACCGUGUUUCGUCCAUUUUCAUUAAAGAUUUCUUAUGUAAUUUCAAAUGUUUUAUAUAGUAAAGUAUUUUUUAUUAUGGUUUUCCUAUAUUUGUAAAUUCAAAAAAAAAUUCAGGUUACUUAGGAAAAAAUCUUGCAAAUUGGAGAAAAACUAGAUUUUCAGCUCAACGUUAAACUGUCAGAAGUUCAAUCUCAAAUAAAGACUUCACUCCAUCUGAUCAAGCUCAAAUGACUUUCUAGAGGGACCAAUUAGCUUUCCAUUGCACUUUACUUGAGGACAAUCUAACGGUUCAACUAAAAUACAAAUGAAGAUCAAGAUGUCUUGUCAAACAUCCCAAACUGCAUUUGAGCCGUGGUAAACACAGAGCUGGCUGCGUCUCCGAGCUUGCAGUCAUGGAGAACCAACCUUUCACCGGUCUUGGAGAACCCCGACCUGCGGCCAACCUUAAUCCGACCCAAAGGGCCAUUUUCAGGCCCAUUUUGCAUUCUCUUCAAAGAAAACCUUAAGGACAACUUAAGAAGACUUGAAGCACUAAAAAUAUAUGUUUUUUUAUCGAGAGUCCCUUAGUCUUUUCUCUGGUGCUACCAAAUUUUACUUCUUUGUCUUAAUUAUUUGUUUAGGGAGAUAGAGAUCUCUCGUGAACAUUUUUUUUACCUUUUUUAUAUCGAUUCAGUUUAUGCAUUCAUGUAUCAUGUUCUUACUUUCUUUAAUCAUGUCUGAGUAGAUUAGUAGUUAGGUUUAAGGGAUGUAUCGAUGGGGAUCUAAUGUUUGAUUUUGAGUUUUUGUUUUCUUAGCUGAAUUCUAGGUCUCACUGUUCUAAGUUUAUUCAUACUUCAUGAAGUAAGAUUCAUGAACUAGCAACUGAUUUUAGGAAGUUAAAGCCACAAUGAUGUGCUGUCGUGUGAGGGUGUCAAGUUUUACCUUAAAUGAAAUCAAUAGCCGCAAGUGCACAGCUGAUCGAUUGUAAAACUUAGGGAUCGAAUCCACAGGGAAGGAGGAUCUUUCCUGCAAAAGUCUUCAAAAGAAAUAUAAAGUAAGGAAGUCUAGAACCUCUGCGAUUUUUGUGAGGGUUUUGGUGGUGUCUUUAAAACGUAAAAACUAAUCUUAACGAGAAAAUACAGGAAUUAAAAUGACCUAAUAACUACACUUAAUGAAAUCGACUAAAAACGAGAAAAACAGCUAAACCUAAUUGCUUAAAGGAAAAUCGAUUAAAAGAGUAAAGAUACUAGACUAAAGCUUAAAUAAAAAUCGAUGUAAAUCUAUAGGAAAGAGGCACUGGGUUUCAGGGAAGUUUUCUCUAGGGUAUGAACGAUUCAAAACAUUGAUAGAGAGUAAAUUUGAUAAGAUCUUAGCUUAAACUUUUCGAACUAGAGUUACGGACGUAUGAAUAUGCCACUGUCGUGAUCAUAGACAACUAUCUCUCUCAACCCUGACCAGUAGGUUUCCACUCUGGCCCUGGAAGAGAAAGAUGCAUUAUAUUUAAGACUCGUCAGUAUUCACAAAUCGCCCAUAGGUAAGUUUCCACUCCUAUGUUUGUUUUGCUCUCCCAAAUUAGAUCUGACACCGGAUGAACACUUUCGUGUCACCAAUCAUCUGGAUCAGAUUGUAGUUCAUGACGCUACUCUCAUGCAGUAAAAAUAAAUUUAGAAGAAAAAGUUCUAAGAUUCGGCUUCAAUAGCUCAUGGAAUCCUCAUCGAACAUAUGUAUCCCCAUCGAAAAUCCCUUAGACCCAACAAUAAAACUACUCAGACAUGAUGAACGAAAUCAAAAACAUAAUAUUGAAAAGUAAAGCAAUAGUCGAAAUUGAAAAAGAAAGAACAAGGGUUCAAGAGACAAAUCUCUAUCUCCCUAAACCCUAAAACUUAAAAAGUAUUCUAAAACAAUAAGAGCAUAUGAGGUUCAUACGAAUUAGGGUUCCUAAAACAUGUAUUUAUAGUGCUGAAGACAUCUCUAGGCGUCACUUAGGGUUUCUCCAAAUGAGGGAAUCAUUUUGGGCUUCAGAAAUGGGCCUUCAAACUCGGAGUUGGCUGGCCGCGGUCGGGAUGUGCGUGACCGCGGGAAAUGGAUGGUUGGCCGCGGUCGGGAAGCCUCUGACCGUGGGGAAAUGGCGGUUGGCCGCAGGUGGAAACGCUUGCCGGCUGGUUUACGGGACAUCUUGCUCUUCGCGUAUCUUUUGAUUGAACCGUUGGAUUGCCAAGCUGUAAAGUGAGCUGGAAAGCUGAUACUUCCAUCUUUGAGAUCUCCAAAUUUGAGCUGGAUCGGACGGUGAUAAAGCCUUCAAUCGGGGGUGAACUUCUGACGGUUUGACUCUGAGCUAAAAAUCUGGUAUUCUAUCCAUUUUGUUAAGCUUUUCCCUAAGUUUCCUGAAAAGAGUCUUGGAACUACAAAUACUAGAAAAACGUAAUAAAAUUAUUUGAAAGCAAUAAAAAACAUAGAAAAAGUAUUUCAAAACGAUCCAUAAAAGUGGUAAAAAUACAGUGUUAUCAACUCCCCCAGACUUAAACCUUUGUUUGUCCUCAAACAAAACAAAAGUCUAAAUUGGUUAAGUGAAAACAAAAAUAGGAAACGCACAGAUGUCAGAGACAGGAACUCCUAAACUAGGACCAAAGAUCGUGCAUCAAUCCACAACUUAGUCUAGAAAAUUCUCACCAAGACACAAAAGAUACUACUCCACUUUUUCCGUCAUGCAAAACUUAAAUAAUCUAAAUCUUGAUUCCAGUCAACUAGCUCUCUACAUUCAUUAAGUGCAAAAGUGAAUUCUCAUUAAAGACAUCAUCCAGGGUAGACGGCGUUUGGCAUUAAAGGACUGUUUAAGUGGUGGAGUUAAAGUGUUUCGGGUUACCUGAUGAAUCUGGAGGAUGCAAGAUAAUAUGCAAAACCGCAAGAGAGAUAAGUACCUGUUGAUGACCGCAAUUUUCAGUCACUUCUUCUUGCCAAAUGUUGUUGCAUAAUCCUUCUUCCUUUGUUGUGAACAACUAUUCCCCCAUACUUAGAUUCUUUGUGGGAAUCAGAAAAUGAUCUCCAAAACUCCAGUUGCCUUGGGACUUAAAAUUUCGACCUCUCUAGACUCUCUAAGGCUUUUAUUUCCUUUUAUUUCCUUUUUUUUUUAACGAAAGGGGAUACCUUCUCAAGAGAAGGAGACUAGAGGAUGAGAUUGUACCAAUUUUUGAGAAUAUUCUAAGGCAAACUGAGCUUCCUCUUGUGUUGAAUCCUUCCGGGAACUUUUCCGACAAAUCGUAGGUCUCUGUCCUUGGUGACUGAAAACUGCGUCGUUCCUCUUUAUCUCCAACGUUUUUGCACUUAUCUGCAUAUAAGUCAAUAGAUAACAAGAGUGCAUGUGGUUUGAAAGAGGACUGGUUAAGGUGGGGAACUAGCUAAAGAUGAACUAGCCAUUCAGGAUCAACAUAGAGUGGUAAAAGGAUAAAGGAGUCCUGAAUGUAUGAUUCGUUUCCCUGGUCUAAAGCUUCAAUGAGAAAAUUAAGUCCAAAUUAAGUCCAAAUAAAACAGAGCUAGUGUAUCCCUUCAUCUAAAUCGAAAUCAUUCAAAUUCCUCUGGGGUACUUCGUUUCAAAUGUGCUUAGCUACCGCCUAGUCUAGUCAUAAAUCGUGAAUGAGCAUGUCACUAGGAACAGUCUAAAGCACACAGUCAACUAUCAUUGAUUCAUGUUCACCAUUCCCUUUAAAACGUAUUUUGUUUUGAAAAUCGAUUUUGAAAAACUUUAAGGAAAAAGCAAAAAGUGUAGAUAAUAAAAGACUCAUGAAAGAAAAGUAGUUAGAAAGGGAUGAAAUCCUCCCCCAGACUUAAAUCACACUGUCCUCAGUGUGAAAAAAGUCGAGACUGGAUGAGAAAAAUGCAUAGAUAUUCGAAUUUGGUAAGGCCAAAGAGAACUUACCUGGAUCCGGGAUGCUGGUGGAGGUGGACCGAAUUCAUUCGAAGAGGUUUGGGAAGGUGAUAGGUGGUGAUGGAAGGUGGUGGAAAGUGAUGAAUGAGGUGGAAUGGGGCUUGGUUAGGUGGAAUAAGGUGAAGUGGGUGGUUUGAGGUCGGGUAUCAUCUCAACGACCAUUUGCCGCGGUCAGGAGUCACGCGACCGCGGCAAACCGAUGCUCGGCCGCGGUCAGAAAGACGCGGCCGCAGUCAUAAAGAUGCGGCCACGGUCGAAGUGGUGUCUCCCUCGGUCAGAACACCUGCGAUCGCGGGGGCAUAAAUGCGGCCUGAUUCCUGCUUCUCCUUGGUUCCUGCUGGGCCGAGCAAUCAGGGACCAUCCUUCUUUUUGGUUUUUUGGGUUUUUUGAUUUUUUAGCUUUUCUAAUCAUGAGAAACACCUGAAACUAAGAAAAAGAAAAAGAUCAAUAGAAAAAAGAAAGAAAAAUCCUAAAGAAAACAAUACCUAAAUGGGUUGCCUCUCAUUAAGCGCUUUUGUUUUAAGUCGUUUAGCUCGACUUUGAUGUAGGACAUGGCUCAAUCAUUAAAAGACAAUGUCUUGGGACAAGUCCUCUUUGCUUCUCCUUGUCUUUCCUUUGUAUAUCCCUUAUAACGCCAUUCCAAAUUGGAAAUUUUGUCCUUAGGUUCGAGAUGGUAGCUUCCUCCAAGAUCAAAAAUCAGUCUUGGAACUUCUUUGAGGUAUGAGUCUUCAACACCACUUGUGAUAGGAGAACAUCUUAGAUGCUUGUAUGAUGAGGUGAAUAAGGUUUCUCUCACGUCAUAACAUUGGACCAUGUUGCAAGACACAAGGACGAAUGAUUCUUUAUGAUCUGAUGUGGUGGAGAAGGUUGAGCAUCCCAGGUGAAGACAGUUUGUUUGGAGAGGUGUCUUCAUGGCUUGAACUGUCAAAUGGUCGGUAUAAAGAGCAUUUGCCGCGGGUGGAAGUGUCACGACCGCGGUGAAAGAUGGUUUGGCCGCAGGUGCAAGUGUCGCGACCACGGAGAAACAUGGGUUGGCCGCUGGUAGCGCACUCGCGACCACGGAGAAACAUGGGUUGGCCGCUGGUAGCGCACUCGCGACCGCGGUGCUGAAUGUCCGAGGAGAAAUGUUCAGAUCUUCUUGCUUCUUGUCUCCAAUUCUUUUUGCUUGUGGAGAGUCUUCGGAAAGGAGUCUUGAGGGCCAUUUAAGCUUCACUCUUGCUUCAAUUAAGUCUCCAACACCUCUCAUAAGAGCAUUGGUUGAAGGUGUACAUAAGGAAAUACCUUUGUUCGUCAAACUUGUAAAUCCAGCAUUUUCUUUGGGUGCUCUUCUUUCUAUAACGUAUAUCCAACAUCCUUUGUAGCUCUUCCAGGGUCGAAUAUUGGAUCAUCCACGCUGCCUAUGAUCAUACAAUGAGAGUUCCUUGUAGGAAUCACCGGAUAUGAUGUUUUCUUGUUGAUCUUUGAUAAGCACAUCUUUUGGUAGUUGAUGAGUGUUUCAACAGAUGCUAGGAACGAAGUACCAAAUAUCAAGGGUUUCGUUUCAUAUUUUCUCAUCUCCAUAACAUGGAAAUCAGUAGAAACAAGACAAACUUUCCCUUGAAAAGGCAAUUUGUGUUUGAAACAAAGUGGAGCUGCACCAGAAAAACCUUCAUAGUGAAUGUAAAUCUUAAGAGGAUGAAAAAUCGAAAUACCUUUAUUCUCUGCAAUUGUCUUUGGUAUGAGAUUCACAUCAAGUCCAGUAUCACAAAGAGAAUCACAAAAUUUCACUCCCUUGAUUGAGAAUGGGGCAUCAAACUUCUCGGGAUCCUUCAUCUUAGAAAGCACCUCCAAUUGUGGUUUUGAUGUCAUCUUAUAACUUUCACUUGGUCUGUCUCACACUCAAGAUGGUGAGGAGCUGAAGGAGAAAAAGGCUUUGGUUCAUCAAGAGAAAGUGACUUAUGAUCUUGUUUGUCAUCUCCAAAACACUUGAACGAAUCGGUAGAGACGAGAUCGUCACUAGGGAUAGAAAUAGGUUCUCCUUUUUUCUUGAUGACUGGCUUCCAUGACGUGAUGAUCCAAAAAAAUUUCAUUUAAUGGCCUCUUUCUAACAAACUUGAUGGAGGAUUCUCCAUCUACUUCAUUAGCUACCCAAUACCCGUCAUCCAUAGAUUCAUUGAGCUCUUGAAGCAUAUCAUCAAUCUCUGUUUGGGAGACGGACGGCAUAUCUUCAUCAAAGAGAGGAUCAUGGAUAUCUCCGUAGGCAUUGUGAGUUGAAUAAGGAUCGUGGUCCUUGUAGAAUCUCAGUUCCUCUAAAACUUCGCGAAUUGAUUUGUUGUGGCUGCGAAGUCCUCUUGUGUGGUGGUUCGGAAUCGAAUUCUGAUCCAUUGAGGAGAGAUCACGAAUGUAUUGUGCUUCUCGGCGUCGAGUGGCUUGAGGAGUGUUGUAACAACCUCUCUCAUAGUAGUAAUUUCGUUUCAUAUGGUCCAUUGCUUCAUAAUCUAAAACAAGAAGAACCAAAAGCAAAAAUAAGUAGAAAAUGUGUUCUAGAGUCGAUUUACCAACCUUUCUUAGGGUUUUGUGGAAAAGAAAACGCGUGCCUUCCCCGGCAACGGCGCCAAAAACUUGAUGUGCUGUCGUGUGAGGGUGUCAAGUUUUACCCUAAAUGAAAUCAAUAGCCGCAAGUGCACAGCUGAUCGAUUGUAGUACUUAGGGAUCGAAUCCACAUGGAAGGAGGAUCUUUCCUGCAAAAUCCUUUGAAAUAAAUAUAAAGUAAGGAAGUCUAGAACCAGGCAAUUUUUGUUAGGGUUUUAGUGGUGUCUUUAAAACGUAAAAACUAAUCUUAACGAGAAAAUAUGAAAAUUAAAAUGACCUAAUAACUAAACUUAAUGAAAUCAAUUAAAAACGAGAAACCGGCUAAACCUAAUUGCUUAAAGGAAAAUCGAUUAAAAGAGUAAAGAUACUAGAAUAAAGCUUAAAUAAAAAUCGAUGUGAAUCUAUAAGAAAGAGGCGCUGGGUUUCAGGGAAGUUUUCUCUGGGGUAUGAACGGUUCAAAACAUUGCUAGAGAGUAAAUUUGAUAAGAUCUUAGCUUAAACUUUUCGAACUAGAGUCCCAGACGUAUGAAUAUGCCACUGUCAUGAUCAUAGACAACUAUCUCUCUCAACCCUGACUAGUAGGUUUCCACUCUGGCCCUGGAAGAGAAAAGAUGCAUUAUGUUUAAGACUCGUCAACAUUCACAAAUCGCCCAUAGGUAGGUUUCCACUCCUAUGUUUGUUUUGCUCUCCCAAACUAGAUCUGAAACUGGAUGAACACUUUCGUGUCACCAAGCAUUUGGAUCAGAUUGUAGUUCAUGACGCUACUCUCAUGCAGUAAAAACGAAUUCAGAAGAAAAAAUUCUAAGAUUUGGCUCAAUAGCUCAUGGAAUCCUCAUCGAACAUAUGUAUCCCCAUCGAAAAUCCCUUAGACCCAACAAUAAAACUAGUCAGACAUGAUAAGCAAAAUCAAAAACAUAGUAUUGAAAAGUAAAGCAAUAGUCGAAAUUUAAAAAAGAAAGAACAAGGGUUCAAGAGACAAAUCUCUAUCUCCCUAAAACCUAAAACUUAAAAAGUAUUCUAAAACAAUUAGAGCAUAUGAGGUUCAUACGAAUUAGGGUUCCUAAAACAUGUAUUUAUAGUGCUCAAGACAUCUCUGGGUGCCACUUAGGGUUUCUCCAAAUGAGGGAAUCAUUUUGGGCUUCAGAAAUGGGCCUUCGAACUCGGAGUUGGCUGGCCGCGGUCGGGAUGUGCGUGACCGCGGAGAAUGAAUGGUUGGCCGCGGUCGGGAAGCCUCUGACCGUGGGGAAUUGGCUGUUGGCGAUGGGUGGAAACGCUUGCCGGCUGGUUUACGGGACAUCUUGCUCUUCGCGUAUCUUUUGAUUGAACUAUUGGAUUGCCAAGCUGUAAAGUGUGCUGGAAAGCUGAUACUUCCAUCUUUGAGAUCUCCAAAUUUGAGCUGGAUCAGACUGUGAGAAAGCCUUCAAUCGGGGGUGAACUUCUGACGGUUUGACUCUGAGCUAAAAAUCUGGUCUUCUAUCCAUUUUGUUAAGCUUUUCCCUAAGUUUCAUAAAAAAAGUCUUGGAACUACAAAAUCUAGAAAAACGUAAUAAAAGUACUUGAAAACAAUUAAAAACAUAGAAAAAGUAUUUCAAAACGAUCCAUAAAAGUGGUCAAAAUAUGGUGUUAUCACACAACAAUGUUGUAUUUAUCGGCCAGACAUAGCUUCAGAAGAGCGAAAUCACUGUAGGAGACGAAAGCUACCUAUAGAGUAUCAUGAGCAUAUAUGAAACUUGUGUGAUAUUGCAUGAUCUCCCUCGCGACAUCAGACUAGUUACACAUUUGUGAUUUUGAAUUCCAUGAGAUUAAGUAGAGACCGAUUUUUAAGAGCUUAGGAAAGUGCACGAAUCGAACAUCCCCUGAGGUAUUCUUGUCAACCAAACAUUCAUUGUCGACACCUUAAGUACACUUAUCACAGCUGUGCACUCGCAGAUACUAGGGUUUUACAAAUUUAAAACUUAAGUCUGCGACAUCAAAUGUUAUCUGAUGUGAUUCUGGAAAGCAACAAUAAGGACUUAGAGCUGGAACUAGAAGAUGGAGAGUAAGUAGCUGAGGAACAAGAGAUUAUAGCUAAUCAAGAAGAUCUCUUAAGCGUUCCAAGUGGUCCAAUGACUCGAUCAAGGACUAAGAAGCUUAAGCAAACUAUUGGAGCUAUCAUAAAAGGCCUGGAUACGAUUGAAGAGGGAAAAGAGCCGAUCACAAGCACACUGAUUUGUGAUCCAAGUCCAAGAUGGCUAAGUGGGCUUGAGAUCCAGGCUUGUACUCUUUUUCUCUAUCUCAAGUUUUGUCCCAUUGAGUUUUCUUUACGUAGGUUUUCAAUGAGGAAAGAAUGGAUCUCUAAAUUCGCGUAAGUCCACAAAGUCUUGAAGCCCAAGUUGUGCCGAGUCAGAGGAGCGUCUAAAUCAAAUUCAAACUUGCCAACUUGUGCUUUGUUUAUUUCCAAGAUGAGUUUGAUGUUUGUGAGACUCAUCUCUUCUUUCUUUCUUCUUUAUAAUCGCUUGUACCCCUUUGUAUCAAACUAUUUUAUCUUUUAUUCUAAAACUCAUUUUCAAAGAUGAAAAUCUCAUUUGUUGGUGUGUCAUAUCCAUCAAACAACUUGAAUCAACUCUGUGUGUGUCAUAUCACUUAGAAGAUUCAAGCAGGCGUAUCAAGAGUGUUCCGCGACUCUUGUGUGUGUCCUUUCACUUCCUCAAUCCUUGAAUCAACUUCGUUUGAUUGCAAGACCUAUUUUCCUUGAGUUCCAGUCAUUAGAGUGUCGAUCAAGGACAUAUCCUUACUAGUAUCACAUCAAGUGGUAUCAGAGCACCAUUCUAAUCACUGGAUCGUCGAGUAUCAGGUUGUGUCGAUUCAUAUCUGAAUUUUGUUCAUGUUCUACUCAUCAUCUUAAUUAUAGAAAACUAUAAACUUCAUCACAACCGCGUUUAUGAUCACUUGUAUUAGAUCCAUUGAGAAAUCACUUGUUUGCAUCACAAGACACAUAGAUCGAACUAUUAUGUGCUAUAAACUGAUAGAUCAAUUCAUAUUUGCAUCAGUUUCAAUUUGUCUUUUCAACUUCUAUCACAGAUCUAUUCUCUAAAUGCUUAAAGUGUCUGUUAAGAUUCCAAGUGGAUCACGAAUAGUCGUCAGCAAAUAGAAUCGAUUGCUAGUGAUCUUUGCUUGUGUUUAAUUUUAGGGAAUCAUGACAGAAGAAGAAUAGACCAGUCAUCAGCGAGACAACAAGCUUCUGAUGGAGGCAAUGACCGAAAAGAUGAAAGAACUGAUGGCUGCUCAGUUCGAAGUGUUUAAGCAAGAGAUGCAGCACCAGUCUGAUGCAAAAACAGAUCGAGAAACAAGGAGAAGAAAUUGUGUGCAAUCUCCUGAGAGAACCGGAUAACAACUUAGACCACCAAGAGAUAAAGCGGCUGAAUCAUAUUACAGCAGAGACAGCAGCUCCUCUAGGAGCCAUCACCGACGCCAGAGACGAGCCAGAGAAGAGCCUAUACCUCUUCAAGACGGAUUAGGUGGAAUCAAGUUACGAAUUCCCUUGUUUCAUGGGAAAAAUGAUCCGGACACUUACCUAGUAUGGGAGAAGAAGAUUGUAUUGGUCUUUUAACUGUCAACAUUAUACCAAGAUCAAUCGAGUAAGGGUCGCAGCCACCGAGUUCUACGACUACGCCUUAAGCUGGUGGGAUCAGUUGGUUACUUCUGGAAGAAGAAAUGGAGAAUACCUUGUUGAGAGAUGGCAGGAAAUGAAAAUUAUCAUGAGGAAGAGGUUUGUGCCGAGUCAUUACCAUAGGGAGUUGCAUCAGAGGAUCAGAAGGUUGGCUCAAGAAAACCGAUCGGUUGAAGAGUACUAUCAAGAUAUGGAAACCUUUAUGCUGAGGGCUGAUAUCACCGAAGACAGAGAAGCCAUAAUGUCAAGGUUUCUAGGAGGUCUAAACCGAGACAUACAAGAUCGGUUUGAGAUGCAGCAUUAUGUGGACAUUGAGGAAAUGUUGCACAAGGCCAUUCUUAUCGAGCAGCAACUCAAGAGAAAGCCUGUGACAAAACCAAACUAUGGAGCUGUUUCUACAACUAUUAGACCGAGUUAUCAGAAGGAGGAAAAGCCAACCUCGUUUCAGAGAGAAGGAAAGUAACUGGCAGUGCCAAACCCGGAGAUAAAGAUCCAUGCAUCUUCACAAGACAACAAAGGCAAACCUGAGACCUCCAUAAGUCGUGCCAGAGAUGUUAAGUGCUUCAAGUGCCAAGGCCGAGGUCAUUACGCCAAUGAAUGUUCCAACAAAAGAGUUAUGGUACUAAGAGAUAAUGGAGAUAUUGAAUUUGAAGAAGAAGGAUCAGAACCUGAACCCAUGACCGAGUAUGAGGAGAUGCCAGCUCAAGGAUCAUUGUUAGUUGCCAGAAGAUCUCUAAGCAUUCAAUCAAAGACUGAAGAGCAGGAACAAAUAGAGAACCUGUUCCACACUCGGUGUCUUGUACAAGGAAAAAUGUGUAGUCUUAUCAUUGAUGGGGGCAGCUGUACUAAUGUCGCACGUGAGGCUAUGGUUAAAAAGUUGGGUUUAAGUGUUAAGAAGCAUCCGAAGCCGUACAAGCUUCAAUGGCUUAAUGAGAGUGGAGAAUUAAAAGUGAUCAGCUAAGUUUCAGUCCCUAUAGCCAUCGGCCGAUAUGAGGAUGAAAUCCUUUGUGAUGUGUACCUAUGGAGGCUGGACAUAUCGUUCUUGGCCGACCAUGGCAAUCUGAUAGAAGGCUAAUACACGAUGGAUUCACUAACAAACACUCUUUUGUUUUUAAUGGCAGGAAAACUAUUCUGAUUCCUCUAAUCCCUCAAGAAGUAUACCAAGAUCAGCUUCAGCUCAAACAAAAGGAGAAAAUCCCGACUAAUCAUCAAACUUUUUCUUAAAAGCUGGUAAUGUUGCAAGAGCCUUGAUAUCCAAGCAACCGAUUUUAUUGUUUGUUUUUAAAAGAAUCGCUUGCUAGUAUUACUAACAUUACACCGGUGCUACCGAGUGAAAUGACUGAUCUUUUGCAGGCUUACAAGGAUGUGUUCCCUGAGGAUAAUCCCUAAGAGUUACCACCAAUUAGAGGCAUUGAGCAUCAGAUAAAUUUCAUUCCUGUAGCUUCACUACCUAAUCGACCCGCUUAUAGAACCAAUCCCGUAUAAACCAAGGAGCUACAAAGACAGGUGAACGAGCUCAUGGAGAAAGGCCAUAUCAGAGAGAGCAUGAGCCCUUGUGCCAUGCCAGUGUUACUUGUGCCCAAAAAGGAUGGAAGCUGGUGCAUGUGUGUUGAUUGCCGAGCAAUUAACAACAUAACGGUUAAGUAUAGGCAUCCAAUUCCUAGAUUAGAGGACAUGUUAGAUGAUUUGCAUGGGUUUAGCAUCUUCUCUGAAAUUGAUCUUAAGAGUGGAUAUCACCAAAUUUGGAUGAAAGAGGGAGAUGAGUGGAAGAGCGCUUUUAAAACUAAGCAUGGCCUAUAUGAAUGGUUAGUCAUGCCUUUUGGCUUGACAAACGCACCUAGCACCUUUAUGAGAUUAAUGAAUCAUGUUCUUAGGGUGUUUAUAGGUGUAUUUGUGGUCGUUUACUUUGAUGACAUAUUGUUCUAUAGUAAGAGUCUAAGCGAUUGUGUCUUGCAUUUGAAAUUUGUCUUAGAUGUGCUUAGGAAGGAGAAAUUGUAUGCCAAUCUUAAGAAAUGCACAUUCUGUACAAAUAACUUGGUAUUUUUAGGCUUUGUUGUCAGCGCAGAUGGAAUCAAAGUCAAUGAAGAGAAAGUGAAGGCAAUAAAAGAGUGGCCAUGUCCUAAAACCGUGAGUGAGGUGAGAAGUUUUCACGGGUUGGCCGGAUUUUAUAGAAGAUUUAUGAAGGAUUUUAGCACUAUUGCUGCUCCACUUACUGUGAUAAUCAAGAAAGAGGUUGGAUUCACGUGGGAACAAGCACAAGAAGCUGCAUUCCGAGCCUUAAAUGAUAAGCUUACUAAUGCUCCCCUCUUAGUUCUACCUGAUUUCCUUAAAACGUUUGGAAUCGAAUGUGAUGCCUCUGGAAUCGGUAUUGGUGCUGUUUUGAUGCAGGAUAAAAAGCCCAUUGCAUUCUUCAGUUAGAAGCUUGGAGGCCCCACACUUAACUACCCUACAUAUGACAAAGAACUCUAGGCUCUAGUUUGAGCAUUGCAAACGUGGCAAUUGAUAACACCGUAUUUUGACCACUUUUAUGGAUCAUAAUUGUACCUUAUGCAGGUGUUUUAACUCUGUUUUCAAUGUUUUUAAAGUGUUUUCAAUGUUUUAGAGUUUCAAAAGACUUUACAGGAAACUUGGGCAAAAGAUAUGCAAUUUGGAACAAAUGAGCAAUUUUGGAUAAAUGCAGACCGUCAAAAGUAUGACAAGCGAUGAAGACCUUCUCACCGUCUGAUCACCCCCAAAAUUUGAGACUACAUAGAGGAGCCGCCGCUGGAGAGCAUCAUCGCGCCUCCACCUGCAACUCUGUUUUUCGUUUUUCUUCCUUCUUUUCUUUAGUUUCCUGCACUUUCAAUUUCGUUUAUGAUGCUUUGUUACAAUAUGUUUGAGUAGUUACCCAGUUGGGUUUAAAGGGAUUUUUCAAAGAGAAUUUCAUGUGUCUUUUCUUAUGAAUCGAUAGAUUUUGGAUUUAUAAUCUUCUAGAUGUUCUUCGUUUGCCUUUAAUCUUACUGCGUGAUUCUUUGCUGGCCACUUAGAAGCCGAUCUGAUAUGAUAUGUUGCGAAAGCUUUCAUUGAUUGUCUGAACUAGGGUGAAACGAGCAAUUCUUCUAUAGGAGUGGAAACCUACCUGUAGUUGAGUUGUGAAUGUUAAUGAGUCUUGUCCUGCUAUUGCAUCUUCUCCCUUCCAGAAUCAGAGUGGAAACCUACUGAUUAGGGUUGCGAGAGAUAGUUGUUUAGUGCUGCGAAAGUAGGCUAUUCAUACUUCCGUGCCUCGAAUUCUAGAACAUACGUAGUUGAUUACCUUUAUCACUUGUUUAAAAUCGACCUAGCAUAGACUAUGAACCCCUGCGAAAACCCCUUGAACCCCAACGUUUGUCUUUCAUUGUUUACAACAUUCGAUUUAGCUUGCUUUCCAUUUGCUUGUUUUUUGUUUUCAAUCGCCUAGUUUAAUCGCUUUUUAGUUGCUUUUACUUGCUUUCGUUUUUCAAUUGCCUUUACUUUCUUUGCUUUCUAGAAAACCCAAACCUUUUAGUUCUAAUCUGAUUUAAGCGUUGCAGUGAAUUCGUACUGAAACAACUAAGUCUCUGUGGAUCGAUACCCUAAGUACUACAGCGCACAUCUGUGCACUUGCAGACAUUUAGGGGUUAUAAAUUUAAAACCUGAAGCUUAGUAAAACGAAAACAACAACCCCGCGUUUACAAUCGCUCAUCAAGUUUUUGGCGCCGUUGACGGGGACUUAAAUUUGUUUCGUUGCGAAUCCCAGCUUAAAUCCAUUAGAAGACUUGUUUAUUUUUACUUUUUCUUUUGAAUUUUCAGGUUUCUCUGAGAUGAGAGACCGGGAACAUGUUCCCGGAACUCUUGGUUUAGUAAAACGAAAACAACAACCCCGCGUUUACAAUCGCUCAUCAAGUUUUUGGCGCCGUUGACGGGGACUUAAAUUUGUUUCGUUGCGAAUCCCAGCUUAAAUCCAUUAGAAGACUUGUUUAUUUUUACUUUUUCUUUUGAAUUUUCAGGUUUCUCUGAGAUGAGAGACCGGGAACAUGUUCCCGGAACUCUUGGUGAUCCACCAAAUCGUGUGGAUGGUGAUCCAAGCGACGAUGACCUGAUUGAUGAUGAGUUUGAAGAACCGAUCUAUGAUGACAAUGAGCUAAUCGGAUCGGCCAAACACAAAGAUGAUGAAGAACUGAUUGGAAGUUUCGAUUCACUCGAAAAGUUCAUGGGAGAUCGAAGAGCUAUUCAACCAGCCUUACCUGAGGAUGGCAAAACCGAAAUUAAGGUACCCCAUAUCCAUUUAGUUCAACAACAUCAAUUCUCUGGUUAUUCAUUCGAAAACCCGAUAUACCAUAUCGAGACUUUCGAAGAAUUAUGUGCAACCAUUACAGCAAAUGGGGAUUACCACAAGUGUGGUCUUUUCCCAUUCUCUCUUAGAGAUAAGGCCAGCAAAUGGCUAAAAUCUUUGCCACCUGCUUCACUAAAAACGUGGGCAGCGUGUAGAACUGCUUUCCUAAAUCGUUUUUACACUAGAAAUCGUUCAAAUCUCUUGAGAAAGAAGAUAAGAACUUUUAAACAAAAAGAAGAUGAAGAUCUUUUAGAAACUUGGGAAAGAUUUAGGGAAUACCAAAGAGAUUGUCCACACCAUGGAUAUGCUGAGGAAUACCUGCUAGGUAUCUUCUAUCGCGGUAUAACUCCAGAGUUACGACACUCUUUCGACAUAGCAAGUAAUGGAGAUUUCACAACUAGAUCUGUAGAAGAUGCUCACGUUUUCAUUAAAUAUUUAGGAAACAACAUCCGAAAUCAAAUAACCUUUGGUAAUUCUGCACUUCCUGAGAAGAAAGAAGAAAUUUCAGAAGUUAUAAAGUGUCUCCGUCACAUAAUGAGUCAUCUUGGAUUGCAACAACCAAAUAGGGUACACAAUACGUGUAACUUUGAUGGCUGGGACAACCCAAUGGAUUCUUAUGGUCAAGGGAUGGUGAACACUGCAGAAGUCUAUAAAAUUCAAGAUUUUCCAUUCGUUUCUGAUCACCGCGGGUCCAUUCAAUCGGACCGCGGCCAAGCAAGCUUUCACCGCGGUCGUGCUGGUUCUGACCGCGGCCAAGACAUGAUUCACCGCGGUCGUGAGCCACCUGACCGCGGGAAACCAUCUUCCAAGCUUAAUUGGAAACCACCUUCCGAACCAAUCUUGGGUAUUCAAUCUAAUCCUGUUUCCUAUCCAAGUUUUCCCUCUUCUGAAGCUGAAAACCUAAACAAAAAGAUUCUAGAGCUUGAAAAAUCUAUGUCUCAAGAGAUUAGUGAUCUUAGAUCUGAACUAAAAGAGAUGCAGAAGGAUUCCGAUACCCUCCUUAGCCUGAUGGUCAAAACGAAUUCUAAAAACUUAGAAAAUUCUGAAGAGGAGCUAAGUGAAAAUUCUUUCGAAAGCUCAAGUGAAGCAGAUCCCUCCGAUCAUGUGAAAGCUAUCACACUUAGGAGUGGAUUAGCUUACAAAGAGCCUGAAUUUCCUAAAGAUCCCAAAGAUGAGGAAAAGGGUAAGUAAAAGGAGAAAGAAAAAGAAAGAAUCACGAAUGAAGAUGUUGAAGAAGAAGUGGUAGGAGAAAAGGAUGGAGAAGAAGUAAGAGAAGAUUCAUCCCGGGAAAUCCUUGGAGAAGACCCGAUUCCUCCUCCACCAACUCGUGUCUAUAAACCUAAACCUCCAUAUCCUAGAGCCUUAAGAGCCCCUAAGAAAGAGAAAGAAAAAGCUAAGCUGAAAGAGCUAAUCGAUCAAUUAAAUGUGAGAUUAUCUUUCGUAGAAGCUUGUGCAAUGAUUCCUGCUUUAAGAAAAUACAUGAAGGGUAUUCUAACAAAUUCUUUAACUCUUGAAGAAGGCGUUAUGAUGAUAACCCAUGAAUGUAGUUCUAUCCUGCAAAGCCGAAUCCCUGAACAGAAAAACAAUCCUGGAAGCUUUGUACUUUCAUGCACCAUCAAUGAUGUAGCUUUUGAGCGUGCUCUCUGUGAUUUAGGAUCUAGCAUAAACAUGAUGCCUCUUUCAGUAGCAAAACGUUUAGGACAUCACACUUUCAAGCCCACUAAGAUUUCUUUAGUACUAGCUGAUCGUUCCGUUAGACAACCUGUAGGUAUCUUAGUAGAUGUUCCCGUCGAAAUCGAAAAAUGUUCCAUACCAACCGAUUUCGUAGUUCUAGAACUAGAAAAAGAACCUAAGGAUCCACUUAUUCUUGGAAGACCAUUCUUAUCUACAGCCGGAGCCAUAAUCAAUGUUCCUGAAGGAAAAAUUGACCUUCAUCUAGCCGGCCUAGUUAUGCAGUUUGACAUGAACAAAAGUUUUGAUAAACCGACUUUGGAUGGCAAAAUUUGUUGGGUUGAUGAGUUAGACGGAAUUAUUGAGGAAGUCUAUGAAGAUCUGCUUCUAGACGACCCUUUAAGUGUCACGCUUUCGCCCACAAAAGAUGAACGCAAUUUCCUUGAAGAAAUUUCGAGUGAAUGCGCACGUAUGCUUGAUAAGUCCGAAACUUAUAAGAAACCUCUACACUAUCUAGAUCUUAAGGACCAAACAAACAUUCCUACACCUCCUAAAGACACUGCUGCAGCAAUUAACGAUCCUUGGAGCGAGCUUAAAGCCCCUAAAGUCGAGCUUAAACCUCUUCCCGUCGGACUUAAGUACGCUUUCCUUGGACCAAAUUCUACUUAUCCUGUCAAAAUAAACUCUGGUUUGAGGGAAGAAGAAACCACAAUGCUGUUGACUGAGCUGAAAAAGCAUAGAAAAGCCUUAGGAUAUUCACUUGAUGACAUACCUGGAAUCUCCCCUGAUCUUUGUAUGCACAAGAUAAAUCUAGAGGAUAAUGCUAAAAACUCAAUCGAAAGUCAACGGAGACUGAACCCUAAUCUCAUGGAUGUUGUCAAGAAGGAGAUUAUGAAGCUUUUAGAAGCUGGAAUAAUAUUUCCUAUCUCAGAUAGCACUUGGGUUAGCCCAGUUCAUGAUGUUCCAAAGAAAGGAGGAGUCACUGUCAUUAAAAAUGAUAAAGAUGAAAUGAUCGCUACAAGAACAGUAACUGGACAUCGAAUGUGUAUCGAUUACCGGAAACUGAAUGCAGCAACUAGGAAAGAUCAUUUUCCACUUCCAUUCAUAGAUAAAAUGCUAGAAAGGUUAGCUAAUCACCCCUACUAUUGCUUCCUUGAUGGAUACUCCGGAUUUUUCCAAAUUCCUAUUCGCCCGGAGGAUCAAGAAAAAACGACAUUCAUUUGUCGAUAUGGCACGUUUGCUUACAGACGCAUGCCUUUUGGAUUGUGUAAUGCACCUGCUACCUUCCAGCGGUGCAUGAUGUUGAUCUUCACAGACUUUAUCGAAGACUUCAUGGAAGUAUUCAUGGAUGAUUUCUCCGUCUAUGGAUCUUCUUUUGAAAAAUGCUUAGGCAACGUUGGUAAAGUUCUGCAAAGAUGUGAAGAUAAGCACUUAGUAUUAAAUUGGGAAAAAUAUCACUUCAUGGUACAAGACGGAAUCGUGCUUGGGCACAGAAUUUCCGGAAUAGGUAUUGAAGUUGACAAAGCUAAAUUCGAGGUCAUGACCAGCCUACAACCACCCACAAACGUAAAAGGAAUUCGUAAUUUCUUAGGACACGCAGGAUUCUAUAGGCGAUUCAUAAAAGAUUUUUCUCAAAUAGCUAGACCUCUUACGCGUUUGCUUUGCAAGGAAACAAACUUCGAGUUCGAUGAUGAGUGCUUAGCCGCGUUUCAUAAGAUCAAACAAGCCCUUGUUUCCGCUCCAGUCGUGCAAGCACCUGAUUGGGAACUCCCGUUCGAAAUCAUGUGCGAUGCAAGUGACUAUGCAGUCGGAGCAGUGCUUGGCCAACGAAAAGAUAAGAAACUGCACGUAAUCUACUACGCAAGCAGAACUCUUGACGAAGCUCAAUGCAAUUAUGCUACAACAGAGAAAGAACUUCUAGCUGUCGUAUUUGCAUUUGAGAAAUUCCGUUCCUAUCUCGUAGGAUCUAAGGUCAUAGUUCAUACUGAUUAUGCUACAAUCAAGUAUUUAAUGUCUAAGAAAGACGCUAAACCUCGGUUGAUAAGAUGGAUCCUCCUACUGCAAGAAUUCGAUAUCGAAAUUCGAGAUCGGAAAGGAGCAGAUAAUGGAGUUGCAGACCAUCUUUCACGAAUUCGAGUUGAAGAAAGAUUGCCCUUAAAUGACAGUUUGCCAGAAGAAAACAUCUAUGCAAUAGAUACUACCCCCACCAAUGCCAAUACCGCACCACCACGUCCACUAAUGCGACGAGCAGAUGCUUUCAACACCCCAUGGUUUAGGCACAUAGCGAAUUACCUAGCAGCUGAUGUAGAGCCCUCGAAAUUUUUCGGGUAUAGGAAGAAAAAGUUUCUGAAAGACGUAAGCCAUUAUUUUUUGGAUGAACCCUAUCUCUAUAAGAGAUGUGCUGAUGGGUUAUUCCGAAGAUGCGUGGCUGAAGAAGAGAUGGAAGGAAUUUUAUUCGGAUGCCAUAGCUCGUCUUACGCAGGACAUUUCGCAACUUUCAAAACCGCUUCAAAGAUCUUACAAGCUGGUUUUUGGUGGCCUACUUUGUUCAAAGAUACUCAAGCUUAUAUAUCGCGAUGCGAUAAAUGCCAAAGGAUGGGCAACAUAAGCAAAAGAAAUGAGAUGCCUCAAAAAUUUAUUCUCGAAGUCGAAAUUUUUGAUGUCUGGAGAAUAGAUUUUAUGGGACCCUUUCCUACUUCUUUUGGAAACCAAUACAUCUUAGUAGCAGUAGACUACGUCUCUAAGUGGGUUGAAGCAGUCGCAAGUCCCACCAAUGAUGCAAAAGUUGUCAUGAAGCUGUUUAAAUCUGUUAUAUUCCCGCAUUUUGGAGUUCCUAGAAUUGUGAUAAGCGACGGAGGAUCGCAUUUCAUCAACAGAGUUUUCAAGAAUCUUCUUAGAAAGAAUGGAGUUACACAUAAAGUUGCUUCCCCAUACCAUCCCCAAACCAGCGGUCAAGUGGAGAUCUCAAAUAGAGAAAUCAAGUCGAUUUUGCAGAAAACAACUGCAGUUCAUCGCAAGGAUUGGUCUACCAAGCUUGACGACGCAUUAUGGGCGUAUCGAACAGAAUUCAAGACACCAUUAGGAACAACACCAUUCAAUCUAGUUUAUGGAAAAGCAUGUCACCUUCCAGUAGAACUCGAGUAUAAGGCGCAAUGGGCUAUCAAGAAGAUGAACAUGAACAUGAAAACAGCUGGAGAAAGAAGACUACUUCAACUUCAUGAGUUAGAAGAAAUCCGACACAAUGUCUACGAAAACUCGAAGAUCUACAAGGAGAAGACUAAAGCAUAUCAUGAUAAGAAGAUUAUUCAUAGAACUUUUGCUCCUAACGAUAAGGUACUUCUUUUCAAUUCUCGUCUUAAGCUUUUUCCAGGAAAAUUACGUUCAAGAUUGUCAGGACCCUUCCCGAUAAAGGAAGUCAAGCCAUACAGAGCCAUUGUCCUGUGGGACAGAACCGGGAACUCAUUUACAGUGAAUGGACAGCGUGUAAAGCCAUAUCUGGCUGAAGAAACCAAAGACAAAAGAGAAGUGAUGUUUUUGAUUGAUCCAUCAUCGGCCAAUGAUGAGAUCAAGGAGAGUCACGACCCCGCUUAAGUCUAAUCGAGCAACAAUGUCAAGCUAAUGACUUGAAACAAGCGCUUAGUGGGAGGCAACCCACUUGGUAUUUUAUCUAUUUCCCUUUGACUUUUAUUUUCUAUUUCCAUUGCUUUGUUUCUGUUUUAUUUAAUUUCAGGUUUUCAAUAAGGAAUAAUAAAUACAAAAGACGAGCAGCACUCUCCAGCACGAUAAGUACUCCUAAACAUUUCAACUUUUCUAUUUUCUUUACCAUUCUUUCCAAGAUUUAUCACACUGAGGACAGUGUGAAAUAAGUCUGGGGGAGGAUGUUCAUCCGUUACUAAUGAAAUUUGAUUUGUUUUGAGUUUGCUUUGGACACAUAAAAAUUUUUCAAAAUGUUUUUCAAAAAUUUUUCAAAUCAGGAACACAAUAAACAAUACUAUGAUGAUUUAGACCAGUGUGCUUCUACGCUAUUUUUUCGUUUUUUGCUCUUUUUGUGAUUUAGGCCUAGACUAGGCGGUAGCUAAGUACUUGCAUUACGAAAUCCCACCAGAGGACUUCUAUUCAUGGAGAUUCUUUCUGACAGGAUAUACUAGCUCAUUUUAUCUGGACUUAAUUUUGACUUAAUUUUCUCAUUAAACCAUUAGAUCAGGGAAAUGAAUCAUACAUUCAGGACUCCUUUACCCUUUUACCACUAUUUGUUGAUCCUGAAUGGCUAGUUUAUCUUUAGCUAGUUCCCCACCGAACCUAACCUCUUUCAAACCACAUGCAUUCUUGUUUUUCAUUGUCCAAUAUGCAGAUAUGUGCAAAAACGUCGGAGAGAAAGAGGAUCAACGCGGUUUUCAGUCACUGAAGACAAAGACCUGCGAUUUCAUUGGAAUGAUUCAACAAAAGGAGAUAAUUCAGUUUGCCUUGGAAAAACUUCAAAAUCUUGGUACAAUUUCGUCCCUUAGACUCUCACUCUAUAAAAGGUUGUUUCCUCUUUCCGAAAGGAAAAAAAUAAAAAAAUCCGAAAAAAGAAAAGAAAAAUAUGAAGGGAGAGGAAAUUAAAACCUUAGAGAGUCUAGGAGGAUCGAAUUUUAUACUUGAGGCAAGCUUGAUCUGAUUAUAUGGAGUUUUGGAGAUUAUCUUUAUGAUUCCCGAAAAAUAUCUAAGUCUGGGGGGACAGCUGUUUACAACAAAGGAGGAAGAUUAUGCAGCAACAUUUGGCAAAUGAGAAGUGACUGAAAAUUUGCGGUCAUCAACAGGUCCUUCUCUCUCUUGCGGUUUUGCAUAAUAUUUUGCAUCCUCCAUAUUCUUCAGGUAACCCUAAACACUUAAACUCCACCACUUAAAUAGCCUUUAUUGCCAAACGCCGUCUACCCUGAAUAAUGUCUUUGAUGAGAAUUCACUACUAUACUUAAUGAAUGUAGGGAGCUAGUUGACUGGAAGUUAGAUCUAAGUGUGUAGAUUUUUCGCAUGACGGAUUAACGGACUAGUUUGCUUGUAUUUUGGUGAGAAUUUUCUAGACUAGAUCCAAAUAGAUGUUUCACGAUAAGUUAUGAUUUAGAAGGACGGUCACUGAGAUAUUGUUUAGUUCCUGCGAUUUUCAAAAAUUUCUUUCCUGACUUAAAUUUGUUUGAGGACAAACAAAAAGGUAAGUCUGGGGGAGUUGAUAACACCGUAUUUUGACCACUUUUAUGGAUCAUAAUUGUACCUUAUGCAGGUGUUUUAACUCUGUUUUCAAUGUUAUUAAAGUGUUUUCAAUGUUUUAGAGUUUCAAAAGACUUUACAGGAAACUUGGGCAAAAGAUAUGCAAUUUGGAACAAAUGAGCAAUUUUGGAUAAAUGCAGACCGUCAGAAGUAUGACAAGCGAUGAAGACCUUCUCACCGUCUGAUCACCCCCAAAAUUUGAGGCAACAUAGAGGAUCCAACCAGCUUUCUAAUGCACUUGGUUUGGAGACAAUCCAACGGUUAGAUCUUCAGAUACUCCCGAUGCAAGAAUGACAGAAAAUGCAGUUCCUGAAAAGAGCAUGUGACGGGACCGCGGCCAACACCCAUUUUCCCGCGGGUAGAGCCACCGCGACCGCGGACUUUGGUCGUUCACUUUCCCGACGACUUAAUUAAAGCCCAGAUCAAUUCCUUUCGUUAUUUUUGAAGCCCUAAGUGUCCAAAACCACCCCAGAAGCUAUAAAUACCCCCUUUAGGUCAUUCCUAAAGGUGUGGAGACGACAUAAGAUAGAAAGAGAGAGAGAGACACAAACCCUAGAGAGAGGGAGCCGACGCCGUCGAUCCCGAAGAAGGAACCGCCGCUGGAGAGCAUCAUCGCGCCUCCACCUGCAACUCUGUUCUUCGUUUUUCUUCCUUCUUUUCUUUAGUUUCCUGCACUUUCAAUUUCGUUUAUGAUGCUUUGUUACAAUAUGUUUGAGUAGUUACCCAGUUGGGUUUAAAGGGAUUUUUCAAAGGGAAUUUCAUGUGUCUUUGCUUAUGAAUCGAUAGAUUUUGGAUUUAUAAUCUUCUAGAUGUUCUUGGUUUGCCUUUAAUCUUACUGCGUGAUUCUUUGCUGGCCACUUAGAAGCCGAUCUGAUAUGAUAUGUUGCGAAAGCUUUCAUUGAUUGUCUGAACUAGGGUGAAACGAGCAAUUCUUCUAUAGGAGUGGAAACCUACCUGUAGUUGAGUUUUGAAUGUUGAUGAGUCUUGUCCUGCUAUUAGAUCUUCUCCCUUCCAGAAUCAGAGUGGAAACCUACUGAUUAGGGUUGCGAGAGAUAGUUGUUUAGUGCUGCGAAAGUAGGCUAUUCAUACUUCCGUGCCUCGAAUUCUAGAACAUACGUAGUUGAUUACCUUUAUCACUUGUUUAAAAUCGACCUAGCAUAGACUAUGAACCCCUGCGAAAACCCCUUGAACCCCAACGUUUGUCUUUCAUUGUUUACAACAUUCGAUUUAGCUUGCUUUCCAUUCGCUUGUUCUUUGUUUUCAAUCGCCUAGUUUAAUCGCUUUUUAGUUGCUUUACUUGCUUUCGUUUUUCAAUUGCCUUUACUUUCUUUGCUUUCUAGUUUAGAUUUGUUGACAACCAAAACCCAAAACCAAAACCCAAACCUUUUUAGUUCUAAUCUGAUUUAAGCGUUGCAGUGAAUUCGUACUGAAACAACUAAAUCUCUGUGGAUCGAUACCCUAAGUACUACAGCGCACAUCUGUGCACUUGCAGACAUUUAGGGGUUAUAAAUUUAAAACCUGAAGCUUAGUAAAACGAAAACAACAACCCCGCGUUUACAAUCGCUCAUCAGUAUACUGUCUAUGGCCCAUGGAUUUCAUCUUACAUACGGAUCAUGAGUCUCUUAAGAACCUAAAAGGGCAACAAAAACUCAACAAGAGACACGCAAGGUGGGUAGAAUUCAUAGAAACGUUUCUCUAUGUGAUCAAGUACAAAAAAGGUAAAGACAAUGUAGUAGUCGAUGCAUUGUCUCGAAGGUAUGCCUUGAUCUCUACUCUUGAUGCUAAGCUUAUAGGAUUUGAACAGCUCAAACACAUGUACGCAUCAGAUUCUGACUUUAGAGAGAAAUAUCAGUCUUGUGAAAAAUUUGCUAAAGACCACUACUUUAGACAAGAUCGUUUUCUUUUCUUUGAUAACCGUAUAUGCAUCCCUAAUUGUUCUAUNNNNNNNNNNNNNNNNNNNNNNNNNNNNNNNNNNNNNNNNNNNNNNNNNNNNNNNNNNNNNNNNNNNNNNNNNNNNNNNNNNNNNNNAUUGGCCGCACAUGAAGAGAGAUGUGGAAAGAAUCUGCGAAAGGUGUGCAACUUGUAAACAGGCUAAGUCUAAGGUUAAGCCUCAUGGUUUGUACUCUCCUUUACCUAUUCCUUCUCACCCUUGGGUUGAUAUCUCUAUGGACUUCACACUUGGUUUGCCUAGGACUAAAACAGGGAAAGAUUCUAUAUUCGUUGUUGUGGAUAGACUUUCAAAGAUGGCUCAUUUCAUUGCAGGUAACAAAAUCGAUGAUGCAUCUCAUGAAGCUAACCUGUUCUUUAAAGAAAUAAUUCGUUUACAUGGCAUGCCUAGAACCAUUGUUUCUGAUCGUGAUACUAAGUUUCUUAGUAAUUUUUGGAAAACAUUAUGGUCUAAGCUAGGAACUAAGUUCAUGUUCUCUAUUAGAUGUCAUCCACAAACUAAUGGGCAAAAUGAAGUAGUCAAUAGAACUCUGUCUACUUUAUUGUGUGUAUUAGUUAAGAAGAACCUUAAGUCAUGGGAGCAAUGUUUACCUCAUGUUGAAUUCGCAUAUAAUCAUUCGGUGCAUACCGCUUCUAAGUUUUCCCCAUUUGAGAUUGUCUAUGGCUUUAAUCCUAUAUCUCCUUUAGAUCUAACUCCCAUUCCUUUGAGUGAAAGAGUUAGCAUUGAUGGGCAAAAAAAGGCCGAGUUAGUGAAACAGAUCCAUGAGAAAGCCAAGAAAAAUAUAGAAGAGAAGACUAAGAUCUAUGUGGAACAAGCCAACAAGAGACAGCGAGAGAUGAUCAUUAAAGUUGGUGAUCAAGUCUGGGUUCACCUAAAGAAAGAAAGGUUUCCAGCUGAAAGGAGGUCAAAGCUUAUGCUAAAGGUUGAUGGACCGUUCAAGAUCAUCAAGAAGAUCUAAAAUAUCAUUUUUAUAAUCUUAAAUAACUAACAAUAUAAGAAAAAAUAAUAAUAAUAAUAAUAAUAAUAAUAAUAAUAAUAAUAAUAAUAAUAAUAAUAAUAAUAAUAAUAAUAAUAAUAAUAAUAAUAAUAAUAAUAAUAAUAAUAAGAGAAUGGAUAACGUGAACAUUAGAAUCUACUCAAAUAAUUUUAAAAUUGACUUGAAUCUAAGAAAAAAUAUAUAUUAAAGUUUUAUGAUUAAAUCAUAAUUUAUGUGUAUGCUUAACUGAAUUGAAAAUCUCGUUUUGAUGCAAUCUUACACAAAUUCUCAAAUUUUAUAAGUAGUGUGUAGGACCUUUUUUGCUGCGCCAGAAAAAAAAAUAUAUUUAGGGUUAGAGAAUCUUAUUUAGAAGAAGAAUAAUCUAGAUGAACAAGCACUAAAACAAACCAAAGUAUUAAAUACUAUAUAAUAUAAUGGUGAGAUAUAUUUUGUAUAUAUAGUAUAUAUAUGUAUAUAUUGUAUAUAUGUGUAGAUAUACAUAUAGAAGAGAGAGAAAGAAUGGGUAAGAAAGAAGGGAAGAAGACACGAGAGAGAGAAUUGCUCUCUUCUUCUUAUUCACUUAUGUUUACAAGUGAUGCACUUAUUUAUAGUGCAACUAAGUCGGUGACUUAACCGACAUAAUACAUAAGUUAUUACAUUAAUGAAAAAUGGAUAAUUAUUAUCCUUUUAUAACACUUCUCUUUGAUUAUCCAUCACUUCAUUAACAUAUUAUUUCAUUUAAAAAAAACUUUAGCAUAGAAAAAUCCAUUAGAAUAAAAACCAUAAUAAAGAAAAAAUAUAAUAACGUAAUCUCCCCUUAAAAAAAGAUGAAUUUUGUUCUCUUCAUAGAUUGUUGAUUCAUCUUGAUCUCGUCGAUGUAAUAAACCAUCUUCAUUGGAAUUAUAUAUUCCUUUUCAGAUAUAUAUAUCUUCUUGCGUGUUCUUUGAUACUUCAAUAAAAACUUCAUCAUGGAAAAACCCAAUGGGAAAAAACCAUGGUAAAGAAGAAAAUGCAUCUACGUGCAUCAUCAUACUUCUUCUGGAAGUAUUCCUUUUUAGAUAUUUUAUCAUUUUUCCUCUUCUUUGCUGCUUCGUUAAAAACCUCGUCAUGGAAAAACCUAUUAGGAUAAAAACUAUGAUAAGGAAAAAAGAGUGCAACCACGCAUAUUAUUACAAUUAUCCCCCUGGAAACAUCAUCUUCAGGAGAUGCAUUCCAAUUAUAUAUACCAUCAUUUUGGAGAAUUUUUUUAAGUAGAGCCUUUAUAAACAAGCUCGUAAGAUCGUCAUUCUCGGAUCCUUGGACUUCUGGUCCAUAAAUCAAGUUAGUCAAGCUCUUCCCAUGACUAAACAAAAUUUUUAGAUGCUUCACGCAUCCUUCAUCCUUUUGGGAUUUUUAUCGAUGCAUUACUGAAUGUAAUUACAUCCAUGACCGAGUAACAUCAAUUUCCGGUCUUUGAGAAAAACUUUAUGCCACAAACCGAGUUUUAUAUCUUGUGACUUUGUUUUCUCAUUAUUUUCGAAUAAAGAUCCAUUUGGUCUCGAAUAACAUUACAUCUUCAGGUGUAAUGAUCAUAAGUCCAAAGACAUUAUCUUUUGCUAAUUUUUCGGGAAUCUUUUCAUUUUAUUCUCUAAUUCUCUUUCUCUUCAUGAGAAUUUUAGAUUCCAUUAGCCUCCCCCUUUUUUAAUUGAACCUUACGUUCAUUUACUUCACUCCGAUAAAUUUUGUUCUUUAGGAACAUUAAUAUUUGUGGAGCACUUCCAAGUUUUACGAACUUCAAGUUCGAAAUAUUUUGUAGGGAGGAUUAAAUAGCAAUUUCUUUAGAAAUGCUUAAAUCUGAGUUUUUCUAUAUGUUAGAUCCUGCUGGGAUCUUUCGAGAUAAGAUGUUUAAUUGGGAUACCUGCAAAACAAAAUAACAUAUUUUUCCUAAAAAGCAUUAUAUGUUAGGACUAAAUCAAUGAUCACUUUCUUUGAUCUAUCUAUUGGUUAAUCUUAACUAAAACUAUUAAACCCCAUGCAACAUAUACUCAUCAAGUAGAGUUCCCGGGAACAUAAUUAUGAUAUCAUUAAUCCUUUAAGGAAUAUUUCUUUCGCAAUUCAAGUCGCUCAUUUUCUGCCAGACUUGAUAUUACUUUUAAUGUUUGGACUGCUGGUCCAAAAAUUUCUCAUUUUUCAUAUGAGCUUAACAUAUACUUGAUUGCCUCUAUUCACUUUUUGGCCAAUAUUUUCACUUUCUACACUCAUCCGCGGAGGUAGACUUAUGAUCCUCAUUCAUAUCAAAUCGCGCGCUAUCUUAUUUUAUGUCGAUAAUUAUUUUGUCUUUGGUUCCUUUUUUCGUAAUAACAUGGUUGAACGAGAUCUCUUUAUCAAUGAUAUCAUCCAUGUACAUGAUUUUAUAAUUAACCACAUCAACAGUCUCUUCCGGAGAUCAUCCUCAUAUAUUUGCUCCUUUUCUUUUGAGAAUUUUAUAUUUGGAACCAAAGUAGUCUAUCACGUUUCUUACGUGCCAUAAACUCUUUAUUGAUAAAUCGUCCUUCAUGGACAUAUUUUUGGAGCAUUUUGAGCUAGAAGUGAGAUUUUAUUUCAUUGUAUGUCUGGCAUUUACAUAUGAAUUAUCCUUUGAACUUCAGGUUCAAAAUCAUAUAUAUGAUGAUCCAUAAUGAUAAUUCAUAAAUCUUAUUCAUUAGCUCUUCCGUACCAAAACAUGGAGAAAUUUCACCAUUGUUGAUCUUGCAAUCUUCUAGAUCGCUUUAUAAAUUUCCAUAAAAUCCAAUUUAAGUGUGAACAUAAUCUUCAGGAUGUUCACUACUUUGAUAUGGAUUCUUUAAUUCUCCCCCUCGAGAUGAUGAUACUUCAAGUUUGUUGGGGUCGGUUUCACCCUAAUCGGUUUAAACCACCUCAGGAAUAUCGGAGAGCCGAUUUUGCAAGGAGAACUAGCGAUCCAUUAAGUAUGGGUCGAGCCGCGCACGAGAGGAGUGGGCCGAGCCAAAAAGAGGAAGUAAGUGAACCGAGCCGCGUGAAGGAUGUUCAAUGGGCCGAGCUAACGGGCCGAGCUGUGCAAGAAAGCUAACGGGCCGAGCUGUGCAAGAGAGCGAACGGGCCGAGCUGUGCAAGAGAGCGAACGGGCCGAGCUGUGCGAGAAAGCAAAUGGGCCGAGCUGCAUAAGAAGGAGAAUGAGUCGAGCCAUUCUCUUCCACAAUUGGGCCGAACCAAGGCUUUGGAAGACGAAAGCCCAUAGAAACCCGAAGCGAAGUAUUAUGACGGUGGCUGCACGAAGCGAUAAGGAAAUAUUCUGAAAAUCUCUCCCGAGAUUCUCAGCUAGUCGGUUCAGAGAAUUAGUAUAAAUAGACGAUGCAUACAAUUCAUUCUGUAACUUUGGACAACUCGAGAGCAUUAAGACCUAAACACUUUCACAGCAAACAAAACCUUCUUUUGAUCUUACUGUUCUUGCGAUUACCCUAGAAAUUUCGGAUCCCUAAGUUUUUCCUUACAAAUUUUUGGUUGUCCGAGUUUUGGCUCACACAAUUUGGCGCCGUCUGUGGGGAAUCGAAACUUUCUUACUCUAAAUCGACGAGACUUUAAGAUCCGAAGAACAUGGCGAGCAACACUCUCGACAAUAACAACAACAACAACAACAACAACGAUAACGGCGCGGAGAAGGACGCUCCAGCAUCAGGCACAACGACGGCGACGACCGAACCUAAGAGGAGAUGCGAAAAAUGAUGGCUGCGUUGAUGAAGAAGAUCGACGAGCAGGACAAAAGAAACGAGGCAAUUACAGAGAGGCUUGACGCGAUGACAGCCGAGUGACGACACCCAACUUGGAGAGCGAGAAUCUCCAAACCGAUGGAUGGAAUCCGCAGACGCUUCGAUUUCUCCACGCCUGCAGAGGCCUCGGGAAGCGGCGCAAGAAAUCCCCUUGCUCCACCAACGUUUCGUCCUCUCGGCGAACAGACUCCCCCGGCAACCCGAGUCAACAUGACCGAGCCACCUCCACUCCGUCGGAACUCAAGGCGACGAGCCGGCGAAGAGGAGAAUGACGCGAUCGACGUGGACGCC